rnacentral:lncRNA from 1 species
UCUUUUCUUCCCUUAUACUUAAUUAGCUUCUCCCCCUUUGCAUCCUUACUGACUCUAAACGAAAAGUCACCUAACACACACUUGUCGAGCAGAGGAACCCCGAACCUGCGCUGUGAAACAAGAAUUCUUCUGUCCCCAAGAUAUCAUAUGUUCUGUGUCCUUUCUUUGGUGUUCAUGGCGCAACUACACAGCAAACUUGUAUACUCCUAUCCUAUCUUUGAUUGAAGAAAAUCAUAUUUAUUGGCAGCUGAACCCUAUACUAAAGCACCGAACCAUUCCUUUGCUUUCGCACUCCUAAACUCACCAUUCCUUUGCUUUCACACUCCUAAACUCACCAUUCCUUUGCUUUCGCACUCCUCCCUAAACUCCAAUAAGCGUUAGCGGUGCCUAUCUAAUUUCUAGUGAAUUACGGGUUCCUAGCUCUUAAACAAACUGUUUACUUGAAUCACGAGCUUGCCGGAACAAACAACGUUCCUAAGUGCUAAUGCGAGUUUCGUUUUUAGUUGUGCGUCAGUGGUGUUGUGCCGGGGAGUAAGCGUUAGCCCACUUUCACUUUCUACUUUCUCACUCUUUGUCUUUCUUGCUUGUUCGCUAGUUUAUUUGCUUGUUUUGUUCCCUGCAACAACAAUAAGAAGUUGGGGCUAAGUGGUCAAAGUAGCAUAUGAUAGAUUUUAGUAAACAACCAGCAUUGCUUGCUUAAGAAUGGAAUUUCUCGAAUGGAGUUAGACUAUUGGCAGCCCUGUCCUUGCUUCUGGAAAAUGAGAUAACUGACAGAACAUAUGCUAUAUGGAGCCAGACUUAUUACUACUUACAGCUGGCGUAGCCGGACUUAUUAACAGCUGGCGUAGCCGGACUUAUUACUUAUUGCUUGGCUCUUCACUGCUUACUGCAUCCUUUACUUUAAGAAGAAAUAGGUGAACCCGUACUGCUGGCUCUUCAUCACUGUUUACUGCUUCCUUUAAGAAUGAAUAUUAGCACCCGCUCACUCAAGUAAGGGCAGUGUUUCUACUUUACUUUAUACAGGGCUAAGCCUAAGCCGUUUUUCAAAGAUGCUUUAGUUUGCAAGCAGGUCGUAGUGCUUUUGCCUUAUUGUCUUGUCUUACCGUCCCAACUCCAUAAAUGAUGCGCGGUGUACUGAUACUGGGGUAUAGAACGGAUUAUGCGUUAAGUGUACGUACAGAAGGCUAUAAUUCUCAUAUAAGUGUUAGGAGUGAGUAUCUAAUUUGAAUAUAAGUAAGUGUAGUGCACAAAUCGAUUAGUUAAGGUAUAGAGAAAGGGCGAAAGAACAAGUAAACAAGCAGUCAGCAGUAUUGUUACUCAUAGGGGUAGCUCUCUUCAUUUCCAUUCCCAUUAUUAAAGCAAGUGAACAAGAAGCAAGCACUUUCCCGGUAAGUCUCCAAUUACUAAGAAGCUAGUGCGCCUAGCCUAUGAUAUGAGUAAGGCAAAAGGGGCAUAACUGUUGCUAUAAGUGCAGAAGAAUAGAGUAAGCUGUGUCGUUUGAAGGAAAGGAAGCAAAGCUCAGUGAGGUGGAGAACUUCCAUUAGUUGUCCUAGUUGUCAGUUCCAUUACACAAGUAAACUCGUCACUACUAGGCCCAUUCUUUUGCUUGUUUUUAGUUGUUGUCUUGUUAUCAGUGGUCCAAAUCUUAUACCCUUUCUUGGAAUUGGUCUUUCACUUUGGGGUGGAAUUGAAGCCCUUUACCAAUGAAUUAAGCCUUAGUGCCGGGUUGAAGCCUCUGUUUGUGGUUUGAUUCCUACUUCCUACUCCGAUGUACCUUACUUAUGUAUCGAGUUUGAUUCCCGAGUUGUAUUGCUACUUUUGAGUGAAAUAGUAGUAGGUAGAUUCGUAGUCUCUUGUUUCAUUGUUGUAAGCACCAGUAAAUUCCUAGAAGCAUUGGUAUAAUUCCCUUUACCGAGUUGCCAUUCUUAUGAGUAUUAUAUUGGUUCUUACUACACUGUUUCAGUCUUAUCUGUAUUGGUGCAAUUCCCGGUUAGGGUUUCUAUACUCUACUCCUGCUCCACCCAAUCGAAUUCUGUAUUUCACACCUGUUACCAAUGAGUUGGAUUCGAUUCUUUCUUAUCAAAGCAAGGGUUCCUAACGCGCGAAUCCCUUCUUUCCCUUCUCUUCUUUGACCUCUUCUUUGACUUGUGUCCCUCGGAUUCCGUAUUUGAAGUAACGAGUAUAGUAUAGCCUUUGUAGUUCGGGUAACUCUGCCAACUCUUAGCAAGGUGUUGGUCAGUAAAUAAGAAAAUCAAUAAAUAAGAAUAUAGGGGCCGCCUAGAUAUUCCUUUAAGGAGUAAGUAUCAUUCGUAGUGGUUCGAUUCCAUAUUCCUAGCUCAUUCUUUGACUUAUUAGUUGAAAGCCCUGUUUCGUGGAGUAAGCCCUAUAAGUAGUAAGUUAUUAUAAGAUAUAUAGCAGCUCUGCAUUCUCCCUAGUAAACUCGCUCCGUUAAGUACUCUUCUUCUAUAUCAUGAGUGAAAGCCUAGCCUGCUACUGGUGAGUAAAAGCCAUACAUAAAGGUUGGUUCUUAUGUUGAAGCUUACUGUUUUAAGAGUUCAAUCCUGCUCUCUUAUCCCGCGAACCAUUCUUUGACUACUGCAAUUUGUAUCUUAGCCCGGUACCUUACCCUUUUGUUGGAUUCUCUGAUACGCCCACUCCUUCUUUGACUUCUACAUCGUUCUUCUACUUAUGAGUUGAAUUCGAUAUUUGAUGUCAUUGUAUUAGUAUAGUAAGGAUGUCAUUGUAUUAGUAUAGUAAGUACGAUGCCCUUACUUUCAAGGCGAAUUCCUUAUUUCAAAUACUUAUAUUCUUAUUUGUAAUGUCAACAACUAGAUCUUGACUCUACUAGGCAUAACACAUAGCAUAGGAUUAACUACACCAUAAUGGAAUUUGUAUUUCGAUGUUCCGAACUCAAUCUUUCGUGUAAAAGUAAGGAUCCAAUUCAUAAAAUCAGAGAAUGAAAACACUUGCCAACAGCUCCUGAGUGAACCUUUGUUCGUGGGCUUAAGGAGCAAGGUGUAGUUGACAGGUAAGAAAGAAGAGAAUAAAGUACUGGCUCUGGUCCGGUAGAGCUAUCAGGCCAGGCAAGCAGAAAACUCCAAACUGUAGAAAAAAACGAUUAGUUCACAGAGGCAGGUCGGGAAGCAGUUUCAUCAAUAUUAGUUUACAGAGGGUAGGCUCACUUUCAUUCUGAUAUAAACAAGUAUCAUUCUCACUUUCAUUUACAGCACAGAUUCUACUGCUUUGAGGCUAGGUGUGAGUGAGCGAGGUGUGAGUUACAAAGUCAGGUUAUGACCGAUGACCCAGAGGAUAGUUCAAUACCAGGAGAAGAGAGAGAAUCCGCGUAUCUAAUUCAAAUCACUGAGUGGAAGUACCUGAGUCAAAGGGACAGGUAAAGUAGAGGCCGGGUGCUCUAAAGCCUUUCCGGGCAGUAAAAGAAAGUAGAGCAAGAUCAGAUGUGGUUGUAGACCGGCUUAAUAGUAAGGGCCCUGCCCUGCUUGAACUUAAUAAAGAUUCUUUCCCCGAGACUUCUGGAACUAUACUUUAAGACUUAGAGCUACAGCACCAACACCAGACUUUCUCACUGGUAUUCAAUACAAUACUUGAGUCCGGAGCAGAGGCGCAGAAGAGAAAGAGAGUUUCGCGUCAAAAUGCAUUCCUUACUUUCCUGUCCGAGGUAUUCAAUAGAGAGAAAAGCACCUGCCCGGGGUUAAUAAAGAAGUGUUGUUGAUUCCUUACCGCAACAAAGCAUUGAAUUGAUUCGGAUUUCUUAGCAACAUAGGCCUAGGAGCUACUGUUACUAAAAUGCACUAGUGUUACUAAAAUGCGGAUGUCACUAAUUUCAUAGCAUAGGCAACAGUGGAAGGGAUAUCCGGGCAUAGGCAACAGUGGAAGGGAUAUCCUGAGUUGAAUACUGUAGAAGAGCACUUGAUUGAUUUCUUUCUUUAUUGAUUGAUUUCUUUAUUAUAGUUGUUUAUAUUCAAUAACUGAUUCCACUUAGGAUGCUUACUGAGCUAGCAACUAUUCAUUCGACUCCCAGAUCGGAAACUGAAGAACGGGCGGGUCUAGUAUGUAGUCAACUCUAUUCCAUUACUUACUAUAGGAGAACGGAUUCCCUUCCAUUACUUACUAUACUUUUCUGCUUGUUUCUUCCUCUACAUAAUAGUUCCUUACUCUCAAAGCCUUUCUUUGUCUUCCUCUCUUAGAGCGAGUCCUACUGUUAGGAGUGAGUUCAAUAAAAACAGGACUUUGUUGGUAAUAACAAGUUCGAACUCUAUUAUCGAACCCUAUAUAUGGAUAGUCUUGCCCGAACUCUACUUGCAAAACCACUCGUUGCCAAUGCUCUAACUACACUACUUUGAGCUACAGCAGUACUAUAAGUUGAGUUACCAACAAAAGCUAGGGUAGAGAGAGGAUAACCUUAUUUCACUUGCCCGAACAAUACUUUAAUAGCGUAACAAAAGGCAAAGCAACCUACUCUGUAAAGCCUAUUACUUCACUUGAAGAACUGCUACGUGGGUAUUCCAUUCUAAAAAGCUUAUCUUGGGCUUCAGCUCCUUCCCCUGACUUUGAAUCUACUGCUGGAUUGGGAUCUGGAUCCGCUCUAACUUCCCUUUCUUCUCGAGCACCAGGUCAGGUAUGGAAACCUUUAUGGAAACCGUUAUGGAAAUAAGUCAAGUAAAAGUAUCGAACAGCGCAUUCCCUUUUUCAACAACAUUUUCUCCUUUCCUUGCUACUAAUGUUGUGAGUGAUAGGGGCAUCGAAUCUUGAAACUACUCCAGCAGAUGAUCCAUAUUCAGAUCCGUCAUCUCGUCGCCAGGACAACACCCUGCCUUCCCGCCUCAAAGCCAGUAAGAUAUGAUUUCCCUUGAAAACAGGUAAACCGGUAACUUCACUUUCUCACUGUAACUGGAGUAUCGGACUUCACUCCUUCUUGCUUAGCUAUAAAUACUGGUUUAUUUGUUUCUUUCUCUCUGCCCGGUAGUCACUGAGUUAGGGCCAAGCGUAUACUAGACAAUAGGAGCAAUAGGCUAAAUUAGGACUCUCAACCAAACCAAAGAAAGGUUGUUCUCACUCUGGGCUCAUCUAACUCAGGCUACAGCCAAGACACGACUACAAAGGCAACCCAGGCUUUCAGCACCUUACUUUCGGUGGGCAAGGGGCCAAGCAACUUCUAAUGUUGUGCGGCAGGAGCCCCGGCUGGUUUCAUAUACAAAGUGAUAUAGAUUUUCCCCUACUAUUUCUCUACUGAGCAGGUACAUUAGAAAGAUGCCGACUUUUCUGCUUUAUUUAGCUAUUCUUACAGUGUUAAGUCUACUCCCCACUCCUGAAAUGAAGUAUUCCGGGGGUUGAUACCAUCAUUAUUCCCAUCCCUGAAAUAUCAUUCUUCCCAUCCCUGAAAUGAAGUAUGUAGGUUUUCUACCUUAGAGCAGAAAUGCUCGAAAGCCGCCCCGAGAAAGGCUGCCCUUGACUGGACAAUAGAUGAGAAUAGAGAGAUGAUAAAGAGAAUCAUAGAAGCCUCUGCUCUGCCGCGAGCUAUUCCUUAGGAUGAAUCUGGAAUACUGUUUAUCAUAAUCUAUCUCUAAAUCAGAGAUCAUUGAUUUCAAGACAUAAAGAAGAAACUUGGUGCUCAUCCCUUUAUUGAUUCCAUACCAGUUUGGAUUACCUACCCACUUCGGUCGAGGUGAGGAGAAGUGGAUUGAUUCUUCAAUCGGAGGUCGGUGAGUCAAUUGCAGUGACCGAUCCCGCAGUCUUCUAAUUCACACAACUUUAAGCAUAGAAGGCCAAGCAACGGGCAAGCAACUGGGCAAGUAGACAACAAAGACAGAUUCCACAAGCCCAGCAGCUGGCUACCGAGCACAUAGUAAGUCAGAAGCCAAGCAACCUCGGAAAGCACUCUCCAUCUAGUUCAGGCUACAAAGACAGUUAUUUCUCCAAAACACAUAGCAUAAGUAUUUACCUCCUUCUCCCCUACCCAACUAACAAUUACCCUCGCAUCAAAGCCUUUACUUUAUUCUUCCCCGAUAACUACACACUUUCCUUUCCUCUCCUCUCAGUGAAGCUGACCUCUGGCAAACAACCAAUAAGGGCCCAGACUUAGAUGUCAAGCCAAGAACUGAGCUCUACGGGGAAAGCUAAUCAAACACAAGAACGGAAAGAGUAUCUACUGAAGCUGAAGUAGACCUAGACCUCGCAACAAAGAAUGGAAUUGACCUCGCCUCUGUCAACAAUACCUUAAUUCUUAUCCGAUACCUAUGGAAACUGGCAACUUCACUGCUUCCCGAGCCUACCCAUCCUAAAGUGCUUUCUGAGACCAUAAAUCUUAUAGCUCAUUCUUUAAUGACUUAUUCCGAGGCCUGAGUGUGAGUUAAAGACCUGGGUCAUAACAGGAGCAGCCAAUUCUGGAAUCCUUAAUAAAGAUAGAGAAAAUUAGACUUCAUUUUCCCUACUAUGUCUGUACUAAUUGGGUACUGGAGAAAGAUCUAGACUUUUCUGGCACUGAUAGCGGCCCUGCCGCGACACCGAACACAGGACAUAGUAGUACCGUACCUUAGCUACCCUUACCCACACUAGCUACCCUUAGCCCCAUUCUCACCCUCCUUAGCUUCAUUCUCUGUCUCACUUGUUUCAGGCUUAGGUGCACUGGUAUAAAUCUGUAACUCACUUGUUUAGGUCUGGUUGUUGGAUCGGAUAGCCUGUUAGUUAGUAGCUCCAUUCUACCCUUGUUACCACCCGUUCCAUUCCUCAUGCCAUUCUUUAACUACCUUGGCUCAGUCUGAGUUGAACUAGUCUCAUCCCUUGUUUGAUCUGGAAUCAUUAAUAAAGAUAGAGAAAAUGAACCACUCGCCAAGUAACUACUAAUGUGUAGCGACAGGAGUCCUCGGAAAUCUGAUCUUUGCGUUUUCCCGUGUUUUUUCAUAGCGAAGCAAUUUCCCUUAAUAGAGAACCAAAAAGUCAUUCAUUUUUUAAGAAACCCCGUGUUUUUGGGCAGCAACCAUGGUUUCCCUCCUGAAAGGUCUGAUUGAAAUUACAAUUUAGCGUUUUCCCGUGAAACAGCCCUGCCGCACAACUGACGUAGUUGUUUGCCUCAUAGCAAUUGUAGACUUCAGUACUUAUCAUAGGGUGGUUCAAUUCUUUACUUCAGUACCUAUAGCUUCUAUUCGAACUGGAGCUGGACUCUAAUCUACCAACUUAAUAUAAAGCAACAGCCAACCCACCCUAGUGCUAGUGCUCUCAAGUAAGAAGGGCCAAGCAACUGGACAAGCUCACCUCUUUCUUGCUAACCUAAGGCUCCCCUUAUCGCCUACCUGGUGCUCCUCAAUUCCCAAGUUAGGGUGCUCCUCAAUUCCAAAGUUCGAAUGGGACUCAGAAGUACAAGAAGGGAUUGACCUCUUGCCCACUAUUCCAAUUCUUUGAAGACACAACUAUGAGGCUGCUAAGGGUGAGUAGCAAACUCAAAUAAUGGAGUAACCAAAAGAAGAAAUAAGCAUACUUCAAAUAGAAAGUCAGAGUCAAAAGCUUUAAAGGCAGACUGAUCGGUAGGAAAGCAAGCCCUAGAUUAAGUAGUGGCAGGCAAAAACUCACAAGCAAGAAAGAGGGACCAACUACCCCAUAAGAAAAGUCUGAGAAGUACUCGUUUGAUUCCCGGGUUCCCAUAGAAGUAUGUUUCAUUAAAGGCAUUCUUUCCGGUAGUAGUUGUCUUGUCAGCACUAGUUUUCGUUUGAGUUCCGAGCUUGAGUAUCGAGUAUUCUCGGUAGUGGUUGUACUCUAACAGCAAUAGUGAGAGUCUUGCUAGGCAGUGUUUGAUUCCCUGCCCACAAGCUUAUUAUUGUUGGCAUUAGUAUUUGCUUGUUUACAAGCUAAGUCAGAUUUCAUAGCAGUAAAGGCAUCCUUGAGAUCGGUAAGGUGGAGCGUUACAGAUUCGAAGAUCAGCAGUUCGAUCCUUGCUAUCAGUGAUUCAAUUCUGUUUAUUGGUAGUUUCAGAAUCAAAGUCAGUGUCGUAAGCCUGUUCGGCACUAGCUCAAUUCUUUAACCACUACAUUUGACUACUUAUUGCAGCGGGGGGAUCCCAAUAUUCUCUAUUCCGAUUUCCAUUCUUUUAGUGAAUAGCUAGAUGCACUAGAGCCUACACCACCUAUUGGCCUUAUAGCUCUAUAUUUGUAUUAGUAGACUUAGAAACGUAUCAUGACCCCCCUUUGCGUAUCCUUAACCCUUUGUUUGAUUAUUGAUUCCUCCUUCGCUCUGCCAUCCUUAUGUUAAUGAGUGAAACUCUUUUCAUUGUUCCUUUCAUUCUGUUUGUUCCUUUCAUUCUGUAUUUACUACCUUUUGAGUUGUUCUCUUUAUUCCUUUAUGGCAUUCUGACUUGUUAGUUUUCUCCCUAUCUAUUGGGGGUUAUAGCUUAACCCUGGCAUUCCUUUCUUUAAGGCCGAUUUCUCAUUUGAAACCUAUACCAGCUCCCGGAACUCAUAACUACCAAACUUACCCAUUUCCUUAUCUUAGCCUUUCUCGAGAGGAUCUGGUCUAAACUGCUUGUUUUAACCUGACGUUUCACUCGGGCACUCUUCACUUUGAUUCUGAUAUUGAUCACUUCAACGCCCAUGCUUUAGCUCAGGCCUACCACUCCCAACUCCAUGUCUUCAACUACUUUCUCUUAGUAAUAUACUUCUCAUUUGAAUUCCCACACUGCUUACGGCAUCCUAGCUCCCGGGGCACCUACUUAGCCUGGGACUCUUGAUCUCCAAUUAGAAUAUACCUUAGAAUAUAGCAGUAGAUAAGUAAGAAGUACAGACAGGCAUGUAAGUUUUAGACAAGAGAAUGAGAAUCAAAGCCUGCUGCUAAAGCAAGGAAAGCAAGAGUGAGAGCUGGGGGGUGGGUGUCAGGCCGAGAGCAAGUAAAGCAAGACUAUAAGCUCGGAGGUUUAGUUUGAAACUAAGAAGCUAGGAUGUCAGGACCAAGUACGACCCAUAUUCUGAUGAAAGUAAGAUCCCUAAAGUCUUAAGGAGAUUCCUAGCGUUAUCCGUAAUGGUCUGCCAGUUAUCCGUAAUUUGUUGAAUGACUUGUAUCCUUACUUGGACAGCGAUCAGGGAGUUCUAAGACACUCAAAACACUAAGUCAGAAUAAAAGACAUAUAAGUAACUCCACUAGAUAAUAGUGAAGUCAGAAUAAUACUUGUAAGUCAAAUAAUGAACUAGGUGCCUCACAAUACCUUUACUCUUCUAAACUCGUAAUUGCCCUCCUUCUUGCCCAACCCUAUCUGCUUGGACCUUCUCUUCCAACCAAACAUAGUGCUAUUUCUCGCCAACCGUAGUCUAUUUCUUGAAAGGAGCAAAUCCACCACAUAGCCUAUUGUCUUUAAAGUAGGAAAUCCACCUAUACGCCUAGUUAUUUGAAAUAGUCAAUAAAGAAUCCAAUUAGAAAGGGCCAAGCAACGGGCCAAGCAACGACUAGACGCCAAGCGCCAAGACACUACCACUCCUUCCUUUCUUUUACAACUAAUGAAAAGCCUGCUAUACCUUGAUCUCAGCCUACCCCUUCCUAGCUAUUAGUCUUACAGCCCUUGACUAAAUCUAUCUCUCCUCGCUAUCCAACUGGCUUGGAUGCUUAAUUGCAUCCUUUCAUUACUGGCUUAAAGCCCUUGACUACCUUUUCUAAUUCCUCAACCCACGGUAGGAUCCAGUGUAUCUAACAAUUGAAUAAGCAACAGGGAAUCCAAUACAUAACUACUGAGAUCAAUUACCUUUCUAUUGAUUCCAGCGUACACUAUUGAUCCAGGCGGAGGGGAUUCUUAUCAUCCAUGUCCUCCAUCCGAUCUAUACCUUGAAUUCUGUAUUGAUAGCUUGAGUAUGUCACUACCAAACAUAGGAGAGAUGUAGAUGUUUUCACGGGCUAGAGAGAGAAGAGAGAGGUCGGGCAAGCUUCAUGACUCAAAUCAAUUCAGCCAGGUACAGGUUCGGCAGAGAUGGAGCCAGGGAAGGUCUUCCUUGACCAGUUUGGGCCUUACCGAUGCCUUCUGCUCGCAGCCGCCAGCGGGUGCCCCGGAUUCCGGUUCUAUCGCCGGGGAUAUAGCGUCUUAGAGAAUUCCUAAAAUACCUUGAUUGCAGGAUCACGGAAGGCGUGCAAUGCUGAUAGAUCACUCAAUCCUAUUCUCUUUUCUCAGUUUCGAUAACUUGUAGAUCUGCAAGACAUAUUUAGGGACCAAAGCCCUCUUUCUUUGUAGGGGAAUAGAUAGCAUAAGGUUACCCUGGUCAAAGAAGGAUCCGGCUCUCAUAGACUGAGGAGAGAGAUAGUAGCGCCCUUUCCUAUUCUGAUUUCUUUCUGGUGGGUCAAAGAAGGAUCAAGACCAUAGUUAUGAAACUUUAUAGGUUGCGAACCACUUUUUCUGUGCGCGAGAAAUAUUCCCCCUUUCAAUAACGCUACUUCUACGCUUCCUUUGAGGAUUACGACCUAUCGGCAGACUUAGCCUCAGAUGAUAGGACCCUUCGGAAUGGCUAAGCGGAGGAGAGGAUUCUGACAAUGAUGUUAGUAAGCACAAGCACCGGAAAUCAAAGAAGAAUUAUGUUAGGAAGCCGGAAAUCAAACCACUUACUUCUGGUAGACCUACCUUACGUUAGCCUGUAGCUUCAAGCCGGGCCACGCAGACUUGUAGGCAAGCUAGCGGAUUCAGGGGAUUUGUAUAAGUACUGGUAAGUAUAUGAAAUGGUAUUAGUACUGGUAUGAUCUAGUACCGAUAACUAGUGGUUGCUUGGCCGGGGAUUCCUAAGGAACAAAGGGACGAGAACACUGGGUGGCAGGGUUAUUAUCUCUAGAAACUACUACCGGCGGUGCAACUCUCACAUCAGCUACAAAGAACCGGUCGGCUACCAAGAAAAAGAUAGAGGAAAAACAGAGUCGUUGGCGGCCUGCUAUAGAAAGAAAGACGUAACUCGCUUAGGGGAGGGAGGAAGUCAAUCUAUUUCCAUUCAUGAUUAUAGCCUAGGCCGAUGGUUUACAUCAAAUACUCACAUGCAGUUGCCAAACGACCCUAUAGUAUGAGGAACUAUAAGGCGGAUGCUAGGCAGAUAGAUGGGCGUAGAGAAGGUUUACCCUUAAUUACCACCAUCAUUCUAUAUCUGGUAGCGAACUUGAUAAGCAAAGCAUAAGCCCAGUAAAUAAUAUGUUCAAAAGGAGGGGUCUGCCCAAUAGAGCCAAAUAUAGAACGAUAUAGACGAAAGGUGUCCUUAGGCAUCGCGAUGCAAACCUAUAUAUUGAAGUUAGCGGCCGAAACACUUUUAGGAAGAAAGAGUUGAACCUAUGUUGAUGAACCGCCUCUAGACCAACGUUAUAAUAGUGCUCCGAUAGUCAGGAAGUUGAGAUCAAAGGCAAGCUGUUACGACUUUCUAAAUAAGAUGAAAAUCCAUCUAUCCUUCUAGCAUCUUAGGAAGUAGGGCUCGUACCCAUCUCUCCAUCAAAGCAGACGUCCUAUCCACUUAUGGCAGGGGUAUCUUCCAUCUCUAUCAAAGAAAGCAGACGUCCUAUCCACUUAUGGUAUAGCAAGCAGGUAUCUUCCAUCUGUCUUCUCCUCAAAUAGUUGUUAUCCUUAGGAUGCUCUUUCACAAGAUUGUGCCGGCAUUAGAAUAAGGGGGAAGGGAUAGAAUCUCCAAGCCAAGCCCAAGAUCAAAUCAAUAGCAAAUAAGAAAUCAAGUGUGAAGUGAAACACUCUCUUAUUUAGAUAGAGAUCCUUUCCAAUUAUUGCUACAGAAGUAAUGGCCUACCUCCUAUGCCCUUUGACCCCAAAGAAAAAAGAAGUCAAUUUGCUCUUCCAUCUCGGAGUGCUCCUAUGCUAUGUUAGCAAGCAGAACAUUUCCAGCAAGCAAGUGACCUCUAUGUCUCGGCCUCGUAAAAGCAACUUCCUUAUCUAGACGAGACUAAACUUAACCUGAGGGGAACCGCGGGCAGCGGAUGAUCUUUCUUCCCUUGAUGGUUCAGCUACCCUUGACUCUUUUCUAGCAUUUGUUUACUCUGACCUAUACUAUGCACGCGAAAUUCUCAUUAAUGUGCGUAUUGGCAAGAAGAAUCAGAUAGGUAGCUUCACACUCAACCUACAGCUCCAAGUUCAAAGGUGAAGUAAGUAACAGCUGUUUCUUUCGCUUAAAUACACUUGUGAGCGGGCGCUAACAGGAGCUUGGGAAGUACUCUCUUCUGCCCUUCCGAAUACUGAUACGCCUGUUGUAUCUUCUUUACCAGAAACUUGACUUGUGUACUAUCUUCUUUACCAGAACUUUACUUGCCAACCUCUAUUUGAAUGAAAACUGGUUGACUUCUCCAGCUUAUGUAUCAAAGCCNNNNNNNNNNNNNNNNNNNNNNNNNNNNNNNNNNNNNNNNNNNNNNNNNNNNNNNNNNNNNNNNNNNNNNNNNNNNNNNNNNNNNNNNNNNNNNNNNNNNNNNNNNNNNNNNNNNNNNNNNNNNNNNNNNNNNNNNNNNNNNNNNNNNNNNNNNNNNNNNNNNNNNNNNNNNNNNNNNNNNNNNNNNNNNNNNNNNNNNNNNNNNNNNNNNNNNNNNNNNNNNNNNNNNNNNNNNNNNNNNNNNNNNNNNNNNNNNNNNNNNNNNNNNNNNNNNNNNNNNNNNNNNNNNNNNNNNNNNNNNNNNNNNNNNNNNNNNNNNNNNNNNNNNNNNNNNNNNNNNNNNNNNNNNNNNNNNNNNNNNNNNNNNNNNNNNNNNNNNNNNNNNNNNNNNNNNNNNNNNNNNNNNNNNNNNNNNNNNNNNNNNNNNNNNNNNNNNNNNNNNNNNNNNNNNNNNNNNNNNNNNNNNNNNNNNNNNNNNNNNNNNNNNNNNNNNNNNNNNNNNNNNNNNNNNNNNNNNNNNNNNNNNNNNNNNNNNNNNNNNNNNNNNNNNNNNNNNNNNNNNNNNNNNNNNNUAAACCCAAUGAUAAGACUCACGUGAGCACAACUAUAAACUAAACCCAUAGCGCUAAAGACAGGAAGUGUCAAGAGCAAACCAAGUCCUUUUGAUUAGACUGAAGUGAGUUAGAACAGCAGUAACGGGGGAAACAAGAUAUAAGCUAUAAAUUGAGUUUCUCCGAGUUAGAGAAUGAGCUAAGCCAAUAUACCUUUAACCGAGCUCUGUUCUGGUAGGCCCGAGUAGUGGUAAAAGUCGUCACCGAUGUAGCUCAAACUAAGUCAUUCAGAAGAAAAGUUCCAGAAAAACAAUCCGUCUUGUUCCCCGCUUAUAGUGCUAGGUAUGAGAUAUUGGGGUCACUAACCUCACCCAGGAAUUCUUUUCUUAAAGCAAUGUCCUUAAUUCUUGUUGUUUGGCGCAAUGAGUUAGGAGUUGUGUGACUCAAUAUUAGGAGUUGGGUGACUUGAAAUAUAUAUAUACCUUGCUUUUCUUGUGUCAGUGAAAGAAAUGAUUUCGAGUUAAGUUCACCGCACCUUAUUGGCUGGAGUGAAACUGUUAGGUAGAGCAGGAGCAGGAACAGGAAAUGUAGACGCACUAACGGAGUUCAAAAGCAAGUCCUAAGUUCACCUAUAUUAAUGGUAUAUAUGGCACGCAUACAAGUUUGAUUGUUGCCUUUGAUUCGAGGCGAGAGAUAGCCUAUCACUGAACCCUAAAUUCUUAUAUGAUUGUAGUCCACUCAAUUCUUAAAGUAAGGAGCGGCUUGGGGGGCGAGUAACGUCUAGGAAAGCAGUAAACCAUAGAGCAGGAACUGGCACCGAGUAAACCCUCUUCUUAGUUGCUAUCCUCUUAUCUAUCCCUAUUCAUUGAGUGUGCUAGCAACCAACAUAGGGAAUUUGCCUAAUAGAGCAACGAAUGCAUUAGUAAGCGCAUUGGUGAACUUGAACAGCCGGGUUUUGGUGAACUUGAAUAGCGGGCAUUGACUUAUCACUUGUGCUUUUCUCUUUGGGACAGUAAACCCGGACUACUCUACUGGUUGGGCAAGGGGGAAGGAACCUAAAAUGGAGUUAUUGCAACAUAGCUCGGUGAUUCUGCUUCCACUAAUUGAUUUCCUCGGAUUGGAAGACAUAGGCGAUGAUCCUUAUUGCGUUUUCUCGUGCAAGAGAAGGAACCGCUCAUAGGCUUGACUCGCCCUUAACGGUACGAGCUAUAGUCCACUUUACUCGCACUGAUCCUUAACUUAAUCCAAUUCAACGAGUAGCGGUUACUUAACUAAUUACUCUUGUCUGAUUCUUUUCUCUUUCAACUAUCGAUUAAGUUAGUCGAGCAGGAGCAAAAAUGCAGGAUAGUUCUCUAGCUAAGCAAGAAGGAGUGUUUUCCGUGUAGUUACUAAGGUAUGCUUGCCUGAUAGCAUUGGUUAAUGGGUCAACUCUUAUUAGAAGAUUCAAUUGGAAUAAUGGAAUGGAAUUGAAACUAAUUCAACAGCCCCUCUGUAAACUAUACUAUACCCGAAGCCUCGCCUGUAUACGUUGCUUGCCUCUUAGACCGUCAAUACUGAGUGCAAUUCUUUAAUGAAAUACCAGAUGUGGCAGAUUGGUCAUAUAACUACUGAGUGCAAUUCUUUGACUUUACUACUUUAGAGAACCGGUAGUUUCUUUCCUCUUUACUUAAACCAACCCUUGUUUCUGAUUUCCUCUUUACUAUACUAGUAAUUCAUUCUUUUCCAGGAAUUGACACUCCUGACGCGCAACUACUAGCUAAUGUCGCAGGUCACUUUCAUUUCUCGCCUAUUGCUCCCGUUAGUGCUUACUUGCCAUCUGACCCGACCUCUCUACUUCUACUAAUAAGAAUAAGAGAUCUGCUAAAAAGAUAUGAAACUAAGAAUAAGGGACUGGUCUUCCAUUCUGCAUUUAUUAUGUCUUAUACAACUACAACUACAGAAGCGGUCCUACUACUCAACUUAGAAGUGGUCUUCUACCCUAAGUUCAUCACUUGGCGACUCGGAACCAUCAAGAUGUUAGGCUUGAGACGGCGCUAAUGGAGUGGAAUGGAAGACCGCUUCUAAUUCUAAGUAGAUAUACCUGAUAAGUAGGAAUACCAGAGUUAGGAGUUCCACUUGUCUAGUAGUAGCUAGCCGGGGCUAAAGUUGCAUUCCAUUGAAACAAAGAAUUGAUACUAAGAAGGUAAAGAAGAAGCAUCAUACGGAGGAGAAGGAAAGGCGGAAGGGAAAGAUACGGGGUCGCUGCUUUAGUAGUGAAGUGACUUAUUAAAAGGAAGAAAGGACGAGAAAAGAAACUACUAGCUAUGUAUAGGUGUCUAGACAGGAGUGGAAACACUAAGAAUUGAGGUAAGUGGAAACUCCUAAUAAUAAGAGUAAGAAAUAAACAAAUAACAUUGAUGUAACAAACAGGCGAGCAGAGGGGGCAAAGGGGUCUUGAUAACUAGUGAAAAGUAACAGUGAAGAAAGUCAGGUUGGGAGAAAGCGAAGCCACAUACUCACAAGAUUCCAGACUUGAUGAUAGAAAGGAGGUAGAGGGAAGCUAACAAGCUGUGUAGAAGAAAACGAAGAUAGAGCGAGAGAAGCUACGAGCGCGAAGGCGAGUGAGAGUGCUAGAGUUCCAGUGAGCAACUGGAGGAGUGAGGGAAAAAUGAGUAUGCAUUAGUGUAGAGUUGCCUCCAGAGGAGUGAAAGAGAAGAGGGAAGAGAAAGAGGUAUGUAGUUGUAAUAGUAGAUGUAUCGGAGUUCAAGAGGCAAGUUAGGAUCUUUUGAAAGGAGGGAAAGAGUUGGGAAGCGAGUGAAUUAUAGGAGGGAAAUACAAAAGAGUAGCGGGAAAGAGGAGGAAAAGGCAAUACUCAACUCAGAGGUUAAGGGUAGGCAUAAAAGAAAGGGUUAUAGCAGUAUCAAAGAGCGAAAGAGCAUAGCCGAGGCUUGACUUGCUCAUAACUUGCUAGGAAUUCGCUGAAAAUAGUCAUUAUUUUAGGCUUAUGGUAUCCGUGAAAACCCCUGUUUAUGGUUGUUUAGGGUAUAACUCAUCAGUAGUGGCUUGGCGUUUCAUCUUAUAAAGAAGCAAAGCAGGGUUAGUUAGGGCGUAGAGAGAAUCACAAGUUCUUUCUUCGGGAGUCCUGUAUUAAGGGUGGCAGGGCCGCUAGUCAAUUGAAUUCCACUCCUUACCCUCCCUAAACUACUCCUCUCCUGUGAGCGCAGAACUUCUCCUUAAAGAAUUGGAGUGCACCGUACUACUUAUAGGAGUUGUGUUAAGACUUCAGAGCUCAAUCCUCUUCUUACGUUUGAUACCUGAAUUCGGCAACUAUACCUUAGGCUCAUAUACCGAUGUGUUUGUUGGCUUGACUUAGUUUGUGUCUUACUUAGUUGCUUGGUGGCUUCAACUCCAAAUAUAGGCUUUCUCACUUAGUUGCACAGGAAUAGAACUCAGGAAUCAACCUACUACUAUUAGAUAGAGCUCAACCAACAAAAGAGAGACUGAAAGAACUCCCCCAAUACUGUAACUCCGGGGGAAAGAGCGGAGACUUUCAAUAAUGAGUAUCGGGCUUUAUCCACUAACUCAGAGUAUAUCACUAUCCAUAAUAAUCAAACAAAUAACUAAUACUUGAACUCCCAAGCAACUACCCCUGUAUCUAAGCCCACCUUUCCUUAACUCAAAUCUGUAUUAUCAUCUAUCGACUUAGACCAACAAGUGCAGUUUUCCCUUAUACUCUUGCAAACCGACACCACUGUCUCUUGUCCUCUGACUACCAGCCUGUGACUCAUAGCUUUCACUCUGCUAUUCCUCGAUUAGAGCCUUGCUUCCUGGGGGGUCUAUUCUUAUUGUGAUAUUCUAUUUGAAUAAAGAGUUGAACUGGAGACACCGGAAUAGAACCACGGCAAACUACUUACAAGGCCCGAUGCACUAAGCAUAUGGCUAAAAACAAGGAAUGCGACGCGACGACGGCUUAUCAUAUCGAUACAAGAGAAAGGGAAUGCCAGGCCCAACUAUAAGAAUCGAAAGUGAAGAGUUAAGACCCGGAAGCAGAGGAAUCAUAAUCGCGGUUAGUGCUCUCCAGCUCAAGUCUAGGUUUGGAUACUUAUAAUGCUAGGUAUAGUUCGGGAAGGGAAGUUGGUAGAGCGGAGACAUUGCUCUAGUUUGAAGCAAGUAAUGGGCAGAUUUACAUCAAGGAGUAAAGGAGUGGGUUCAGCUCACGGGGGUAGUGUUUAGUUCCUGUUAGCGCGAGUUUCCAUUGUUCAUCGACCUAGGACAAAGGCACGGGCAAGAUAGGGCGUGGAGGCACCGGGUGUUUGACUUUCAGAAGAAUGCAGUUUAUUAGUUUACAUAGGAGUGAAAGGCUUAUUAGUUUGUUUACAGAGGAGUGAAAGGCUCUCCCGAGUGUCCUCAUAAAUUGAUUCCUACCGACCCUGUAGGGAGAUACUUUAUGGCGCGUAAUUAACAGAGUGGCGCGUAGUAUAAUGAAUUCCCUAGCUUCCCUGUCUUUGGAAUCUGAUCAGUAGCAAGCAGUUCUGAAAGUAUUGUUUCGGGUGUUGGUCAGGUGUUCCAGCUACUAGAUAGUAAGGUUAAGGCAUGUUUUAUUCGAGUGUCAAUUCCUAUAAUUCAUAUAUAAUAAUCAAAGUGAUCUCGAACACUUUCCUCGCACUGCUAAUUAUUUACUGUCUUUUUGACCCCGCUGGUAGGUAAAACAGGGUUGCUGCCUUUUUGACCGGGUUUCAUAAAAUCAGAUCGUCUCUUGCUCCCUUACGUGCUUCAACGACUCGGGCUCAGCUCCUGCCGCUACACUUACUACGUUCCUUGGCCCUGAACUUGGCGCCUCUUUUCUUCUAUUCCGUUUAUGUAGUUGACUUUUCCUCUGACUUGCAUUCUUAGUUGACUUUUCCUCUGACUUGCAUUCUAUAUAAGGAGAAAGCUCUUUCUUACUCAGAAGGAUAAAGCUCCUUCUUACUCAGGUAGAAUAUUGUAUUGUUACUUGAAUGAAAGGAGGGAUCCGGUAUAAUAGAGUGCGGGUAGCACACGAGGAUGUGCAGUGAAUACACUUAGGGUACACCUCGGAAAGAAAAGAAAUGGCAUUCAUUCGAAACGCACCCUGCAGAGAAAAACUGUAUCAGGGGGAAGGUUGUCUAACGGAAAAAAUCUUAUAGGUAAGUUAUAAGGUAUGAGUUAGAAGGUAUUCUUUUAUAGGGGCGAACAGUGCCCAAGUAAUCCUGCGGGUCUAAAUUCCUGUAAUUAGAAUAUCAUAUGGAAGAGCAUCCGGUAAAAAUGACUUCUUGAGUCCUGUUUCAACAGUGUUUGUAGCCCUGGAAUCUUUGUUUGUAGCCCGAGUUAGAUUAGAGUCCUGCUCCAGCUAUUUCGUACAAUACAUUUGGAAAAAACUAUAGUAAGUGAAGCACGGUGGGUUGCUCCCGAGCGUGUAGUCCUGUUAGCCUAGUUGGAGUUUUCUCAUAUAAAGAAGAAGAUCUCGGAUCAACACUAAAGUAAGCUCCGCUCCACAGUAUAAAAGAAAGGUGAAGUGCACUUGUAAGGAAAUAUUAGAUGUUGAAGAGGUAAGCUGUAAAUACAGUUUAGGUAGCAGCGGUACCGGUACAAAGAGCAGGUGUUGUGGUAAGAGAAUAUGAUCUCGGCACACUUCCACCGAGUUUGAAUCUAGAGAGCAUCCGGAUGAUGAAUACUUGGAGAUCAUGGAGUCUGCAACAGAGUAUCUUUCUCUUCUUUGAUUUCUUCUCAAAUCUCUAGCCUCGUUCACAUUCAUUGUGUGAAUCAGAUCUGGACACUACUUGGUUGUUCUUUAGUACGUUGGGACAUCAAUCCGCUGCUUUCAUUGCUCCUGUCCAUUCUUGUGCUUUUUUGUGGAUUUCUUCACUACUGAAUUCCGUAGGUAUACCUAUAAGUAUAGCUAGUACAAGGCUUGACUCUGGUUCCAUUUUGUAGCUUCACCUGACUUUAAAGAAAGCUGGAAUUGGAACUCCCUCUUUCCUGAGCAAGCCCAUAAAAGUAGUACGUACUCGGGUGUCUGCUCGUGGAAUAGAAAUAGUUGGGUAGUAUAGAUAUGCUUGAGAUCAGAGAAUAGCUCCAUAAUCAAUAGAAAACUGCAAUGAAUUACACACACGCAAGUGGUGGCUCGGUUAGAGGAAGAAGCUUGAGCCUCUGCACUACCGAGGACCUGCUAAAAUCAAUCGAUUGCAUCAGAUAUGCCAAAACCACUUACAGGUCUUUCCAAAGAGCAUAAAGAACAAAAGAAAUAGAAGUAAAGUGGACUCGGAAAGAAAAGAGAUAGUGAAACCCUCUCCAAUUUGAGAUCUAUCUAUCCUUAUAAGUAGGAAUCAAAACCUACUAAAUUCCCCCACAUGAUUAGACUAAUGGAGAAAGUAGAGGUAUUAAAAAAACCCUAUACUCCUACUUCCCUUUAUUUGAUAUUUCCUAAAGGUUAGAUUCCCAAACUUGGCUCUAUAAUAAGAGUGAGCGCUCACACUUUCUUUAUGGGGAGCAUCUAUUCAAAGGAAAUGUUUCGGCCUGCAGGAGAGGCAUCUUACUUUCCUACUGACUGAAUCACUGAAAUCUGUUUAAGGAGGUUUCUACUGGAAGAGACUCCGCGUCGGGGCGGUCGGGGGUUCAUUACGAGUGGGCAUGAACUGUAACAAAACUCAAGUAAGCCCUAAUUCCGGAACCGUAACGGGAACCACCCUGUAAAGUAAAGAGCCUCGCCUAAAGGACCAGACCCGGAGCUGAGAACAAGAUCGCAAGCGCAACUUCUCAUUCGAAGCAUGAAAGUGGUCAGGUCACUUAGAGCCGGAAGAGAUAAUAGUUGCCUUAUUAAAGGUUGGGGCGAAAUCUGUCAAAUACAAGCAAGCAAGCCCUUCUAUUUCUCUAUUCAAUCCAAGGCCUACCUCGAUACACCUGUGUCACAACGGCGGAUCUUUUGAGUGAGGGAAGCCGGAGCAUUGGUCAAGAGAUAGAAAUCAGAGGCACUAUAGAUCGAGAAAAACACAUUAGCUACACCAGCGUGUAUUAAGAAGUUUCUUUUUGAUCCUAUUUGGAGACUUUCCGGUUACUACUUAGCUAAAGCACUCCUCAACCAACUAAGAAAUGGAUUAGCAGUUACCCGAACCCUCCUAUCACAACAAGGCAGAGCUAACCCUGAAUUCGACUGCUCUCUAAAAGGCCUGCCUAUGAAAUUAGUAAAGCUUGGAUAACAUAGUACUAGGACUUACUAGAUGAAAGACCGUGAUUGGUUAAGGUACCCAAUAUUAGGUAGCUGCUCCAUCUAUCGGAUCUUUUCUAAGAGGGUUAGGUGGUUGAGUCGAAGCGUAGAAGGAGACAAAAUCAUCGGUCGUGCCCGGGGUUGAUUUCCUACUUACAGCUAAAUGAGGGUUUUUGACGUCAACUCUGCUGGAAGCUAGAUCCAAUCUACUGGUCUUUCGUUCGCUAUUCGAAUGUCUUGGACCAGUAUAAAUGUCAGAAAGGUGGUCUUGUCCUUUCCUACUAGUACGUCGCUAGUAGCUCCUUAGUUGAUCUCUCCUCUUCCCGGCCGGCUGUUACUCGUAUGUCCAGACAACGCAACGACUAUCGAUUCAACGAACCCAUAGAUUCUUCUAUCAUUCGACCAGAUCUUCUAGAUGUAUUCUAAUUCUCCGGCCUCGAGCAACUUUACUCAAAAGGGAAAUGCCCUUAAUUCAUUUUGGAUUAGUUUACAGCUUUUUCACCGAGCGGUUCUUCAAGUAGAGUUCCAGAAGCCGAAUGCUAAUCGAAUGCUGAGGUUGAGUCUCAAGGAGAAGCGGAAUAAAGAGCAGAAGAAUAAGCUUGAGCAGAAUAAUAAGCUUGAGCAGAACAGAAGCAGUAGGCACAGGAGUAGUUUCAAUUGAAGUUGUGGAAUUCUUUGUCGCCAGCCAGCACGCAUAGAAUCUCCGUAAUCAACUGUAGCGCUCUCAAUUCGAAGUUUCAAAAUGCAAUACUAAGUCUUCCAUUCCAUUCUGUAUUUUCCAUUCCGUUUUUCAAUUAUGAAAUGAGGUUUUCCAUUCUUUAUCUGUCAUAUUACUUUUGUUCUAUAUAAGACAUCCCCUUGAAACAAAUCAUUCUGAAACUUCACCUCAUAUAAGGAAGUAAGUCAUAUUACAAACCAAUAUAUCCAUACCAUCUUUGAAACAAAUCAUUCUUAAACGGAAACAAGAAAGUUCCAUUCUCACUUUGGAGUCUAAUGCACUAGAGACCCUAUUCCUUGAGUCUAAUGCACUAGAUCUAACCCUAUUCCUAGUCAGAUUUGUAGAAUAGAAGACCCUAUUCCUAGUCAGAUUUGUAGAAUUAUUAGACGCAGAGCAGGAGUACAUCCCUAUUGAAUAUAAUGGAAGUACGACAUAGAAGAAUAGGCUUGAAGAGCACUAGACUAGGGGGGCGAUGCGAGAAGAGAGGGCCGAAAACAGGAGUGGAUUUCUGACUUGGAAACACUGAUACUAUAUUCUUUAAGUAAGGAGCAAACAAGCAGACAGCUUUCAUAUAAGGGAAAGAACAAGUAGUGGCCCAGCCCAGUGGAAUCCGUAUGAGUUUACAGACUUACCGCAAUUAGUACAUCUGAGACUAACGAGUGGAAUUCUGACCUUUCUGCACUUUGAGUGGAAUUCUUUGUUUCAUCUGUCUUAGUUGACAUAGGUAUCGGAGCCAUAGGUAUAGAAUCACUUGUGACCUAAUUUACUGAUUUCUUUGACGGAUAUCGGUCAUAUCUAUCGGUCAUAACCAUACUUGAGAACUUGAAUUAGAGAUGAAACUAGUCAGAAUGAAGCCAGAGAAGGUAUCGAAUAGAGUUUACGAUUUCUUCUGUUAGGCCUGUACCUGCGCCUUAACCCUACUUUAGAGCAGAGAGAUUCGCUGUUUUGAAUCCAUUCUCUUUCUCAUAUAAGAUAGAAUGAAAGACCUUAGAGCGAGGUAUCUUCACCAGGCAAACAACUCCUCAACAAGCAACUCAGGGCAUUUCGUAUAUCGAGAAAACGCAUCUUUGCAUUCAACUACGAGGGGAAUGUUUUCAACUGACAAAGCUACUACUCGGGGCUUUGAGGCUUCCACUCACUAUAGGUAGGCUGACUCGCUGGCUUAAGGCUUCUACCCACUAGCUCCCGAAAACAGUUAGUCUUAAGUUGACAAGCAGUAGUCCAGUGGAAUAAGAGGUUUAGUGUAGAAUCAAACCGGCUCUCCAGUAUCUCGAGUUUAUUAUUUCCUAUUUCACUCCUGUACUCCCUUUCCUCUUUCACUCCUGUAAUUGAGAACUCUAAGAAUUAAUACAUCUGUACUGGGUUGGUUCAGAGCACUUAGAGUUGAGUUGACUUUCCUCGCACCAAUUCACUUAAGGGCUGAAACACCUGAGUUAGAAUGAAACGUCGUAGUCAAAGAAUACAAUUACGAGCUAAGGCUAAGUCAGAGGCAUAGGUACCUGUUUUUGCUGUUCUAGUUCCUGAGUUUAUAACUUCUUAUUUAGGGGUUUGUUGCGCAAGAGGUGAGAAAGGCACUAAGCCUACUUAAGGCCUUGAAACCAACCCGUAGUACUGCUAUGGUUCUUGUUUAAUACCGAAUAGCUUCCUCGCCCGCCUGUCGAACAUGAGUCCGAUUGUGUGUCUCAGAUGGAUAAGGUAAGUCCGCAAGUUCGGGAGCAGAUUCCUUAGGAGCAGGAAACUCCAUUCUUAUAGAUUCCGGAGGAGGAGUUACAGAGUUACCGACAAAAGUGAAGUUAAAGAAACCCAUAUCACUGAAUUCUAUCUUUCUAAAGGAGAACUUUCUAUAAAGGAUAACUGAUGAUCCAGCUUUCAUAACUGCUGCAUCUCGGCACCCUCUGCCCUUAACCCAGCUUCCGAACAAGUAAUUGAAUUGGAAGACCUAGCUCCUAGGCUCAACUCUAACAACAUCUUUUCUUAGACCACAUAAGACCAGUAGAAGACCGUGUACAGGAGCUCAAUCAAUAUAAGUUAGUAUGGGUUAUAAACGAGUCCUUAUUGUCUACUCCGACAACAAAUCAUUGAACCCUGCCCAAGCUGCUGGCAACAAUUCUCUACUUCCCGCUUCAAAGCAAGUACUUUACCUCGUAUCAAACCUCGUAUCAAAGCAGGAGUCCUCUUCAACACCCGAACCGAACUCACUCUAUUCUCUAAUCUCUAACUAAUGAUCCCAAGGCUUACUCCCUUUUUGACAGCCUCAGGCGUAUACUACAGUACUUCCCCCUAACAAGCAAGUCAACUACCCGAGCCUAGGUAAACUACCCGACCCUCAAAAGUCAGUGCACUACCCUUACUUCUAUUCUCAAACUACUUACCUCGGAUCUUACAGUUGCGGGACUAACUGAAACAGCUUCUUUGCCUUCUUCCUUUCGAUUGUUAGUCUCAUUAGUCAGCUUCAUCUUUCUACUCCUUAGUUUAGCUCUUGCUUGUUAGCUUCAGAGCCCUUAUCUCCCUUAUCUAAUUAUCCCCUUCCCCGCUUUUCGCCUAUCUUUUAUUGGUAUUCUUUUCACUUAUAUAUUAGCAUGUGUGUUUUAAUAUGAUUAUUGAUUAGUAUUUUCUUCUAUUUGAUUAGGGAAAUUAGACUCAAAACCACAAGUUCUAUUUCUGUUCCCUUUAUCGCAGUUGGUGCCGGUGUCAAGUAAACAUCAUUCUUAUGAGGUCUCAGUUCAAACUUUCACUCUGCUCUCCCUUUCUUGCCUUUAAGUUGGAAGCUCCUUUACUGGAUGCACUGGAUCAUACCAUACCCGUUCGGAUAUUAACUCUACCCUUUUUCUUAUUUGUAAUAUCCGCCUUAAAAGCAGUUGUUUGGUGGUUCGAAGUAAACAGUAUAAGAGGGGUACAGAACUCGACUAAGCUAUUUCAGAAUUUAUAUACUACAAAAUAAAUUGAGUAAGCACUAAGCAAUUGAAGCACGAGAGACAGUAAAGCAAGCGCAAACCAACUCCUAUCUAAUCGUCUUAACCUGACUUUCUAACAGGAACAGGACAUUCUCCACUGUAAACUAGAACAGUCCAUUCUGCUGCUGGCAAGUGCUACUUAUAGGAUGGAAGGCACCUAGACUUCACUCCCACUCAAAGAUAUUCUCUAAGACACCUUGGGCUAAGAUGGGAGGCCUAAUGGUUGAACUUCUCUUACUUACUAACUCUAUACUGCGGAUUCUAUUACAGCCGAUGAGGAUCUUUCUUCUGCUUCAAAGCCGAUACUUUCUUUUUAUUCUUCCUCGACAAGAAACACCACUUUAUGACCGCCGCAACUGAUCUUGUUCCCGCUUCGGUUUAUUCUCCCGCUUCUGGUCUCUAUUACUUUCCGGAUCCCGUUUCUGAUCUCGUAGACUUUCCAGAUCCAGCUUAUGGUCUUACUGCAAAAGAAUUACCUCCUUCGGCAUUAAACUAGGGCCCGAACAACACUUUCCCUGUUUCCGAUGCUUCCUCUUUAGUGACCAACAUCUAUUAGACCCCUAUUAGAACUUGAACUCUGACUUCGAUGUUAAUACCCAGCUCUUUUGUCAUUACAAUUCCGACAAGCAACUAAGCGCCAAGCCUUCAACAAGGGAGUUACAGAACGAAACAAAGAAGUGCAAGGCUGAAACACUACCUAGCAAGACCUGAACCAAGGGAGUUACGGGCUAUCCGACACCUGAGGCACAGACUGCUACUGGUGCUUAAGAAUCCAACUCACUCGUCACAGAACCAAGCCAGAGGGAGUCCAAGCCUGGCCAAGCAACUACUAAUGACCAAGUCCUGUGUGAAACUGGAAAGGAAGCACUAACGGGAGCAAGAUCGGUCUACUUUGAAAUGCAUUAUUUAUCAUCGCCAAGAUGUUUUUCGAAGGAUUUCCUAUCAAACUAGGAAACUGUCCUUAUAAUGCAUUGACGCCUAUAAUCUUGACCCUAUUAACAUCUGUACCCUACUGCUCUGCUCUGCUCUGUCAACAAUACCUGAAUUCUGAUCCUAUCACUCUGGCUUGGCUCUUAUAUUAGACUUCUCCCCGGGGCUCCUGCCGCUCUGUGUUCGGUGUUUUGAAUUGGAUUUCCCAUCAAACUCAAUAAGUGACCAAGCAACCUCGGAAAGCACUCUCCAUCUAGUUCAGGCUACAAAGACAGUUAUUUCUCCAAAACACAUAGCAUAAGUAUUUACCUCCUUCUCCCCUUUAUUUACUUCCCUCAACAAGCUUAGGCGCAAGAGAGAGAAGGAUCAGUGCCAACUCGCUAACGCUAUAAGCUUGCACCGGCAAACUCCAAAAUACUAUAUAUAGGUCGUAACGGAACCAGCAACUGAAUCAGCUGGGCUAAAUAAGCAAGUAUACAGGGGUGCCGAGUACAUAAUAUUGUAAUAACCAGAGAUUCAAUGAUUUGUUGCUUCAGCAAAAGAAAAAGUAGAAUCAUCGGUUGAGUCUCAAUCUCAAGGAACAAUAGAAUCAUCAUCAUCAGCAAGUGGUUCUUUCACUUCCAGGAGGGGCCCUUAUAGUAAGUUGCAGAAUCUAUUCGAAUUAAGCGCUCAUCCUUCUCCGGGACAAGAAGUCCGUACUGUACUUGAAGUCUAGGCCUGUCCUACUGGUACAACUUAAGCGAAGGAAAAGUCAGGGUUCAGGGCGGAUCCCGCAAUAUCAAGGUGUUCUGUUCGAAAUCAUUGAAUUGAGUGCUCUGCUCCCUUAUGAUAGAAAGAAGUAACCAUCUCUAUAUGCUCUUUAUCGCUAACCCUACCUAGUGCUCUGCCCUCUUCACAUUCCAUUCUGAUAUUAGAUGUGGGGGCCAAGCCAAUUCACCUAUAUAAAGAUAUUAUCUCAUUUAGUAGGGGCCAAGCCUACAAAGGUUCUAUAUUGACUACUUGCUUAACAAAAGCACUUAAUCCCAUUCCUCGUUCCAUUCUUCCUUUCGUUCUGUGUUUAAGGAAAAAAAGCGAUAGGUUCUCCAGCAAGUUCUUUUUGGCAAACGGAUUCUAGGGCUAACGAUAAGUAACACUUUUCCUCCUUUCUUUGGAGGGAUAUUGCUUUGAUUCCCAUUGUAGGAAGGAGAAGUUGAUUAAUGGGUUUUUUAUUCUAUUCCCAUUGAAGCGGCAGUAGUAGCAUUCCUAAGAAAAUCAAGGGUAUAAUCCAAAUAGCCAUUGCUAAGUACGCAAGUUAUCAGCUCUUCCUGAACCGGUUCAUUGGUACCAUCAACUCGGUCUCGAUAUGCUGCUUUGACCGCAUCGGCCGCUGGUUAAGAUAAUACCUGCGAAGGAAGUAAGUGCUCACUUCUUUCUCUUCGGGCAUUGGAAGACGAAUCUACCCCAUAUACGCUGGGUUACCCGGGCCAUACUUGUUACUUGGUGUUAACUGUAGCACUAUAUGACCUUUCCGGUGAAGAACGUGUUCCAUGAACUCAAUCCCCAAUAAAUGCUGUGGCAUAAGUAAUCUAGCUACAUUCUAUUACCGGCCCCUUUGACACUUGAAUAAGUAUUAUGGGAUAACAUAAACAAGUAUGCCUCUACAAAUUGGAUGUUUGAAAGGUCACUCGAAAUAUCAUAAGAGAAGAAAAAGAAUCUUAUGCCCCAAAACACACUCCUAUUCUUUUCUUGGUUGGCCUAACCCAACCGGUCAUUUCCAACAAGUCUUUCUGCAUUUGCUUUUGGGGGGGGAGCAGAGUAGUUAUUUCAUUUUGUGAAAAUGUCGGAUCAAGCCUAGCUUAUCUAUUGAACCUGUCUACUACUAUUGUUCUUCCUGCAUCUCUUUUUAUCCUAGCUGCCUGGCGGAGUCGAGUCGCACGUCCUGUGUUGCUUUUCAGAAUGACCUGUAAUUACCCUCGUUAGGGAUUGAUAUAGAUAUACCUUCGGGUAUUUCCAUCUCCAUCAUGCUUUCACGGGGUUGGAACCAGUUAAUAUAACAAGUCAAGUAAGUGAACAAGAGCGAGUACCCCUUCCAAAUUAGGCUUUUCUCUCACAAGUUAUGGCGAAGUAUACGUAGCUUUGUAACCCUGUUAUUCUUUUCUUUUGAUACGUAUAGCCAGCCGUAGCUCACUCCAAGGGAAUAAGGCUUCUUCAUGCGCUGCCCUCGUCCGGGAGUAUGCUAAAUCCAAGUAUGAGAUAUCCAGGGAAUACUUAUAUCCUCUUUAUUCUUAUAUAUUGGGUUCACGCCCAAGCGAGUAAAAGACUCAAACUCUGUCCCGAGUAGAUCAAUUUCAAAGGAAAUUCAGUUAGCGCUCAAAACAAACCUAGAGCGUUAAACUUAAUCAAGAAAGGUGUUUCUCUAUCUAAUUCGCUAAUGAGAGUUGGGAGUCAAAGAAAAAGAGUACGAGGAUAAUUUCAGAAAGAUUCUUUGGCCUUGGAAGUGACACAGCAAAUACAGUAUUUAGGGUUUUCUAUUCAUUCUGUUUUCGUCGUCCAGCAAGUUCCAAGUUCAGUGAAUGAGUUUCCUCUGUGCAAGUUCCAUUCUGUCUUCUUUUCUAAUUGAAGUGAAGAUGACGUAAGCAUGGCUUUGUUUGCUUGUUUCUGGAACUAUGAAAUCCUCUUCUGGGCAUGUCCCAGAGACUAGUGAAAGAAGUUAUUUGCCUUUACUGAAAUCAAGGUGCUAAGAGCCCGUUAGUUGUAGUGUAUGUGGUAAUCAUAAAGUGGGGCAGUUUCCAGUCAGUCUCCGUUCGCCUAAAAGUGCAAGUGGAAAAGGGCCAGCAGUUAGACCCGAAGCGAAGGAAGGGCAUAAGCGUUUCAUUUAGGUUCAUUAAAGUACGGGAAUCCAAGGUAUUUAGCAAGAUCAGGGAAAUUCUAUCUUACAGGCAAGGUGCUAAGAGCCCAUUAGAACAAGUGGUUCAGGUUCUGUUGAGUUCGGGCGCUAAGCAAGAUAAGAUGGAUAUUCCAUUAAUACUUUCUUUCGAGUUUCAAGAUUAAUAAGUCGAACAAUAAUCAGCUGUGAAAGGAACAAUACUUCCCUUAUCGAUUGAAACUGACUUUCACCUGUUCGUUCCGAGAUACAACACUGCCUCUGUAUGACUCUGAUCCUUAUCUUGAAACAGCUUAUGCUGCUGACCUCUUCUCUGACUUUACUUGAGACAACACCACCUCUUCUUACUUACGCUUACGCGGAAAACAGGACUCAUUGUCCCGCUCUAGUUCCUUAUUAAACCAUCCAACUAGAUUCUUCAUAUUAGUAUGCAGAGUUGCGGCGGUAAGUAGACUCAAUUCUGAAAGGAAGUCGCAACCAAAGUCGCUGGUCUGGUAAAAACUCUUUAUCUGAGGCUUGUGACUUGUGCCAUGUAAUCUUUGCCCUCUAGCUCUCUAUGCUCUUUAUUUCCCCGAACCGAACCCCUUUCCUUUUGAAUUAAUCACUUUUGAGUUUAGUUAAGUUCCAGAGGUGUUACCGAUCACUACUCUACUCGCUCCGUGUUGGCUGAAGAAGACGGAUUUCUCGCCCUACCCUGCGUUAUAAACUCAGAAGUAAGCUUGAAACUCCCUCUCGCCAACUAAAGGCUCCGCUCUAACUGCUUCCCUUAUAGGCAUGUAACUAAAAUAGGCAUAUAUCACUUUUUGGAAUUUAUGGGAUUUGAUUCCACCACCCCACCAAGUAAGUAAACACCCAGUAAGUAAACCAGCCGACCCGACCUCUUAACUGGAACUGCGACUACUGAUAUUGAUACUGAUCCUUAAGAUUCUUCUCUAUCUUGGAGACUUUCCUUGAACUGUUGUAUCACCCAUGUGUUAAGCAAUGAAGGUGUAGAUGGAAGUUAUUACUUAAACUCAAAGGUAUACGAUCUAGUGAUUAGGUAAGUCAAUUAGAAUUCUAUAGUUGUAAACUCCAUUCUUCAAGGAAGGAGAACUAGGGGCGGAAAGAGAACUCGGGUGAAGCUAACACUCAACAAAGGAUUGAAUCUAUCCAGUACUUUCUCUGGCUAUACCCCUUUUUUCCUGGCUAAUUAUUAUGUUUCCGGACUUGGAGUUUAGGAAGUACAUUAGAAAUCCGACUGUUAACGGCAAGGAAACCAGUAUUCUGUCUUUUAAGGUAUUCUGACUUAAGAGCAGAGCACAGAGCACCUGGCGCUAGGUACCCUAUUCUGACUUACCUAUUUCAACUAUACUUCUCCUCUUGCUACAGCAUCAAUUCCACUAUAGGUCUCAAAAAGAGAUGCAGUGUCUUAUAUUGUCUUAUAUAUAAUAUCUCUAAAGUCAUUAUUGAAUCAGCAGUUCUUGUGGAGUCGACGAAAGAAUCAACAAUAUCAAGUCAAUCAGCAGCAAGCGCGGGAAGUAAAGGAAAAGAAAGGUUCGGAAAGGAAAGCAGUUGGUAGAAAGGCUAAAGAAAGAAGUAAUAUAGGCAAAAGUGCUAAGAAGAAUAAAUGAUGUAUACCUGGCUUUUUUGAUGCCCUAGCCCUAAGUCAAUCCGUAGUGAGAGGUUAUCCCGAGUGAAGUCUGCUUGGCCCCGAACCCACCUCUACUCUUGCUACUAAUCCAGUUAUGGCUCUUGACUACUAUACUACCCGCUAGUGCCACUUAUAUAUCUGCGAAUCUUUCAACAAGCCCUGCUGCUGUCAACUAGACCUAGACCUUAAUGAUUCUCUGUCAACUAAGUAAGUCAACCUACCCGAGCCUAGGUAAACUACCCGAUCCUCAAAGAUGGUACUUUCUUUUGACUACCCGACCCCUAGUAUAGUCAGUAAGUCUUCCCCGACUAGACCUAUAAUAAGUGCCCGAACCGAACUAACUCUAUCUGACUAGCUCACCUAUGUCUACUAAUACAGAUGAAAGUCAAACACCCGACCUCUCUACCACUACUCAUAAGAAUGAAACUAAAGCAGAGGGAGUGGAGGCAGUAUCAAGUCAGUCUUCUUCAAAAGAAAGGGACGAAGCUGGGCCAAGCUCCUACUGGCAUCAAGAUCAACCAACUACUGGCAAAGAAAUCCACUAGCUACAUAAAACGAAACUUUCUCCUUUACCUCGACCAGGAACAGGCAAUUAUCCAGUGGUAACUACCCUAACAAGCAAGUCAGUAAACAAAAGCACUGAAGCCUACCCGACCCUAGCAACUUUCAAAGAAAAGAGUAAAAGAAAGAAGGAUAAGAGUAUGACUAUUAAGUGACUUUCGAGAGUGCCAGAUCAACUGGGCUUGGUAAGAGCGGAGGUCUACUCUCAAUUCUGCAGUUCUUACUUGCUUCUUUAACUCCCGGAACUGGGUCGGCGUACUCUAUAUCCUGGGUGCUUAAGUAAAUGAGUUGGUAGACUAGACUAAGGCAAGGCGGGUUAGCUCACAGUAAACGAUGGCCUAUCGGCGGCAGCAACUAAACUGGGAAUCCAUUGGUACUAGCUCUGGCUCCAAUGAAUUUCACCCUGCUGGAAACAGAUACUGAAUUGAACUCAAAAGUAGGAGUGCCUUAUAGUAAGUUGAUUGGACUAAGUAGUCAAAGAAAUUAGGGUUUACUGCCCCAAGAGGAGAGGUAGUCCUGGUAGUAGUAGUAGUAGCUUGGCAGCCCUGAAGUUCAUGGUUCUAGUCUUCAUCCCUAGGUUUUCAUCCUAUUAGAAUGUCAUUGAAAGCGGGUUUUCUCUCUUCUGCGCAAGAAGGUAUGAUUACUUUUACUGAUUUACUUAGAGAUAGGGAUGGAUGAGCCAUAACAGUAUUAGUUUACAUAGCUAGAUGAGCAAGAUCAGAGGGAUAGUUUCAAGAGCAAGAGCGGAACGACUAUAUCUGUCCUUUGUUCGUCACCUGUUUUAAGGUGUUGAAGCUGCCUAAACCUAUCUUUCUUUCUUUGAUGGUAGAGCGGAGCCAGUAGUUAUAGGUGGAGCAGAGCCAGUACUAGAUGAUUGCCCGAACAAGACUUGGAGCUACCGCGCCUUAGAGACAUAAGCAGAUGAAACUAAAACAAGGGAUUACUUUAUCACGGAACCUGAUCCAGCGGAUGAUCUUGAAACUGCUGAUUCCCUUUCGGAUUCCCCUUUGCCAACUACUCGAACUGCUCUGGCUCUGUAAACUGUAGUAGCUUGGCUUCUAGUUGUGAGUGUGAGUUUAAGACCGGUCCCUUAGUUACAGGAGAACAUUAGUAUAUAUACCUCAGAGUUAAAGACCAGAGAACAUAUGAGCUAGUAUUGUUAUCAAAGAAGAGGACCACCCCUACUCUUUGAGUUUACCCCGAAACAGACUAUAAGGGCUCUUCUACUGGCGCCACAGCCUCAGAUAUUGCUUCCCCAACUGAUGAUCUCGUUGCCAAUGCUCAAUCCUAGGAUUCCGUGUAUGCUCACUCUGUUAAGAAGACCGCUAUGUAGUUAAGGGAUGCAGAGAAGAAGACCGGAUGGGUAGUAUUAGGGUCGUGAGCAGGCUUAUACUUACUCGUUUCAUUCUUUGACUCCUUAGCUACAUUGCUUCCAAGACUAUUUCAUAAGCUACUAAUAGGCAAGCAAGUCAGUAUUAACUCCUUAGAGCUUCAGUAAGAAUAUAUCCCCUUAGCAACAUUGCUUCCAAGCCAAGCCCCAGGGCCAGGGAAGAAGUAGGCCAAGUAGUGACCAAGUAAAAGAGGUAGGUUUGGAAAUGAAGCAAGUCAGAAUGAAGGUAUUGUUGCCAUAGGUAUAGAUAGAAGCCUGAGUUCAAAGAGAUGGCACUGGCCGGCUUUGGGCAGCAAGCUGUUCUUAAAGUGCAGAGUCAGGAGUGAGUUGAGUUCGGAUAGCCCAGGAGUGGUUAGUUGACAGAGGUAUCGAAGCCAGAGAGGAAGAGAGAAAGAGCUCUACUAAUUGUCUAGGUUCGUAGCUAGGGUUGGUUAAGAGAGGAGCCUAGCCUAAUUCAGUUUAUAGUUCUGAACUCAGUUAAUUGUUUUAAGCGGUUUAUUGCUCUAGUACUAGUGGUUGUUUGUCGACUUGGCAGUUAGCAAAUAGAUACUCAAGUUUCUUUCCUUCACUAGGGGAGAGGUGUGGAACAUUCCAAUACUCUGGCAGGGGUGGUUCACUUAACUCUUUUACAAUUGAUAAACACAGAUGAUAAAACGAAUGUCAUUUCCACUAUGAAACUCUACAAACACAGUGAAGCAAGAAAGGUAUUGAUUGAGUCAGCUACCAAAGAAUAGUAUUGGAUCCGUAGAGCAAGAGGCAGCAUUAAGUUUAAGGUCGAGGAAGAAACAAGUCCUGUCUUCGUAGAUGUCUUCGUUGCGGUAAGCAAGUAUCGUUUUUCAACCUGUUGUAGUUUCUCAAGAGAAGUCAAGUCUCUUGUUCCAGGGGCAAGUGUCAGAGUUCCAGCAGAAGAUAGAUAUGAAGAAGGAAGGAUUCUAAUAAGCAAGAUCGUGGGAUCUGAAGAAGGAAAGUAGACGAUAGAAUCAUAAGUCCCAAAGGAAGCUGUUAGAGCAGUAGCAUAAGAAGGAACAGAGGCUCACGCGGAAGCCGGAAAGGAAUUAGGAUAAGCAUCAGUGACUGGUGCGCUAACUGGAGCAAGUAAGCACUUUUCAACAAGUAAGGAGUCAGCAUCAGCAGUUUACGCGGAUAGAGCAUUAAAGUCAGCAUAUAGAGCUUUAUAGUCAGCAGGAAGUAGGGAGUCAGCUGUAAGCAAGUUAUUGAAUCUUAAGUUCUACGAGUUUGCAGGGAGAGACAUCUCUGAUAUGUGAUGUGUGUCACGCUAGAUUCCAUUUCAUUAAGUUUAGUUAAGCGAGUAAGCACAAGUAGGGGCGGGAAUAGUUUCUCUAGUUUUUUGACCUUAGUGAGAGUUCUUUGAGUCAGGAGCUAGAUUCCUAAUUUCCAUGGAGUAAAAUACAUUAUUGGAAUUCAUUGUUUACGGCUUUCAUUCUUUGUUACGAGUUAGAAGCCCCAGUAUGAGUAGCUUGUGUUCCCCCAUAGAAAUCAUUGAAUUGACAACCACUGAUAGAAAAGUAACUAUACACCCAUUCUGGAUUCUUCUGCACUAAAGGAAGCAGCAAGAGAUUAUUCAAGCUUCGUCUUAAAGUCGAGAAUCCGCUGCUUUAAAAGAAAAAGAAGAAGAUAAGGGAACAGAAAAGUAGACAAGUCCCUUAUUCGUCAACGGUAGCAAUAAAGAAGUAGGUCCUCAUUAAUAGCGUCAGCGAAUUUGAGCUAAACAAACAAAGAAAUGGAUAAUUACUAACGUUAUGAACAAGCUCAGUAGAAUGUUACGUGUUAGCGAGAUACGAGUUGGUACGGCCAAGUAGUCACUAUUCAUGUUACGCGGCAGGGCUGCUCCUGUUAUGAGUAAGUCCUAAUUCCAUAUGUUUUCGUUCCUUUGUUCGUGUUACGCGGCAGUGAGUUUAGGCGGCGAAAGACGUUGGGCGGUAGCCAAUAAACAGUUCUUACGAAGUUAUUACAAUAUAUGCCUUCGGCGGCAGGAGCUCUUUCAACUUUCUCUUCUGCUACUCGGGGCUUUAAGGCUGUUACUUCAUAGUGGAAUUCUGAUCUUUCUAACUGGAACAGGGGCAGCUGACUGAACUCGAGUCACCAAAACACGGGUUUUUGAAUAGCAACGGGGCCAAGUAACUGCGCUAGUUCUACUGCCCUUGACUCAGUACACACACAUUGGUAGCAAUAACUGGAAAGUCGACAAACAGAUUCAAUGAAACUAACUCAUAACUCCUCACUCAGUAGUAAAAGAAAUCCACUAACUCAUAACUCCUCACUCAGUAGUAAAAGAAAUCCACUACUACAUAAAGAGCUAUAAUAAGAGAAAUAAUUAAUCAAGUCCACCAAGCUUAGUAUACAAAAGCAUAGAGCCAAGCUUAGGCCAAGCAACGUAGACUCCAGGAGUAGUUGUGCGAUCUGGACCACUACAUUAAGGGUUUUUGUAGUAUACGCUUGGCCCUGAUUAUUCCAUUUUGACAUAUUGAAGUGAAGAUCACGCAUCGUUAAUACUAGAAUUGGAAGACAAAGAGUAAUCAAUCUCAUGUUGUUCUACUUUCUAGAGCGUUUAGAAGUGGUUGCUUCUACUACUAAGAUUGUCACACAGUUGACUUUCAUAACUUCUCACGAUUCGAUGGUAUUAUGAUUAUGAAAUAUGUUGUUUAUUAUGGUGCCAUCCAACCUCUUAUCCAGGAACAAUAAUGAGUGUGAGUUCAAAGUGUAUCGGGGAAAUCAAGGGGUCUUUCGUCUAAGAGAUUCAAUAACUCUGCUCCCUAAGAAUCUCUUUGUAUUGGCAAAGACUUAUUUAUUGUCCUCAAUGUGGUUAUAAAGGCUCCAUCGACCAUAAUCAAGUGAAAGGUGGAGAAUCUGAAUAAGCGCUUCCAGCACUUGUAUUAUAUGAAACAGGAUAUUCGUCUCUUAGGUGGUGUUAUGCUGAAGGCUCAAUAGAUGGAUUUUUCUCAGUACAAAGUGUAUAUCUAGGAUUGCAUGACAUUGUCCGCGCUAGCUAUGCGCAUUUCUCGUAUGAACUAUUCCGAUCCUCUUAGUUUUCCUAUAUUUGAACGAAGAUACAUUCAUUCGUCUUGGGUACUAUGGAGGCCAUGCUGAUGUGUAUAUCCCACAUGGAAAGACUUGAUAUAGAUUCUAUUAUAUUUUGACGUGAACUCCCUAUAUCCAUUUGUCAUGCAAACCCGUUCUAUGCCGGGCGCCUAAAUGGCAUGGUAACAACUUGGAAGACCAUAAAUUGUCCGACUUAUUUGGAUUUAUUGAGGCAUAUGUAGUCUGUCCGAAUACUAUCAAGAAGCCCUUUUCGAGAGAAGAACACUCUAAUCUUUCCAACCGGGGAAUUAGUUGGUGUUUAUUUCAGUGAAGAGUUUCAGUAUGCACGUAACUUGGGUGAAAAGAUUAUACCACGGCUGGCGUUUGAGGAAAAGCGACGUCCUUUCUUUUGUUUGAGCACCCGAAACAAGAACACCUAGAGCUACCUGGCAAACGAAACUUCCCUUUAAGGACCCAACAAAGACAGAUUCAACCAGAGGCGGGACCACUACUUGUAAACUUAAGAUCAAACAAGGGAUAUGAAACCAGGCUGAGGAGCCGAACACAGGACUUGGCAAUUGAUGGCUCGUAGUGGAAUCAGUGAGAAUCAGUAUCAUAUUAAUACUACUACUUAAGACUACUACUAUUCAUAUCAAUACUUAUCAUAUCAAUGCAGAGGUGAUACUAGGAAAACAGGGAUUCUACUGGGUAUGGCGCCUAUGGAGAGCCUGUCCUGAAAGAUGGGUUCAGAAACCUAAAUCCAAGUAGCGGUCCAAGUACUCAAUUGAAGUCUACACUUCCCCAACUAGUAGUAGCCCUGAACAACCAUAAAGAUGUUAGGAAUAAAUGCACUAUAGGAGCUUACAGGAUAAAAGAGAGUCGAUUGGGCUUCUUCUUUAUUGGAGAAAAGUCAAGCAAGCACUACUGAGUCAAGCACAACAGCAACUACCAACAGCAACUACAUACUUUUGACUGCCCGGAAAGACUUUUACUAAGAGUCUGGGCCUGAGCGUAACCUAUUGAUAAAGGAGGAGUUCUCGUGCAUCCCGUAUUUUGCAGUUACAAGAUCUGGUGAAGAAAGUGGAACAAGCUUAUCUAUAAGGGCUAGAUACUUUGACCUAGAGCAUAACUGAGGAGAAUUGAGUUUAUCCUUGCCUAGACUAUAUAUUGAUGAAACCAAAAGGAUAGGUAGCUUAAAGAGUCCGUCUACUUUUAAGGAGCAAGACUCCGGUUGUGGUAAUGCGAGUUCGGGUGCUCGUCCAGUAAGGGAAUGCUCAACUGCUUCAAUAAGGUAGAAAGAUGUUGGUGCAAGUCAGAGGUAAGCUUUUGAAUGUCCUGUCCCUGUUCGAGUUGAGUUAUAGUCUUCAUCCCUCGCUUAAUCCGAGUCUCCAAGAGAAGUAUCCAGAAGUAUGGUUUCUGGGCUUUCCUGAGUCGGGUGCUUGUGUUAAGAAAGUAGUCAAUCUAUCUCCUUUGCCGGCUUGCCUGAUAGCCAAUAGUAGCCGGACCGGAUUGACUUGCCUCGUAGCUUGGCCCGUUAGAACUAGAGCACAAGAACGUAACUUUGUGCAUCCUCACAAGAACGUAACUUUGUGCAUCCUAAUAAUAAGAAGAAAGUGUUGCAUUUUGGCAGCGGAUACUGGAGGAGAAAUUCCAGCAUGAAAGAGACCAACCUCACCUGUGGAAUCCAAAAAGUAAGUAUAUUUACAAAUCUCUAAGAGAGAAGAGCAAUGAAAGAAGAGACCCGAACAGAGACAUAGACUCGGUGUAUACUCUCGCAUCGAAGAGCAUCGUUCAUUUUGUAAGAGAAUAGUGUGACGGCUUAUCUAGCUUAUCUAGACUCAAAAAGCCACGAAUGAAUCAUUUGCUAAGAUACUAGCUCCAACACUGGAUUUCUUUUGUCGAGAUGGGUUUGGUGUUCUUCGAACAUUUGUAACCCUAGAAGCUAUUGGUUACCAAGUAAGCUCAAGAAGCGAAGCUGGUCUUCCUGGUAGAUUAUAUAAGGACAUCUCAUGUUCAUGCCAGUGCGCUUUUCGUUCUUUCAAUCCCUUCUUUUCUCGAGUCUUUAGCCGCAUUUAGUAAAUAUAAGUAGGUGUGUUUCAGAAGCUAGUGUUUGAGUAUGACUUUUUGGGGAUUAAUCUUUGAGAUAUAUGCCUAUUUCUUUUAUGACCGUGAGUGAAAGCCUAUUAGUAUUAGAGAAGGGGGGAAGUAGGUGAUCAUCAACAAGUGUUUGACUAUGCCAUUCGUCAUACGACGCGUACAUCUCCGAUCAGAGAGUUUCUUAAUCGUCUGGUUAUUUCCAUGGAAAAGCGAAAAUCCUAUAUUAUUAUUAGAUUCUUAUUAUAUGGAAGUAGGUCCUAUUAUUAUAUAGAAGUAGGUCCUCGACCCAGGGUAAUUCAUCAAUCAGAUGGAUGCGCUUAUAGGGCUCUUAGCACCUUACUUUGAUUCCUGUCAACCCUUCGCUAGUAGGACUAUCAGAUAGAAUGGCUAGUCGGUAAACCCUUGACUGCCAAUCUCAUUAGAGGUUAUAAGCUAGCAUCAAAAAAGGGUGGGGUGGUAGUAGACCAGGUGAGUGUUAGCGCUUUACUAAUCCAAAAUAGGGAGUAGACCCGUUUCUUUCUAGAAUGACUCUUCCGGAGUAAAGCUUGAACGUGGCCUGUUAGUCCAAAAGGAAAUGACAUAUCGGAUCGUAGCCAGGAGGUGCCUCAAAUCAGCGAGAUGAAAAACUAGGGCAAAGGGAGAGGGUUCCACAUAAACAAAGAAAAGUAUGGCAGCAGUCGAAUCUUUAGCUAGUCCCAUUCCUUUUAUCUGCGAAGGAAUGAAAGGAUUGGAAGGUAAUAAAGACGGAUAUUGCAAAUAUGGAAUUUUCGGAAAGGAACGGAGCAUAUAUAGUGGCUCGACGCGGCGGUGUACACGUGUCUCCUAUAGCAUGCAGCCCAUAAUGAAGAGACAGAUCUCGAGAAAGGUGUGCUGCGAGAGUAUAGGUAGCCAGUCUUUACUUAAGUAGGCCCAAGCAAUGCCCAAAGACUCCCAUUUCCUUAUUGGCCGACCCUUUUCCCUAUAAGGUUCCUAGCCCAAGGCGAUUUCCGACAAGUAGUUGGUCAGCAGAGAAAGUAGAGGUCGGGCGCUAAGCAAGACAAGAUAGAGAUUCCAUUAAUGAUUCAGCAGCAUAAGAUUAAUUGGAAUUAAUGAUUCAGCAGCAUAAGAUUAAUUAGAGUUAGUCGUUAAGCUCAUUGAUUUAGUAUAUAUAGGUAUGUGGAGAGAUAGAUUGUAGUAGGUCCUAAGGUAAUAAGAAAUAGGAUGAAGUAUAAGUAAGUGGAGAGAUAGAUUGAAGUAGGUACAAAGGUAAUAAGAAAUAGAUGAAGCGGGUAAUCAGAAAGGGGAGAGUAAGGAGCAGAUUCCGCAGUGGAAGCAGUUCUUGACUUGCGAAUAACUCGCCGCUGGAACUCGGCUCCCAAAAACGGGACUUGGCGUCAGUGAGCUCUUUACCUACAAAGACAAAGAUAGAAAGAAAAUAACUUAGUCCGUUUCUUCUCCCUUCUUCGCUCUUAAUACACACCUCUGGGCAGGAAAUAUCACUCGUACACUAACUUGCUUGUUUAAUUGAAUGAAAUCCAAAUGGAAUAUAUGAAAUACAAUAGAAAAGAGUAAAGAACACCGCUUACUAUAAUAUCAUGGUAGUGCGCACACCUAUAAUCUCAUCUAUGAACUAACCAUCAUGAAGGAAGCUCACUCCUAAUCAUAUGAAACACCAUCAGAAAGCUCACUCCUAAUCAUAUAUAGUAUGGAACUUGCUGUAUCUUAAAGCUCACUCCUAAUCAUAUAUAGUGAAGUAUGGAACUCGCACACGUAGAACUCACUUUAGCUCGACGACGAACGCCAAACACCAGGUAUCAAAGAAAUUCAUUGAGUUAGAUAAGAGUCCAGGGCUAGUUCCAGUGGAAUUCUUAUCCGUAUUUGUAACAAGAGGAGAGGAAGCUAGAAGUACUAUUGAUCCCAGGACUUGAUUCUGCCCCUAAUCAAAGUAAGGCAAUUGGUUACGUGUGAUAAUGUUGUUCCAGACCAGAGGUGUUCGUGUUUAAGUUCCAGAGGUGUGUGUCUUAAUGAGUUCCCUAGCUCUCGGGGCGCUUUAUAAGGCUUCUUUUCAAGUCAAAGACAAUCUCUUUCGAGUCGUUUCACCUAUGCCUAUGCCUCUCCUCUGUUCCACUCAUAUUAUAGUGAAUGCGUGCUUCAAAGCAAAAGCCAGUUCUUAAUUGGAUUCUUUUCUUAACCCUUACUUGACUCUUGAUACUUUACCGACCGACCCAGAGCUACUAGAUACGAUUAACCUCGAACAUAACUUACAUAACCAUUUACUGUUGACUUGUUCCGCAUAUGAUAGAAUUGAUGAAAGGGUCAAGGAGCGGAAAGUGUGCUUCAAAACUCACUAAAGCACCCCGAACUAUAGAAUAUGUAUUGUAACUCAAUAAACAAAUAAGUAUCAUAUUGAUUUCAGGAUUAUAUAACUUUACUGAACUUUGUUUGCCCAAGAGCUGGCACUAAGAGUUGAGUUGGCAAAAGACCUUGUUUGUAUAUACUGGUUCUAUAGUAGCAGCGUCGGGGCGCUAACACUUCUGGUUGUUGGCCACUAAGCGGUAAGCAUAUUCCUUCAGCCUUCUUGGGGUAGAUAACAAUAAGUUGGAUAAGAGUAGGAAUUAGGGUAAGAGUAAUAAUUUCAUAAGAACAGGAGAGGCGAUAUAGAAUUUCUUAAUCAAACACAGAAUACAGUCAAAUAAUCAUUAAAGAACAUAGUUAUCAAUAAGAGAGAGAGGUUUCUUCUGUUCGAGUAGAGAGAAUCAUCUGUUUAAACAGAAUAAGUAGAAACAAGAUCAUAAGAUAGAUCUGGAUCUGGAUCCGUGAAAAAAGAAGCUGUUAGAAUAGAAAUAGGUAAUCGAAUUGCUUCUAUAGUUAGAGAAGAGCCAAGCCAGAGUGAAAAGAGCCAGAGUAAGAUGUCCGCAGUGCCAGAUUACAGUCGAAUUCCAGUAUGAGUGGAAUCUUAGUUAGUUGCCUUGGCGCUAACCCAUCUUUUCUAGAAUAAUAUGGAUAAGAAUAAGUUGAAAGAUAUGAAGCGGGAAGGUAAACUUCCUCUUAUGUGGAAUCUAUCAUUUCACCUAUGCUACUUGGCCUUUGAAUGAAUUGGAGCCUAAGAACAUAGCCCUGAGCUGAGAGUAAAGUGUCUUACGUUGUUCACUACCCUUAAUUUCAACAAGCCUAGGAAGAACAAGAAGAAAACGAGUAUUAGGCUGCUUUCUUAGGUAGAGCAGAGCCAGUACUAUCCUCUUCCGCUAUAACUCCACUUGCAGAAUAGUUUGCAUCUGCUUGAGCCUCUGAUUCUUAGUACGAUUCCACUCGAGCAGAACAAGCUUCAACUUAAGGCCCAGUACUUGAUUAGAUGAUGAUUCUCCAGAUUCCCGGCUCUUCAAUAGGGACAGAUGAUUCUAUUGGUUGAAGACUGGCUCUUUGACUUCUUCUAGCAAUUAAAUAUCUCUCUGACUCAUUACCCUAUUAUAGUAGAUCUCGAUUCACUCUGGGUACCUCAUAACUAUGUUUUUCGCGGCAGGAGCUCUCACUUGUUGCUAUCGAAAAUCCCGUGUUUUGGUGAAGUGGAAUGAUCUGGUUCACUUACUUGCUUGUGUGGGUGGUAAACUGACUUGAUUGUGUGGGUUUGGGUAGUUCCAGUUACUUACUUGCUUGUGUGGGUAGUUCCAGUGACUUACUUGCUUGUUCAACAAAGAAUGAAUCUAUUUCUAUUUCCACUCCCGGUGAGUUAGGUCUACUCGAUCAGAGGAAAGAGAAGAGGAGAGAUCAGAGGCGUGAAUAAUUUGAUAAGAAAUGCAAAUAAACCAGAAGACUACUCGCAUUUUUGACUACCUUUUCAGUAGACGUUAGGAAGGGUUUAAACAUAGAUUGUAAUAACUUCUACAUAACUGGGAACUAUAGCAGCCCUGCCGCGCAACAUUAGUAGUUGCUUGGCCUAUGUUUUUGUAGCAGUGUCUUGUCUAGUAGUUACUUGCCUAGUUGCUUGUUGGCUAUUCAGGUAGAAAACUACAGACAUAAGUAUAAGGCCCAGUACCCGAAGACAGGUGUAAUCCAAACAACCGGUUAUUCCCCACCCGAUCUAGAGUAGACCCGCUUGACGAUGCAACAAGAACAGGCCAAUCAACUGAGUCCGCUUGAGUGUCAUUAUUAUUAAUAGUGGUUUCAUUCUUUGACUCUGGUGUGGAUGUCAAUUCCUAUGGGUGUCAAUUCCUAUAAUUCAUAUAUAAUAAUCAAAGUGAUCUCGAACACUUUCCUCGCACUGCUAAUUCUGUAGUAUAAGUGAACUUUCCUAGCCUCGCCCCCCUAAAAGUAGUAGUCUCGAAUUUCUCACUGUUUCCAGCACCAACUAGUAGUUUGUUUCCAGCCCAAACUAGUAGAAAUGCCCCAACAAGUAGUGGUCCAGAGUGUUCAUCCCGGUAGUCCAGUAAGCUCACUGCAGGCUCUGCUCUUUCUUGUUCUAGUGGAAUCCCCUGUUAGUAAGAUAAGUCCUGUCAGCACUAGUUUCAUCCUUAUUUAUAUCAUAUAAUACCAGAGUUUCAUCCUAUAACUCAGAGAAGGUAGUAAAGCCUAUAACUAGAUUAGUGAAAUACCGGGUAAGUCAACUAUGGUAAGUAAACGCAGCUACUCCUAUAGUAAUUAGUCUGGAAAGUAGGAAUUAAAGAGCCAAGCUAACCGACGUCCUGUGACUUAUAUAUCUACCGGUAGUGCGUUGCAUAUUCAUUCCUUAAUGAGGGAAGGGCGACUAAGUGCAUUAGCGGAGUCGGUCGUUAAUAAGUCUGCUCCUGAGUUCAAAGAGAUGGAGUAUUGAUUGGCAAGAGGCUAAAUUGAGACUCCGGAAUAACCCGGGCACAGCUCCUGGCACUGCUACUGAUCUCGUUGAUGCAGCAGUUAUUCUUUAGAAAGAGAAUAUCUAAUUUAGUAAGGUUUCUUAUAAGGGUGAAGGGCAGGUCUAGCAGUAGAAAGGAUUCAAUGUUAACUACUUGGUAAGGGAUAUCCGAACAAAACUCUUAACUGACCGCUUCCCUUGAUUCUUCUCCGUAUACGUGUUGGGGCAGGGCAUUUCACUGUACUGGUUAAGGCUCACUGACGCUCAAACACAGGUUCACUCAGGACAGGCAGGGUCGGUGAGUAACCUAGUAGAUCUAGCAUGCCUAGCUCAUUCAACAAAAAGGACUCUCAUCUCACUCUGGUAAUGGAAACUAAUACAGAAUUCCACUCCAGGGUACGGUUACUACAUAUCGUUUUGGUGACUUCCCGCGCCUACCUCCUGAACAGCUUCUCUUUCUGGCAUUAAUGAAGGGCUCAGUUAGUGGUUUCAUUCUUUGACUGAUUAGUUGCAUCCUUGCUCUCUUUGUAAAGAGCUCAUUCUUUUACUUGUUGGCGAGCUACCUGACGCGCAACCAGUAAUUAAGGGAUUUUCUUAUUUAUUCUAGAUUUGAUUAUAUUAUUAUUAUUGAGUAGUGCCUACUGCUUGUAUGUGCUAUAGAGUACCCGGAGUGCAAGAGAGAAAAUGCAUUCUUAACAAACAGGAGUGGUUAUUUGACAAACAGGAGUGGUUUGGAACUUUCACUUACGGACUUUCGAGCUGAACCCAAUGAUGAAGUAGCACCCGAAACAAUACUUGAGCUAACAAUAAAGCACUUGGCGGCACCGAACUCCUGUACUACAUAAAGAGCUAUAGGAGCCUGCAGACUUCACUCCUUCUUGCUUAGUUAAAGAAUUCUCCUGUAUUUCUGAUUUCUGUUCCUGCUCGGGAAAGCACCCUUCUGGAUUUCUUUCUUGAUUUCUUGCUUUGUCUACUUUCCUGCUUGGCCUGAACUAACUUUACUGAACAAACUGAAUAGAAGGUAGCGCUCCACAUUUAGAAUAAAGAAGAAAAACACUCCUGACAUAUUACUUUAUGAACACAAGCUACAGAACCAAAAUGACUUUAUGAAACACAAGCUACAGAACAAAACAAACUAGGGCGAAAGCAAGUAUAGAAGGGAUAAAGCUAUCUCAACGGCACGCAACUCCCGUUUUCUAGAGUGGAGCAGAGCUUCUUUCUACUGUUCUUUGGGACGGACUCAACUGAUGUAGUUUCUCAUUCCAUUCUGUCGAACUCCAAUAAGGGAGAUUAGGUACAAAACUCCUACUCACUAUCCCCGCUCCGCUGCCCAUCUUAUUCUUUCGCUAAGGCAGCAAGUCCUUUAUUUUAUGGAUUUUCAAUAAUAAAGAGAGAUUAUUUCUCAUUUGAUCUUUUGAUCGCUGAAGCCACAAAUCAUUCAACACCCUCCCUUCCCGCGCUUGCUGCUUCCUGACUUGAUCUCGCUUCUUCUCUCGGCACAGCUUCUUAUACUUAUCCGGCUGCUUAUGCUAUUACUUUUGAUUCUGCUUAGACAACUUAUUCUCUUGUAGACAGAAUUCGAACAGAAAUAUACUAUAAGGAUCUAUACUCCUAACCAGUACUAUAUGAUUUGAUUCCCAAUACAGCUACGUCAGUACGUUAUUCUUACCUUAAUAGAACAACAACUCCAUUAGCUACAGUCAAAUCACAGAAUUCAAAUACCCCAGCUUCUUCCCUUUUACUGCUUGAGCAACUAAGUAGUAAGUAGAGUAGAGCCAGGCUGUCAACUAAACUCCUACAGCGCAGAAAGAAAUGGACACUUUGGAACUUCUAUUAGUGCCGAGCCAACAAAUCAUUAUGAAACUUUACCUUACUGCUUCCUUAAAUGGGUAGGCGCAUCCCGCCAUUUCCGACCAAAACUGGAAUUGCUGCUUCCUAUCUAACUGCUUAUAAAACGGAUGAAACUAUUGAUUCGACUAGAACAGAACCUAGACAACAACACUAAAACAUAGCACCUCCACUAAGAAACGGUCCAAGGAAUGCAGCCUAGAAGAUUACUUGUUUCAAGUCCGGCAAGUUACUACUCAUGUUAUGCGUUUAGUGGCUCUUAAACAACUAAGGUAAAUAACCUAUCUUUUCUCUUAGCACCAACCGAUAAUUAAAUAAAGGUAAAGCACCAAUUCUUUCUUUAAUGGAAAUAGGAUUAUCGUCGCCAACGCAAGGAAUUGUACCUCACUUUAGCACUCAACUUGCGCCUUAAAACAAUUGACUACUUCUUCUUGAUACAAUGACUUUCGCACAGCCCAUGAUCCUGCUUAUAAUCCUUAUCCUAUCUCUUAUCUGGUUUUGUUCCUACUGAAAAUAGAUCCAUCUCUUGCUUCCCUGACUGCUGUUUAAAUACAUUUGGAUUAAUAAAAAACAUAACCCCGAGGAGAGUAAUACCGAUCUUAUUUGUUAACUCUCUAAUAAACAAGUGAAAAUAGCUCGUUAACGCGCAUAUCAAAGUAGCUUCACUGACCCAUACUUUAUUCCUCUUGCCCGACCUCGCAUUAGCCGAUCAAACAGGAAUGAAAUUAGCGUAGGGUCCCACCAGGAAAAGAUUGAAGUCUAUCAGAUCGGGGGGAUAGCAGCCAAAAAACAGUUAUUACGAAGUAUGGAACCCUUAUUAUAAUCCCUAACAAUUGAACUCGAUAUAGGGAUUCACACCAAGCGGGUAAGAUGCCAGCCUACACUACAAUAUCCAUAGAGCUAGUAAAAGCCUGAAACUAUUGCCUGACAUUCUUGACUUGUUAGUUAGAGCCUAAUUCACUGACAUACAGAAGUCAACUAGUGCUAUAAGGGCCUCGGUCCCUAGGACAAAGGAUCGAACUCGUAAAGCAAAUACUCACUAGAGAGCUGAAACCCACAUAGCGGCAUCCUUUCUCCUAUAGCUCCAACCAAACUAGCACUCCUGACUGGCAUUAGAACUUGAUAGCUGACUUCUCGUACUACCGAUUUCAAUCCUUACUUUGCUGACCUUAACUCUGACUUCCCUACCCAUCCUUCCUUUGAGUCGGAUUCCACCAAUCCGCUACUACUGAUGGGAACUAAACUCGGAACAGGGAAUGAAAACACUGAUACCAGGACAACCACUAUUAGAUACUAGGAUCGAACUAAGUAAACCGAGCCAUACUACUCGAAUAACACAGGCCAAGCAACGCCCUAUUCUAUGUCCCACAAGCCUUGAUUUCCCUAAGCCCAAUUCCAAUAGUGACCAGUUCUAUUCUCAUACGCCCCAGCAAAAUCCUACUAUAGCUAUAGGGGGCUUGAGUCUUGCUAGCAGUGGUUCUAUUCUAAUAGUAGUGUAAACAAUAGUAUAUGCCCGGGGGAAGAGAGCAGACUCACACUCACUAUAGAAUGAAAGUAUGGCCAGUAAGACUAAUGCAGUAGGAGCAAAGCAAGGUUCGGUCUCAGAAUGAUAGUUUACUUAUAGGUCUAUGACUAUGAAUGAUAAAUGAUAGUUUACUUAUAGGUCUAUGAAUGAUAGUUUCAAUAUGUAAUCCAACUCUUACUGAUAAAACAACAACUUCAUAAUACAAAUAAAGACUUGAACUGACCCACCACUAGCAGGCUCACUUCCUUUCUUUAAACACUCACAUUGGAUCCUUACUCGCUUGGAACAGGCUUGCUAUUACUUGAAAGAAUUCUCCCGAUACCCGUUUCAAGUCUACCCUUGCUUGCUUUUGAGUUGAAGCCCGUGUCUCGUUAGUCGCAUUCCUUAUCGCCCCCUUGAUCCUGUGACUACUCAGUGGAAUGAGGAAUUCCACCUUUUUUCUAAUACGAUUAGCUAUCAAACCCAGAAGUUAUAUUAUAGUGACAUUUGCCUUAUUGGUAAAGCCAUAAUGAAACAAGGCAGUAACUGGCACGAGACACCUUUCUUGACUUUAGAGCCUAGGACCGACACUCCCACCUUAUAUUCCUUAGUGAAAAGUUAGAGCCUUAUACUGGCCCCUUCCAUUCCUAUUCCAUUAUUGAAGUAUUAUGCCACUGCUCUCAAUCCUAUAGUUAGAGCUUGAGUACGCCCCACUUCCGUCUCUAACUCAGCUAAUCCUAAAACACUAAUCGCUGUUAAUGAACAUGAAACUAAUGGCAAACAGGCUAGAACACCGCCUAACGAAUAAAGCGUGAGAUUGAAAACACCGAUCCGGGUCCUUGUAAAGCGAGGUUGGUUCUUAUUGAUAUGAUGGUAGUAGCAGUCCUGUCAGCAUUGAUUGAAUCUGUAUUUGUUAGUUCCAUUCCAUUACUCAUUGGGGGAAUUCCUUGUUUCCUGAUAUCAAUAUGAGAAGUCAGGAUUUCAUGCCGUAGCAAUAUGAGAAGUCGUGGUUUCACUCUAGGGCCGGCAGCUUAGUUCAAUUAACUAACGAGUCAGGUUUGAGGGCUGUAGGCAGAUCUACCUAGCAGUUGCAUUGGUAGCCCUGUUUAUAUUCUUUUUCUUACUGGUGUCAAUCCUUUUUCUACUAAUACAGAUGUGAGAUCAGGAGCGAAAGACUAGAUUCUUUACUUUAUUAUACAAAUCCGUAUUUAUAGCAUGAAAACACGCAAUGGGAGCCUAAACCCAAGCAAAGGCAUUUAGGUGUUCAAGAAAGCAGGGGCAUUUAGGUGUUCAAGAAAGCAGGAACCCGGCAAUAAAGAAUAUAGAAAUCCAACUCGAAACUAUGGUUACCAAGACCUUAACUCAAAACCGGGAAUCUAGACUAAAAUAAGGAAUGGAACUGCGAGAAAAGAAGGCAGCCUUGUUAAGCGGUGGAUCAAGCCCUAUUUCCUAGUCAGAAAAGGUUGAGUUGUAUUGGUUUCAUAGUUGUAUGUAUUGGUUCCAUUCUGUGGAGUCGCGCCAGUACUCUUAGAACCACAGUAGAUAGAUUAUGUUUGUCAGUACUGUUUGCCUUUAGUGCCACUCUUGUAGUAGUUAGCAGCAUUCCAGGUUUCGAGCGCUAGUAGGCUUUACAGCACCUCCUUAUUUCUAGUAUUGGUCUUGCCCGUACCAAUUGUAUUCCUUAUUCCAAGCAUUGUGUUCUUGUUAUCAUUAGUUGGAUUCCCUGUAAGUAAGGUCAUUAUUUUUAGCACUAGUUGGAGUUAAAGUCAGUAAAGCCAGGAUCAUGCCCCCAUUACAGUAGGAAAGAAUCCAAAUCCUUAGUGAAAGUCUUUUUUCUUGUGUAAAUGCCUUAAGGUUAUGCCCGAUAUCCUGCAUUAUGUGUUUUAGCUUGAUUAGGCACUAGUUCAUUCCUGUUAUCGGUAGGCUUUCAGCACCUGGUUUGGAGGUUGGUCCCCUGGCUUGAGUGGAAUUACUAGUUGUUCGCUCUAUUCUUAUCAGGUAGUAAGUAAAGUCUGUAACAAGGUAUAAGACCUUCUGGCUAGGAGAGCUAGACUGAAUAGGGCGUAUUGGAGAGUGAAAGAAGCAAGUAAGGGUCCGAUAGUUGUAUAAGAGAAAGGAAAAGUAGACUGGUUGUUGAGCUGAUAUCCCAGAGUUAGAUGCCCGGUUUUGAUUCUUGUUAGGAGUAGUUGUUGUCUUGGUUCUGAGAGGACAGUUUUCAGUUCCAUUCCUGUUAGCAGUGAUAUCAGUCCUGUUCGCCCGGGUGCGAUUCCUUAUGCGAAUAAAAAGGAUGAGCCAGAGUCGAGGUAUCCCUCAUUCAGUUAAUAGUUGCCAUAGGUAAUAGGUAGCUAAGUCCAUAAUUCUUAGUGUUAAGUGUCGUUCUUGUUUUCUCAUAUAUAGAAGUGCGUCGGUAAAGGAAAGAUUCCGCUGGGUAAAGUCAAGUUUCAAAAGGAAGCAGCAAGCGAAGUGCUAACGUCCAAUUUCUUUGAGUUGACUCUGCUGCCCUACCCUAAGCUCGCUCAUAAGUAUUGACUUUUUCUGUUUGACUUCGAGAUGGCGAUACUAAGCAAUCUUCUUCGCUCGAAAGUCCAGUGUAAGGGAGUUUACCUGUAGAAUGGAAUUGUGGAAAUGAAUGUUCGACUUCAGACAGCGUGGUUAAUGCUUGAUAUUGAGAACAAGCAAUGUGCACUAGAUUCAUAAGAGUAUUUAUAGUAUAGACCCAUGUAGCGGUAAUAAUAAUAAUAACUUAUAUGCUAUGCGAAAGAGAGAAAUUGGAAAUCAAAUAAAAGAAGCAGAACUCGAUAACGGGAGGUCCAAAGAUGCAAUUCAUUCUGCAUUCUGGUCCAGUGUCCCAACAAGAUGUUGUGGCGCCGGUGAGCAGCUUUCUGACAUUCCUACUUUAUUAGCGGGUGAGAGAGAAUCAAUUGAAAUUCCAGUUGACUCUGUUACAUUCCUAUUUGCAAUGCUCGGCCAAGCUACUCAAAAUGGAAUAAUAGAACUAUGAGUUGGAAUAUUCUACUCUCUUAGCAUCUAGUUUCUUUAUCUACUCCGGACAGGAAGGACGUAUCUUCUCUAAGCCAAGACCAAAACUCAUAUGUAAGGUUUUCAUCCGUCACACAUGGGCUGGGCUAUAAUCCCUUAAUUUGAUACGAGUGGUUUCUUUAAUUCAGCAAGCUGUUUCGCAAGAACAAACAGUCAUUCAGAAAAAGCCAGCAGUGAGGAAGCAGUUAGGUCACUUUCAUUUACAUUCAUUAUGAAGCUUACGGUUACCUUAGUAUGGAAUAUGUGCACGAAACGAGCAAGGGAAAAGGGCCGACAUUCGUUCUUACUUAAAGGGCUCUCGCUAGGGAGCAAACAAACAAGCAAGCAAGGGAACACAAGGAAUCAGAUUUCGAAAGUUAGUGAGUUGUGCCGAUACUCCAUUUGAUAUUGAAGUAAGGAGUGAGUCAGCGCGCGGCAAGGGAAUAAAGGAAAAGCUGUUUCAGGCAGUUAGCGUUAGCACAGGGAAUUAAUAAGCGCUUAAGGCAGUUAGCGUUAGCACAGGGAAUUAAUAAGCGCUUAAGGCAGUUUGCUUCCCCACUUAUAGAUAGGUUGGUUCAUAUUCUUCAUCGAAAGUCAAAAAAGGAUCUAACAAAAAAGAGUCGACUACCUCACGACCAACGACUGCCUUCCUUCCUUCGUCUGCCUUCCUUCGGAAAAAGGGAGAAAUCACGAUUCAUGCUGCUAAAGGUCCGCAACACAUCUUUCGACCUUCGCUUAAACAUAAGAUGCACUACCUAUGCCCUCUGAUUCCGCGCAUCUCUUAGGGCAGCCCCCGCCAUACCAUAGUUGGAAUCUAGUCUCGGCAUCAAACCUACCCUUGAAAACGUCUUCUGUCCAAGCUCGCCUUUACCUCUUUUCACGUGAACAAGCUAUUCAGUACUGGGCGGUCCACUACUUCCGGGGAUUCGAGAGCACCUUGUAUUCGAUGCAUCUCAUCUAUGUCAUCUUCUAAAUCUGAAUCUGGCUAUCAUCCAUCUAAAAUAGAUAAUGCUGCAAAUCCUCCUCUUUUCUUUGACACCGACUCCUUUCUUAUAGAUGGCACCAAUGCUAUCGAAUAAGCCAAGCGAAAACAUGCGACUCCUACUGAGACUGCUGUUGAUUAUAAUAUUAGUUUGUCUUUCGAACUUUGCGGAUUUUAUGCCAUCAGAGAUUGACAGAGGGCUACUCGUUGAUUAACUCUCUCCUGAUCUGCUCUAGUACAUUCACAUUAAUUGAUUAACUCUCUCCUGCUCCGCUCUAGUACAUUCACAUGAAGGGGAAGGCCUGGCCAUUCGUAGCCAUUGCUUUUGCUAAAGAAGGCAUUCUAUUAUCAAAGAGAACCCUAUUUGUCCAAGCCCAAUGAAUGUGCAGUCCCUAUUAGCCUAUUCUCUGACCGGUUCCUCCACCAUUCUUUUUUGGACGCUACCUACCCUAACCUACUAUAAUUGCCGACAAGAACAGUCCUGUCCUCUCUAAGACCGAGUAAGAGGCUCUGUGCUCAUUCAAUCCAAUCACCUGCUUACAACCUAUCUGGGUGAAGUGAAAGGGGAAGUUCAAUUGAAAGGUUACUUUACUCAAUUAUAUCAUAAGCGUCAAUGACAAACCUUUGACUGCUAUUGAUUGUGGGUGUCCAUACUUACCGGCAAAAGAGAGACGUUCCCGAGCCAGCUUCUGAACUACAGGGCGUGCCUUCUUUGGAGAGAUGGUGAAUUUCUAGUAUAGGAGAAAAACACUCUGCUAUCUUUCUCUUUGGACAAGUUCCGCAAAACAAACUCGCAGGGGAUUCUAUCUCGCUCUCUUAUUUCCUGCUGAAAAAGAAGCUCACUCCAUUACUUUUGGGGUAGUCGAUUCAGGGGUACGAGAAACCCAUAGGGUACGUAGCAAUUAAAUCAACCUUGGAAGCUUUAAUCAAAUCAUAGUAGUGUUCAAAUAAGCAAGUAAUCAAAUAAGAAGUAUUAUUGAGAAGUGUGCUCACUUAUGAUAGAAUGAAAAGUCUAAGGUGCUCACUUAUGAUAGAAUAAAGUCAAUAAAGCUGUAAGGAGAUCCUUUCUUUCGCUUAGUAAGAGCAGAACUGGUUUUUGGGGCUUCUAUUGUUAUUUCACUAUUUCCAUAAUCUGGGGUAGGUAGUACAUACAUAUGGAUCUGAAUGGAUUAUGAUCUCUAAUGAACUGCGCCCUAUAUAAGUAGAAGCACUUUCCUUACCCGAAUAGAGUCUUCUCGUUAACAGCAACCCUAUCAAAGAGUAUAAGCACGCACUUUCUUUACCCGAAUAGAGUCUUCCAGUAUAGUAGUAAAGGCAAGGGUACCGGUAGCGAAUGUUGUAUCUAAUUCAUUCUGUUCUUUUCUUGUUGUGAGCUUUCUUCCCUAUUGACUCGGGGGCACCAUUUCUUAGAGCAGGAAAUGCGAAGGUUGCGCUUUCUUUCUAUUUAUGAGAAUACGAGACCCCGGAAACUUCAAAAAGCUAGGGUAGUGGGAUGGGCUCCGGGUGUAGGACAAGGACUGCCACAGGAACAGUAAGAGUGUUUGAUCCCUAUGGUUUUUUCUCAUUGAAUAUUUUGCACGCCGCGAGCCGUGGUUCUCUCGAGCGGGCUGGGAUGAUCUCAGACGGGGGCAGUACAUUAUCUAUGCCGGAGCAGUGUCAAGUGGUUCCAACUUUCAAAGAAUAACAGGAAAUAUAGGGGAAGGAAGGGGCUUAUCAUCAAAUAUCUAUGUGAUUGGAUUUGCACCAAAGGAAGGAACCCAACAACUCAGAAUUCCAUUCCAUAGUCUUAGUUUGAUAUCUCGACAAGUCAAUCAUAUUAUCAUUGUUUGUUUUCCAAGAAAUGAAGCAAGAUUGAUGGCCUGACAAAAGAGCUCAGAAUUGUAUGAUACAAACUGGGUUUACCCUUCUCCUCUUGGUUGUUGAUCUGGUCCCCAAAAAGAGUAAGGAAUAGAAGAUGCCCAUCUAUAAGAAAGCAUCGUUUCAAAGCUAGAAAUUCCACCUCAAUAUUACUACUUGGCUGACAUAAAUAAGAAACCCACCCAAUAGGAGCCAGAGAUCAAAUCAAUACCAGUCUCGUGUGUAGAAGCGCAGAUCAAGCUCUUUCUCUUCAAGCAUAUAAGAUCGCAGGAAAAAGUGGAGCAAAUAGAGAAAAGUCAGGCUUCGAAAAAAAGCACAAGCGAGAUCAACGACUAGUUGGCUAUGCUGGAAAGCGGGCGAUCAUAUUGACUUCCAUAAUCCAUCUCAUUGGCCCCUACUUUAGAGCCGUCUGAAGCAUCGAGCCUUAUUGAUGUGAAGGCACCGAGCUCCGUAUCUUUUCCAAGGCACGAUGCCCAUAUGCUCAUAUUAGAAUUCAAACUUCAGCAACUCAAAAACGCAUAUUGAAAUGAUAUUACUGUUCCGGUCCGAAUUCGCAAAACGUGGGUUCCAUCGAGAAUUGGAUAGGGUUUCCCAUAGUUCUCGCGAAUCAAGAGCAUUUGCUAGUAAAACCAUGUGAUGAAAUUCGAAUUAGCUAGUAUGACUAUGUGAUGAAAUUCCAUAAGAAUAAGAAGAUGAGGAUUCAUAUUCAUAUAAGAGGGAAGAGGAUUCAUAUAAGAGGAUUAGGAUUCAUAGGGAUGAGGAUUCAUUUUGGAUGGUUAUGGUUGUCUCGGUUUAUAUGGGGCUUUCGAGAUGAUGACGAAGGAACUAACUCAGCUUUCCUGUCUGGGAAAGGAUAUCCGUUUUUUACGACGCAAACGGAGCCGAAACAAACGGGCUCUCCACUCGGACCCUUUGAAGUUUGGAGGGAGGUCCAAAUCCAUCCUAUCAUGGCGCUGGUCUUACCGCUUUCAGGGGAUUCAUUUUCACAGAGCGCAACUAGACCAACAUCAACAAUUAGAAAUCUGGUAUCAAAUGAGUAAACACACUCAUCUAUUGUAGACAAGAGAAGAGGUAUUGUAGACAAGAGAAGAGGUACGACGGCCCCGGAUCGGAACUCAAGGUUGAGCGCGAGAUCAAGUCAAAGCUGGCAAUCCUCGACAGAUAUGCUUGAAAGUCAAAGCUGGCAAUCCUCGACAGAUAUGCUUUCUGACCUUUGCUCCAGAAGGAUUUCGGGGACAUCCGUAUGAAUCUUGAGAAAAUGGUUUCUAGUAUAGCCCUUGACAAGGAUAGAAACCAUAGAAAGGGUAAGCAAUGGAUAGGUUUGGUUCUUGUAUUACGGUAAGCGGACCGUGGAAGCAGUGGGGUAUUAUGAACAGAAUAGAGAUCUCCUUCAUUACCUUCCUUUUCUUUUUCUAUGUUUCUUUCAUUCUUAUUACGGUUUCCUCUGGGCAGACAUAAGCCUUUUCUUUUUCUAUGUUUCUUUCAUUUUUCUUUCGGUUUCCUCUGGGCAGACAUAAGAGAGAGAGCGCUUUAGUGAAGAGAAGUUCCGUCGGCUAGUAUAGUUUUUCACAACAGAGCUUUCUUCGCAUGAGAAGUCAUCUUUUUCAACCAAAUGAUCGCAAAUAUCAAUGAACAUAUGAUUGUAUAUCUACACUUUUACCCAUUUUGUCCCGUUGCUUGGCCCUAGCAGAUACUAACUACAAAGCUUGGCCGUUAUUACUUAGGAAGCGAGUGUGUCUCUUGACUCUGUUGAUGAAGCAUAAGCUGGAGCAGUUUCAGAAGCGGGUGAGGAAUCAGGUAAAUCCGGUUUGAAAGCAUAAACCUCAUUAUCCGGGUGAGUUUACAGCCCGGCUCCUUUUAUUUGAGUUCGAGUGUGCGAGUUAAGCGGUGCUGGACUUUUCUCUUAAGAAGCCGUGCAAAGUUGGCAAUCUUUUUCUCCUAUAUAUUUCUCCUAUAUAAAGAAUGAAUCGAUGUAUGAAAAUUGGACUGGAAGUUAUUAAGUUGGAGCAAGAUCUGGCGAGGAAGCACAAAGUGAAUGAGUUUCACCAUAUUAGUCAGAAAGAAGCCAACUCUCGAAUCUCAUGUCCUCUUUGGGAAUAACCUAUGAAUCUCAUGUCCUCUUUGGGAAUAACCUAUUAAUUUCAUGUCCUCUUUGAAUGGGUUGUUCAAUAAGGGAUUGACCUAAGGGGAAACAGAACUUCAAGCUGUGCUAUCUCAUGGACCACGGGAUGAAAAGAAGAAGGAAAGGAGGAAGAACAUAACGAUAAGAAGUAGCUAUCGGUCGGCUGCUUGAUUUUGACGGGAGUAAAGAAUAAGUGGGUGUUACGCCUUGCCUAAAAGCCAAAAGAAGCUUUCUUCGUUCCGGAGCCUCCAUUAAAGAAGCGGAAGGAUCAAUCAGUGAACUAGAGAGUGGAGUAGUUUAUAUAUAAAUGGUUUCAUCUUAAUUACUUCUAUGCUCGAGAGUUAAGGCAAGAGAGAUCAAAGAAGUUCCAUUCACUGUUUGACUUGACAAUCAUACGGGAUAGGUUAUUUACGUACUUCGAGCUGUAGGCAGAGUUUUAUCUGUAUGAAGCUAUCCAUUCAAGCCUGAAGUGGAGAAGACGUAUAAGGAGGUUUUGAAGUUGUCGACGAAGCGGUUCUCAAAAGGUUAACUCCGUAAACCGAUACGAAAUAAGGACUGGAUUAGUUGGCUAUUCAGAAAGUAGAGUGUCUUUGAGCGCUUGUCCCGUCUUUUAGUCGUCGGCUAACGGGAGUUCAUUCACAGGGGAGGGGGGCAAUAACCAAUUCUAAACUAGCUUUAGUAAUGGGGGGUCCAGUGAGAUUUGAUAUACAAACCUAUGACUCUCUUUGGGGGCUAACGUCAGUUGUGAACGAGAGAAUCUACAGUGUGGGUGAAAUCCUUAGUUUCAGUUACAAGAUCUGAGGCUGGAUCUUAAUCAGGUCAAUUAGGUGUUCAAGCGCUCGGCUCGAAAGAUUAUAUUCAUUACUUUCGGGGCGCUACUGGAGUUUCAAUGAAUUCUUUUACUUGUGCUAACAGAAAGGGUGUUGUUGACUCUAAGUAAGACUCUCGAGCUGGAUCAGACAGUUCCGUUUUAGUUUCAUCUAUAAGAUCCUCUCCGUCGGUUAAGUCAGCGGUAAGUGAUUCUGCAAGUUGAGUUUGACCUGAAUUUAUAUAAUAUGGAUCGUGGUAUUUUCAUUCUGUGUUUUCCUCUGCGCUAACAGGAGUCGUAAAGCGAUCAGAGGUUGGUGCUUGACUUACUUCUUUGUAUAUAGAAGAAGAGGCUAAGGCAUCAGCAGGAAAGUGGACAUCGACUCCAGAAUCCGUAGUGCAAUUACAUUCUGACUUUCGAGUUUACCUCGAGGCGAGAUAGAAUCAAUGAAUUCUGAAGCGUUAAGUCUCACGCCUGUUCCAGUUUUCGGCUAGGGUAAGAGUUCGGGUGUUGUCUUAGAGAGAUAUGGAUUCUCUUAUAUGUGAUGCUCUUAAAGCCAUCUUCUGCGCUCGAAACAAGUUCAAAGGGGUGUGUUUCCGUUUCCGUAUAAGUUCAAGUUGGAAGUUGAAGAAUGAUUUGUUGUGGUAGGUCCCACCUGUUAUAGCAUUGAGUAACCUUUUGGAGACGCGGACUUGAGAUGGGAUUAUUCCUCGGCCUCUCCUUGACGUGAAGAAAAAUCAUAUCUCUCUUUCUUUUGCAUAUAUAAUGAAUUCAGGAAUGUAGUAAAGCAUAAACUCCGUACUCAUCCUCGGCGCAUUAGGCUUAGUCCGAUAUAGUUCCUGUUUUCACUGGCAGUAGUUUAGUUCCCGUUUUCGUAUCUGCAUCAGUGGCUAGAGUGUCAGUUCAUUCUUUCCCUUCACAUUACUCACUCUUUCUUAUGAAUUGAGUACACCCUUUAUGUAAGUUCGUUAUAACCAAGUCCACCAAGCGUAUACUAACGAGUUUGAUUCUGACCUUUCCUACUUGUCAGUUUCAUUCCCAGUUUCAUCCGUAUUUAAGUAGUCGAGUAGUCCAGGACUUGAAGACCCGAUUUUCUUAGUGGUUGAAUUCUUUUAUGAGCAAGUAAAGCAUAAGGCAUAAUAACUUGCAGGUGCUUCAACUGGAUCUACAUUAGACCCAUGUUUUUCAAAGGAAGGCAGGAGCAGUCGCAGCUGGGUUUACGUCUACGUCUACUGGAUCACUGGCAUAAUAACUCGGCCCCUUAGGAUGCAGCUUCUACAGAUAUAGGUUCUUCCCUGGGCCAGGUGUGGUGGGAGAGCGGUCGAGCGUGCAAAGGCGCGAGCAACGUUUCUUCAAUGUUUAAAAGCGUGCAAAAGAAAAGGUCGGCUUUUGGCUAACGAUUCCAAAGAUUCUAUCAUCGAACAUCGAAUUCUUGGCUGGAAAAGAAAGGAACGAAAACAGAUUCAUCCUUUCUCUGUGCUUCCCCGUUCAAGAAAUGAAUUUCUUCCUAACAUCUUUAUGGGCGAAUCAAGUCUAGUUCAGGUUCAGGGUAAGUUAGUUUCCGUUUAAGAAUGAUUUGUGGUAAGAGUUGCCAUAGUGAUAGUUGCUUUAGAGGCUUAGUAGACAUAGGUGUAGUUAUCAUCAAUAGUUCAAUCAAUAGGGAGGCUUUCAGCACCUUCUGUUUACUUAAGCUGUUUGUAAAAGAGUGAAGUAAACUCCCUUCCCCAAAGCCCGGAAAGUGACCUCACCCAGAGUUAGUAAAGAAUCCAGUACUGCUGGGGCAGGUUAAGGUAUUUAAUGAAACUCCUAACUAAGUAGUAAAAGCAUGAAACAUAUACUAACAAAUUAUUGAUUUCUAAUCAGUAGACGGUUUUAAAGGUAAUUACCUGACUUUCGAACAGGAACAUUCCCUAGAACUGGAACAUUCCCACUUAUCUUAUAUCUUAUAUUAUAGAACUGAUUCCACUCAUUCACCUAGCGCUUCGUCACCAACAACAAGAGACUCUGACCUCGCUUCUGAUCCAGCUCUAUCUGAUGCUUUAGCCUCUUUUUAUCCUUAUUCUACUCCGUCAUCUUAUCCUUCUGCUCUAGUUUCAUCCAGAGUUUCAUCUUCCUGCUGUGACCCGCCAAGUAGACAAGCUUAUACUACAAACGCAAGACUACAAAUAAACUCAAUCAAGAUACUAUUCCAGAGUUAACCUGUAUUCAAGGCGUCAGUUCGGGAAAGCUAUCAGGCCAGGCAAGCAGAAAAGUAGUGCUUCAUCAGAACCAUAAGCAGGAGAAGUGAAGUUUACAAGAGAAUAAAGUAGUGCCAGUUAGGUCUACGAGAUCAUCACAAGUGCUUUCUUCGACCAUAAAGAUUAAGUGCGCGAAGGAGAGUCCAAUUAUCCAGUAGCAAGUCCUGUUAGUUUGGUCUUAUACUUAUUCUCUUUCUUAUCCCUAAAUUAGUCACACCCUUUUUUGUUGUGGUAUAUUUGAGUCACAGCAGAAAUAAGUAGAAAUUAGUAACAGAUGGAACUGUUCGAAAGUCUGGGUGCUUGGACUGUACCACUACAAGGGAAAGCUAAGCAUUAAGGUGAGGGUAAGGCAGAGGCAUAGGGUUCCGUUAAGUCAGAGGCAUAGGGUGAAGGUAUCGGUGAACAAGUCAGCAGUGAAAGCAGAUCCACAGCCAACUUACUAUAUGAGCAGCUCUAGUGAAACUCUGAUCUUUGUUCCAGAAGGUAAGCGGUUAAGUCAGAAGGAGAGUGAAGUUCUGUUCUUGUGUCUGUUCGAGGAAAGGAAACUCCAGCUAGCAAAUACAGGACUAGCUCAUAGCUAAUUAAUAUAUAUGAAUUUGUUCCUUACUCUCUAUGCCUUCGGGUGCGAGGGUUGGUUGUCAGUUAGGAAUACAUCUAGCUUCUGAACAGAUAAGUUAACAAGUAAGCUUCCGAACAGAGGUUUUGUAUCCUUAGGGCAAACACACUUAGAUUCUAUCUUAUCUAAUAGAACUGAUGAAAGUGCCUAAUUUGUUCAAAGAGCCAGCUGCUUUGUUUGUUUAAAGAGAAGAAAGAGAUGUUACCAGUUGCCUGCGGUAUAGUUAUAUGAGUUGAGGACCGCUUCCAAGUCAUUCAGUUAAAGCAAAGGCCAGGGCAGGGAAAGAAAGAGCGAGAUGGGGGUCGGGUCGGUAUGAAACAAAUUCUACUAGUUGUCUGCUUGCCUACUUGCUAUGUCUUUGUAGUAGUUACUUGGCGGUCAUUAGUAGUUGUUUGUCUAGUAGUUACUUGGUCGUUAGUAGUUGCUUGGCCCUUUCUCCAAUUUCUUAAUAGAUAUCCAACUUUCUACAAUUUAUAUAUAUUAAAAGAUAAUGAGUGGUUUUUCUAGCGCCCCCUUUGGAAUAAGCUAUGCGGGUGCUACAGACUCAACGGACUUGGACCCAGCUUUCAAAUGAGAAGAUUGCUCUCUGGAUGUUCAACCUUAUCUGCAGGGCAAUCCACGAGGACAAAUAAAUGAGAAAUCAAUUCUAAAUAAAUGAUACCAAUAGUACUUGGGAGGUGGAAACGGGGAAUCUGACUCUGUGCCUAUGAUUGACUCGUAUUAGUCUUACUUAAGGUCGGCCACGCUUAAAGAUCGGUGCGGCUAAUAGUGAUGACAGAAAGAAUCAAGCUUGCUAGCAAGAGUUAGAAGUUAUAGCUUAGGCUUCAUCUCCUUCUGAAGCAUAUCCACUUCCUGGGAUUCCUUAUGUCGUGGGCUUAGCUUAGCCUCCAGGAUGACUUAUGUAUUACUCUAUCCAAUAUUACUUAUGUAUUACUUCACUAUAACUACUUAGAUGUAUGACUAACUACUUAUUAUUAAUAUGUGUAUAUAUAUAUAUAUGACUAACUUAUCCUUAUCUAUUUGAUUGGAAUGUUCUUGUCAUUCAUUUUUCGUACUUGUGUACUCUCGCUCGAGGAAAGAUAGAAAGUGGAUGGAAGGGAUAGGCUUUUUGUACUAGCUUGGCAAAGUAGAGUUUUGUGUCCUCCUCGUACAGGGAGAGGCCCUUAAAAGAUUUCUAAGAAGUGCCACCCCCCCCUUUUUUCUUUUCCGAACAAAAGAUUGAAGUUCAGCAGCAAGCCUUUGACCUUUUAGUAAGUACAUACAAGAGCAUGUCUCUUUUGAAAGAAAAAGUACAGACCCGGGGAGCGGGAACUUAAGCUCUAAGGCAGUAGUUAUGGACUGAAAGAUGUAUAGGUUUGUUGUCGGACGAAGAGAACAACUCUCAACCAGGAAUAAGUCAUUUGAGAAUACAGAAUUGAACUCUACCCCUGGAUCCUAUAUUCUAUGUCAAAGAGUCCAACUGGUAAGUCAGAAUUAAAGGCAAGAAAGCAAGAGCCAUAAGCUUAAUCGAAGGAAUUCCACUCAAGCAGAGGCUGGCGAGGGAAGAAAGAUAAUACCCAGUUCCUGUUCUCAAGUAUGGUUAUGACCGAUAUAUGACCGAAAUCGGUCACAGCUAAAUCUCAAUAGAUGGAGCAAGAGCAUAAACAGGUAAAGGAUUUGAAGCAGGUGAGGAAGCUUUAUCAACUGAAUCCGCAGUUCUCAAGUAAGGUAAAGGCCCAAAACCAUAAGACUCAGUGCGUGAACGAGAAGAGAGUGGAGUUGUGGAAAAUCAGAUAUUAUAUAAUAGAAGGCGAGAAAUAAAGCCAUAUGGAAAUGCAUGAGUUGCACUAGGCUAAAGGGCUUUUUGAGCAACAAUACUGAGUGUGUCAGCAACUAGCAAGCGGGUAAUCUUUAAUUACAACUUAAGGUGUUGAGUAUGAGUAUGAGUAUACAAAGUCAGGGUAGUGUUGGCUUAGAGUCUUGUUCAGUUAUGAGCUCUAAGUCGUACGAGAUAGUUUCGGCGGUAACUGAAUCCGUAGAAGAAAGAUAUGAUGCAACAGAAAGAGCAAGAUCUGAGGCAUAAGCUAUAUAUGGAGUAGGAGAAGUGAAAAUAUCAGUAUAUGUUAGUAGGUAAAGAAUAUUGGGUUGGGGCAGGGUAUCUACUUCAAUCUAUAACAGGUGCACUCCAGGAUACUCUCCCGGCUGGGCAAGGGAACAAUAGGCAGUUCAAGGACUGGUAGAAUGGAGUUUUUGACUAUAAGAAUCGAAUUGACUACUAUGGCGUUAUACUAGAGUGUACCCCAGUAUCAGAACCUAUUAUUGGAACGGGUUGGCUAGAAGGAGGAACCCUUAAGGAGAUGCACACUAACGCCUUUAAGGAGUUACUGGAACUACACUUGCGGACUUAGAGCGUAAGCACCAAUACCAGACUUUCGAACAGGAACCGGGAGUCGGAACCAUAUCAGUUGUUCGACAUCGACAGGCAGGCGCAGAAGAGCAAGCCUAAUUCUAUAUUUCAGUAACAGGGGCGGGGUUAACUCACAGGUCCAGACUCAGUUGACAGAUAAGAAACAAGAUCAGGUGAAUCCAAGUCCUUUGUUCGAGGGCAAUCAGCGGCAUACAAUAGGAAAUCAUUCCACUACUACAGAGGCAAAGAACCAAGCCCUAACGCCUUAACCUUUCUUUGAAACUGUUGAUUCGAGAGUCGAUGUAUAAUCCAUUGUUGAAUCUUAUUAUCAAGAAAGAAUAUCAGUUAGAAGCUUAUUUCUGUUCGAAUAAAGUUGUUAGUUGAAAGAAAGUAGAUAGUGGAAAGCCUAAUAUAAGUACGGGUUAGUGGAGGUAGGCCUAGUUAGUGAAUCCAGAACUCCUACUGAGGAAAGAAUUCAUCUACUAUGGUACACAGGAUUAUGACUGAUUACUUACUGCCCGGUAACAACUCUAUCACUUACUGCCCGGCACACAAGCACUUCUGGAACAAGACUCGUUGGACCACUUGCAGCUGACUUUAGUCAACACCCAUUAAAAGCUUCUUCUCGACUCGCAGGAAAGCCAAGAAAUCACUUAGUUCGUAUACAAGGAAGGUUAUACAGGGGAACAAUCCGUUUCAUUACCAACCAUAGGAGCGGAUCUCUAUUCAGAACCCAUUUACUUAAGGGCAGAAAGAUACUCCACUCGCACCCAACCCGAAAGAAGCGCCAGCAUCUGAACCGACAACUUCGUCAAGCAAUAGACCGAUGACCAUCAAACUCCUGCUAACAGCGGUCAACACCACAGAAUGGGUGAUUUGCUAUAAUAUGAGUUUACUCGAGUUAGAGAAUUGCCUUAUUAUUAUGACCAUUAUUACAUUAUAGCCUACUAACUCAAUAAAUGUGCGGUGCAGAAGUCCAAUAUAUCUUUAUUUAGAAUUACGGGUGUGCUACAUGUGAAAAUGGAGAUUGAUUGAUUAUUACUGGUUACAUGUGUUAGUAAUGCUUGGAGUGGAUGCCCGGUGCUAUAUCUAUAGUCAUUCGCUUCUGGAGUGUAUUUGCUUGUUGAAUUGAGGCACGGUCCCUUAUUCUUCUUCUUAUUGGAAGCGGGCUUCUACUCUGGUAAGGGAUAAGAUAAAGGGGAGCGGGGGAACAGCCCUGCCGCUCUUUUAGCUCGCUGACGCUACACAUUAGCCCAACUCAGCUCCUGACGCGACACCAAUUAAUUAAGUGAACUUGUCUACUUGGCGAUAUCCAAAUAUCUCUUUAAGAACUAUCCAAAUAUCUGUUAUUAUUAAAGAAACUAUAUUGAACUAGGGCUUACCCGACCGAAGAGUCUUACGGACACAGGACUUAGUAGUUGCUAAGGUGAACUCGGAGUUAAGACCACAUAGUGAAUAGUAGUUAUAUCAGAAUAGCAGAGUGGAAGACCGGAGAAGAGCACCAGGAGUUCAAUUGGUCACUUUUGCCAACCGCUCGCUACGGAAGAUGGUUAAGGUAUACACUACAAAUUCAUUAAAGAACAGGUACGUACUUUCUCUAGCGCAUAGAAACAAGUAAUAUCAAAUACAAGCCUCUUAGAAAAGGUACUCAAUCUCUUGAGAAGAACCAGUUGUCACUUCUAUUACGGUUGGCGAUGAAGAAAGUAGAGUUCAGAAGUCAACUGCAAGAGGUUUUAUGCAUGUAGAGAGUCCGGAGUGUGAAUUCAUAAAUGGAUAUGAAAAGGAGAUGGAUUCCAUUCCUGUGCGAGAGGGAGGUGAGGUUGGCAAGAUAGAGUGCAAUUCCUACUUUCUUUCUAGGUUGAUUGGUUAGUUUAGUCUGAAGUUGACAAGUAGUGGUCCAAUCGAGAAGUAGUGGUCCAAGUAGUAGUCUAGGGUCGGCAGCCAAACAACUAAAGUCGUAGACGAGGAUAAUUGCCUAUUUUACUGCUUUCCUUUUAGGUGGUACAGACUUAUAUACAGGCGCUUACAACUAACUCUUCACUGUUUGACUCGGCACAAACAGAUGUUGUGCAUCAGUAGCUAAAGGUAAAGUUGUUGAAUUGAAUCUAGAUGGUUACUUUACUCUAGUAUAGAAAAAGUCAUAUUAGACACUCUGAGGUGAUUGGCCCCAAAGUCUAUGAGGUUUGUUAUUGGCUCCUAAAGUCUGAGGUCUCGGGGAAAGUGUAGUUUCAGUUUCAAGAUCAUAAUAUGGAUCAUCUUCAGAGGCAAGUGUAGUUCAAGGAGAGUGAGAGUUUGGGGGAGUAGAAUCCAAAGCGGAAGCAAGAUAAGUUGGUAACUCCACUUAUUGUCCCGAGGAAGGAAGAGAAUCUAGCUCUUUCAAAACUAGUAUAUGCUGGGCCAAGAGACUAUUCUAUCUCGAGUAGCUUGUCGGCUUGUCUGCUUGGCUUAACGCAAAGUGGUUGCUUUCUCUCUUUGUCUAAGAUAUGGAAUUGGGGGCCAUAGUCAAUAAUUGCUAGCGCAUUAGGCACAUAGAUAUUAGAAUUGGGUACGAUGUAGCGCAUCCAGAAUAUCUUACUUCUUUUGGGGCGAGUGGAAUCCUUGUUUGUAGUAGUUACGCGGCAGGAGUUCUUCCAUUGGCUAUCAGGCAAGUAACUACUAAUGUUACGCGCCAGCGCUGUUUACCGUGUUUUGGUGAACUUCCGGAAAGAGACUUUGACUUCACUUCAGUACUUAUUGCUUAGCUUCCUGGCCUAUCCCUCUGGCUCGAGUACUUGCUUGCCCGGAGCAUAAGCUUAAGUCUAGUCCAGUAGUAUACGCUUGCCCCUGUUCGAGUGAUAGUCUUCAGACCGGUAGCACUGUUCUGGUUCUCAAGUAAGGUUAAAGGCAGUUAUUAAAUCUAAGUAAAGUCUAGGCCCUUAUAGUUAGUUUCGGGGUUAACACUUAUUACAUGUAUAGGUCGGGUCGGGAGUUCCACUUGUUUGCUUCACUCACUCAUUGCUUUAAGAGGACCUCUGCUUUGUAGCAUCUGCACUAUUUCUUAUAGGGCUGGCUAAGCUCCUUUUCGCGGAUGCGCUGUAGUUUGCUAGCUCGGCGCAGGUUGCUCUUCCGUUUCGUUUGAGAGAAGGGCUUUUUCAGCGGUAAGUAUACUAUAUUAAUAAGUAUCGGAGUUAUAGAGUGGAAAGGGAACCAUUUCUGCCUAUUUAGUUCUGACUUCUGUGUUUCAUUCUUCCUUUUGAGUGGAAGUCCUUUUAUGAGCAAGUCCUGUGUUGGAGAACUCAUAUAACAUGUCUGAAUUUGUUGUUCCCGAGUCUUGUAUUCAUGGCGGCAGGAGCCCCGUUUCUAGUUGAUUUCUUUGUUUCAUCUGUAUUUGUUGUCGAUGAGUCUAGUCUCUUUCUCAGCGUUCCUGUUCCAGCCAUGAGGUUAAUGGUGUUGCUGUAAGUUAAUGGUAUGAUUGUCCCCAUUAGUCACUAAAGAAGAUAAGGUGAAAAGGCCCAUAUGUUAGAGAAUGAAGUAACAAAAGAGCAUCUAUUCUUCCUGACAAGUAAGAGAGCAUCUAUUAGGAUUAUUAACCUCUCCUCCUCUGGAGCGUUCAAUUCAAACUUCACUACUUGAGAGAAAGAGCUAACUCCGCUCAGAACUGGAAUAUCUGAUUGUCCUAACAAUACUGUUAUACGAAACUGUACACUUGUAUACUAAGCUUGUUCCGAGGAAACCUUUAAUACAUCUCUCUCUGGUCUUGCGCAUCGUCCGAACUCGUAUUGAUGAACGAACCACUUGCUGCACUCGCUCCUUUUUGACCACAACACACACCUCUUACUCAAUAAUAACCUACUUAUACGCUCACCUGAAACUUCUAUCCUCUCCACUUAGUCUUGUUGGGACUCACAUUACUUAAGGCUGAAGAAUUCAUUGAAUCUCUAGCAAGUGUAGAAGCUUAAGCAGAAGAUCUAUAUCUAGAGGAUCGGAUUACUGUGCUGGUUGACUCGGUGCAAGAGAAGGAGAAGCUGUUAUCAAGUCUGUUACUAUUGGGUCUUCAAGUAAUGAAUCCGCGGUGUCAAAGUCAAUGGUAAGCGGUUCUGCAAGCCGAGAGGACUCUUUAGAAGGGAAAGGUAUUAAUGAAACUCAAGCAGAGGAAUUAGCCAGAGGUAUUGUUGCCCUAGGUAAGAGAAGAAGUCGGUUCGGGUACUUGUGUUAAGCAUAGAAGAAAUAUGGAUCCUUUGUCUAUUUGUCCCCUCCUAUUAUCUAGAUUAUCUUUAUAUAGGUGAACGGAAUAUCACAUCAUAUAGGAGAAAGUUUCGAAAGAGAAAAGUAGGAUAGUUAGAAUGAAAGUGCACUUUAGUUGCUUGUUGGCUGAAACCAGGUAGGCUCGGAAUGAAGCUAAGGUGUUACAGGCUGAUGCGGUGUCUGCUAGGUAUGUAGCUAGGGAAGUUGCGUGUGAAAGUAUUGUUUCGGGUGCCAGGUAUUCUGGGUGAUAUGCUGUUCUUGAGGUCUGUUAUGAUUAUUGGAAUACCGGGUAGUCCUGUGGAAUCAGAGGUUUAGUCCAGUAGUGGAGUAGUUAAGAGCUUCUUUGGAGCAAGAGAAGAGAGCCGAAUUCUGUUCAUAGUGGAAAGUUGCCAUAGGCUAAAUUAGGACUCCCAAAGGCUGUUACUUGCUAUGCGCUCGGAAGCCUAAUUCUGUUAAUGCCAGCAGCUUGUUUCAAGAAGUUCAUAGUUGCCAUAGGUAUGUAGAUGAGAUGCGCCUGAGUUAGAGGAUAAGACGGAGCCGAGCCAGUAGUUGUAGAGUAGUUUCCAAGGUAUCAAUUCACUGGUUCAGAAGCGGUUGAAAGAUCAGACUUAGUUGACAGAGCAGAGCCAGUAGUUUAUGGUUUGAGUUGAAUCCCCUUCAUUAGGAGUUGACUCCCUUGUUUAGUCUGAAGUUGACAAGUAGAGGUGUCUGGUCCAGUGGAAUCAGUAGCUGAGGCAGCCAAUGAGGUAUCGGAUCAAGAUCGGUCUACUUUGAAAUGAAUGAUUUCGAAUCGCCAAGACGACAAGCUUAGAGACUAUACCAUACCCACCAGUUACUGACUUGAAGAUUCCCUUAACAGCUAUGCCAGCACUAGAGCAAGAAAACCCUGUCUCGGAGUCAGAGGAAAGUACCAUCUUCAGCGCUUAUGGAUAGUGGAUAAUUUCAGGAUUGUCUUUCAUAAGGAUAAUAUUGUCUCUUCCAUAAUGAUAAUAAUAAGGAUCGGGAUAAAAGGUUCUUAAAGUAUAGUUUCUAGAUAAAGGGGUAUUGCAUAGAAAGAGAUAACUACAGAGAGACGAGUUGUUUGUAACCACAUAGAUAGGGAGCUUUUAGAGUGGUCCUUAGCCCAAGACAAAUCUAUACUCUUUCUGAAUUAGAAUCAGCAGUUUAGGGUUCUAUCAAUUGUGCAUCAGAUUCCAUUUGAUUCUUUGUGUACUUAACACGUGAAAGAAGAGUUGACCUUACCAUGGCUCUUAUCUUAAACGAGUAGUGGUUAGUAGUUAAGGGUUAAGGCUAAAGUGAAUAAAAACAAGUAAAAGUACUGUUUGAGUUGACUCGGCACUAGAUAGAUGAUAAGUAUUUCUUGCUUCUGCUUUCAAAGCUCACAAAGGCUAUAGUUUCAAGCGCUUACCUUAAGUAAAGAAGAGAAUUAAGCAGUGAGGUCACUUUAUUGCCAACCCCAUACUUUAUCUAUAAGAAGCCGUUUAGUCCUUUCAAUGGAGUUCCUGUUCGUGUGUUACGGUAAAGGGCAAAUCUUGUUGGUAUCACAACUUCAUUCCUUUUCCUAUUGGUAUCACAACUUCAUUCCUUUUCCUAUUAUAUAGGCGAGUGAGAAAGUGGGCGAGUGAGAAAGCACUCAAUAAAUUAUGGUUUUCCAGCGGAUCCUAAGAGAUAGAAUAAAUGAAUUCUUUGAAAGCGGGGGGAGGUCGGAAAAACGAAAUAAUAAAGUACUGGUGAGGAGUGUUGGUCCUAUAGCUCCAAGUCUGGUUUAGGUUGAUUGUAAAGGGAUACUAUACUACUGAUUUUGCUGUGCUUCUAAAGCAUACUAUAAUAGUCUAGGGAAGUAUGUAUUACUUACAAAUAAAGAUACAAGUAAAGACAGGAGCAGUAUCCACAGUUAGCCGAGUGGGUGUAAUAGACAUCUAGUGGAAUUAGCCUCUCAAGUUGGAAAGUUAGAGACGUACUGUACUGGGUUCGGGUUGACUCGGCACUCCAAGACUAAGUGCAGCAUCUCGAUUCAUAAAGAAAUCUCCGUUUAUUCUUCCGGUAGCGAGUUUUAGUAAUAUAGGGUGUGGUAGCAGUGCUUGUGUUGUUGGAUCUAGAAUAGAAUCUCUACUGACUGCGCAGAGUUUAAUAAAUAGAGGAAAGAAACACUAGGAAGUUAACUAAACAACAUACUUAAUUAUAGGAAGUUAACUAAACAACAUACUUAAUUAUAGGAAGUUAACUAAACAACAUAUGCGCUUUUAUCAUAUUGAACACUUAUGAAACUAGCCUAUAGUGCGAGAGCUUGAUUUUAGGCGCAAGAGAUAAGAAAAGUUGUACUAGAUCAUUCUUUGAUAAGGGUAGGGUACCGAUUGCUUGAGUACAGGAUUAAGUACCUUUUGUAGAGUAUAUGAAAAGUAAGUUGUCUUCUUGCUAUGGUACAGGAAAGGCUAAGGGUUUCAGAGGGAAAGAAGAUUUGCCAUUAGCUCUGUUCAACAGAGAGGUUCAUGAAAGGACUCGAACUCUAAGUUAGCGCUUACUAACGGUUGGUUUCACGUUAGGAGCUGGCGCAACAAGACCUUAUCUUCUGUGCGUUAGCGAAUUUAACACGUUGCUUGUUCGUAGCUUGUUUACUAGAAAGUGGCUUGUUUAGUUGCGAGAUAUCCUCUAGCUGGAAUUUAGCGUGCUUCUUAAGUAAAAGAAGUAAUAAUACCACUGUUGGACUACUUAGCCCUGUAUAAGGAGUGUUUUUUGUCUCCCUCUUUCAAGUAAGUUCUUUGAGCCUAGAGGGUAAGAAUAGAGUGAAAGGCAGGGUACAACCAGUCAUCAGAAGGAGAGUCCAGGCUACUGUCAGAUAGAGAGGAUGGUACUCGCACUCCGUAAGGUUAAGGGUGCAGGGGAGUAGAAUGUUUUCUAGGUCCUGUAGCAAUCGGUUCUGUUCUUGUUUGUCGAGUUUGAGUUUCAGACCGGUAGUACUGUUCUGUUCUGGUUGAAUCCCCAGUGGCAUCUGUAAUAGUUGCCAGAGGAGAGUAGUACAGACCAGAGCCAUAACUUUCUUUGUUGACAGAGCAGAAGUACAGGAGAGGAGCCUAAUUCUGGUAUAAAACUACUGAUCUCAAGAUGUGGGAAGGGCCAAGCUACUAAUACAAAUAGGGAGAGUUGCCAGCUGCAAUCGGGUCUGUUCUUGUUUGUUGAGUUAGAAUCAGGUCGGGUGUGAGUUCAAAGUUGACAGUUCCAGUGAGAAAGUAAGAUGUCUUUGUUGUCGGUUCAGCAAUGAUAUAGUUAUUGACUUAGAGUCUCUUUCUGUUCGAGCCGAAUCCCUUGUUUCAUGCAGUACAGCUCCUGUUCUUAUGAGAGUGGAAUACCCUGUUGCCAGAGCUAUAGGGGAGAGAUUGGAGUUGACAGAGCUAUAGGGGAGAGAUGGAAGUGACCUUCAAGUAGAGAUGGAAGUGACCUUCAAUACGAGGCCCUUCUAGUAAGUUGUGCUAGGCAAGAUGGAUCAAUUCAGUAUUCGUAGCAAUAAGUUGCUUCGUCCUCAAGUAUUGGUCUGGUUUCAUCCGUAUUUGUAGAAAGAGCUCCAAGUGGGUUAUCAGAAAGUGUAGUUCAUAAGAAUUCACCAAGUAAGUAACAGAGCCAAGCUAGUACUAGAUGCACUGAUUCCCCUCAGUCUGUUACUAGGCUACUGUAGUAGUGGAUUGGCCCAGCUCAAUGUAAUCGACCCUUGUUGACAGAGGAGUAGUGAGUUGACUUAACACCUUAGGAAUAUAGAAACAAAGAAGAAAAACAGAAUGACAUAGCUCCUUGAGAGAACACCUGCCGCUACACUUACUAUGUUACUUGGCUCCUACUAAAUGAGAUCUUCUGCUUAUAUAUGAAACCAGAAAGGGACUGCCGCUACACAUUAGCAGUGACUUGUCCUAUCCAAAAUCCCGUGUUUUGGUAAAAAGUGGAUUUCUGCUCUUGUGUCGGAUAGGGGUGAGUUUUGCCUCGUUAAGGUUAGGGUGGUGGACUGACUUGUUUAAUGAAGUUACUAGACCCAUUUAUUAAGUCUUGACCGAGAGACUAUAGAGGAAAGGAAGCCUUAAGGCAGUGCGAGUAAGAAGGAGAGGCCAGGCCAGGUAGUAGGAAUUCCAGAACGAAACAAAGAAGUGCAAGGCUGAAACACUACCUAGCAAGACCUGAACCAAGGGAGUGACAGGCUAUCCGACCCGAAUCCAAGACUGAUACCGAUGCUGGGCAGACUGAAAGCAAGGGCAGCGAGGUAGUAUUGUAAGCCUGAAACACCUACCGAUUUGAUUCUUUGAUAAUAAUAAUUGGGCUUCUUAGUUCUGCCUCCUGUCUUUCAUUACUCCAUAUUUCUAUGCGUAUAACACAUGGGUUAGACUAAUCGAAACACAUAGGUUAGACUCAUCAAAAUGGAAUUCUUAUUUGCCAUAUGAAAACAUAUAUAUAGAAUUGCGUAACACCCCGACUGAACCACACAAACCAUUCUCAUACUUACCCACUGAAAAGAAGGAGACUAAUGCUGUAAAGAAAAGCACUUGACUUAGGAUACUGGGAAGGGGAUUGACGGAUAGGCAUUAGUUAAAGAAUGACAGGAAUGAGUACUAGUUCGAAAGCCAGGAAAGGAAGCUCGAUCUUGGCCCCCGGGGGAGAGAACGAAAGACAUUAAGGUAAGCCUAGGGAGCUCAUAAGCAAGACUGGAGGCGUUAUAGGAAGUUUUCUUUCAGUGUUUGAUUCUGGCUUUCGAGUUAAUGGUGUGAUAUUGAUUCCUAAGUAAGGAGCCUAAGCCCUAUAAGUCAAUUCCAUAUUAGUUGCGAAAGGGAGGUCAACUCUUUUACUUAAUUGCGAAAGGGAGGUCAACUCUUUGAUAUAGGAAAAACAGGACAGGUCUAGGUCGGGCAGUCAACUCUUACUUCAAGACGGAAACCCCUUUUGAGAAUUAUUACUUUCCAUUCAGAGUAUUCGAGUAGAGCUAAUAUCCCCUGACAAGACUGGUUUCCUGACUUAGUAGUUUGAUUCUGAAUUCCCAACAUCAACACUCAUUCUGCCCUUACUGCCUUAAAUCCUAGUUUUGAGUUAAAGUCUCUUAGAGCGGGCACCCUAUAUCUCAUAUUGAUACCUACUGGACAGGAACCGACCUCGAAAUACAGAUAAACUACCUCCCUAACUGGACUUGAGCUGGUGCCGAACAGGCUAUAACACUGCCCAGCAACGCUAUAACUACUAAUAUGGACUAUUAGAAUGGAACAGGUUCCAACUAUCCUUUAAAUGGAAGAAACUGGGGCUUUUAACUGCUGCUAACUAGACUACAAACAGUGUUUCUCGUCCUUUAACUAGGGACUCGGGAGCCAACUCGUGCCUUUAAGGCUAUAAGCUACAGAUCCAUAUCCUAUGCUUUUGGUGUUAGCCCACCCCUCCUUGGUUUGAUCCUGUAUUCCUUUGUUUCAAACUUGAUCCUAAACUAGAAUUCCCUCAUCCAAUAUUGAUUAUUAUUUGAACAUAUGAUUCGAGUAUUUAGACUAAUAUCCAUAGUGAGAAUAAUGAAAAUAAGAAUAAAGAAGAAAAGACCUAAGCUAUCAGACCUAAGCCAAGAACUAAGUCAAAUUGCCCAGUAACUAUAACUCCAAUCCAAAGUCAGAAUAAAAGACAUAAGUUGUAAUUCCAUUCUCACGAGGGUAUAGGGUCAGUCAGAAUCCAACUAUGUAGUAAAAGAAUCAAGGGCGUAUCAGAGGAAGCAACGCCAGAACAGUAGACUUAGCGUGGUUCCGGGGAAUAACACUUGAAAGUUAGACAUGUAUAGGCCUUUGUAUCAUCGGUAUCAGAAUCGAGGUAGAAACAAGGAAUUCCAUCUCAUAUUCUCUAUCUUAGGGGAGAGUCUCUGUCUAAAACAGGGAUUUCUAACUAUAUCAACGAACUCUUUUUUAUUCAUCUUAUACUUGGGCGCUCUUUGACAGUCACUUAAGAGCACAAUCAUCCUUCUUUCUUGAUUAUAAGGAGGGAUAACAUAGUCGCUCAACUUACUUGGAGAGUGAGUGAAACAUCCUUAGCAGAACCGGCUUUCUUGACAUAAUUUCGAGAAAAGCAGCUGCCCUCUUGGACUCUCAGGGAGCCUGGGAAAAGGAAGGAGUCUCGAUACCCACCUAGGGAAAAAGAAGCUUAGCGCCUUAGAGAUCGAAGAUCUUAGUCAUCAGAAAAAGAGCAAGUAGAACUUCAGAUUGAUGAGCUUCUUGCUUCAAAGGAAGAACUGCUUGAUCUCGAUAACUCUAUUACUUCUGGUCUGAGCUAGAGAAAUGAGGAGGUGCUCGCGGAUUUGACAGAGUAGAAAAAGAAGUUGGAGACGGAGUCCGAGCAAGCUAAGGUGAAAGGAAUUAAAGAAUCAUAAGGUUAGUUGACAACACGCAGUGCGUCAUAGGAACAUUCAAAUACUACAUUAGUAACUUACACAUCCGACUAUUUAUAUGUGUGUUGCUUAUAUAGGAACAUGGGGCAGAUGGUUAGCUAAUUUCAUCAUUAGUGACACUGAGAGACCUUCAUAUACUACAUAAUGUAGGCACACCUAUAUACUUACAAUAGUAAACCCAGACAUACAUACUUACAAUCAAUAGUAAACCCAGACAUACAUACUUACUUACAAUCACAAUAGUAAACGCUCCAUACUUACAAUCACAAUAGUAAACGCUCCAUACUCAUAGAUUAUUGACUUGACUCUUAUUGCCAGGAAAGCCAAAGCAGGGGUGGCAGGGUUCCGGUCAGAAUCCAGGACUUCUUGAGCGCCUAGUUAAUUAGUUUGAUCUCUGUCUUUAUUGGUGACUCGAAUCCGUCAGUUCCAUUUCCAUGAUUGGAUUUUGCCCUUGACGAAGCAAUUCCCACUUCUAUCCCUACUAAGCGCCAAAGCAAAGCAUCUUUUCUUUCAAAUACGAGGUCUGCCAAUGAUGUUUUAGGGGGCAGAGUUGAACAUUGGUAUUACGACGAAUAUGGCCGACAGCUAUUCACCGAGUAGAUAAGAUGGCAUUCAAGCAGGGUUCAGGGCUGCAAGCGCAAAGUAGACAAGUUCAGAAGCAGUUUCAUAGGCAAAAGGUCAGUCUGAGUUCCGGAUUUCGACAUUAGUUCUUUGAUGAGUUACCGAAUAUCAUGCAUUAUUUAGGUCACUCAUUAUCGUAUGAUUGACAACGCGCUUAAAAAGCCAGUACUGGAUAGCUAGUUAUAACAAUUCCUUUGUUUGUUUGGAGCUAAAGUGGUUUUUGCUAGAAUAAUCAACUUACAUAUAGUAUAUUUAUUAGUGGUUAUUACUUUUGAUGUGUUCGGGUGAUGCGGUAGGAGCUAUAGCGGAGUUGAUUUCUUUUUCUUAGAAUAAAGGAUUGAAUACUUGGUGGAUGAAGCUAAUGGGUAAGGCUCGGAAGUACUAUUUCCAUUCUUUAUCCGUGGGGGUGAAGUCUAAUAGUGGUAUAAGCUAAGGUCUCAUCCGUAUAAGUUCGAACCUCUUAUACUGCGGUUAAAGAAAGGUAGGGCAGGCUAAUAAGUUCACAUAUGAUUUAGAUGUCAGUAAGUCAGGCCCAAACUAUAGUCUAUAGGCAUUUCAAGCAGUUCUGUUUGUUCAGUAAGUGAGAUGUGAUAUCAGUAGCGAAAGAAAGAUAGCCAGGCCAGGCCAGGAAAGUAAUACUAUAGGGUAGGACAGACAGACUGAAGCACAGGGUGUGUAAAGAAUAGUCUUUUGGCUCUGCUACUAGGAUAAAGAAGAGUAAGGGUAGGCUCUACGGCAUGUGUUAUAGUAAAGGAACGAAAGCCCGGGGGAAGAGGAGAGACUCGUAGGCAUUGAAGCAAGGGUAGUAAAGUGGGGAGAUAUAGAAGAAAAGCCCGUAUAGCUAUAGAAGAAAAACCUGUAACACAAGUCCUGUAUGCUCUAAGUUCCAUUAUUCUCUAUAUGGAUGUCGAGCUGCCAUUCAAAAGUCAAUAAGUUCCCCUUUAAUGCCAUUCUUCUUGUUAGUAGUCACAGGCUCUUAGGCAAUAAAGUCAGAUUCCAAGUUAGGAUCAAUAGUUAUAGAAAGCAAGCUAGUUGUGUGAGAUUCGAAGUAAAGGUAGUGAAGGGCGUUAGAGUCAGAGUUGUAGAAGCGCUAGUAUCAUUCUGAAUGUCAAACUGGAAUUCAAGCAGGAAAGUGCAUUCUUAACAAAACAAAGUAAGCUGAUGAAUACGCUUGCUAUGUGUUUGUAUACGUGACUUGGCUCGAUUUAUUAACUUCAAGUUGGGUGUCGCCCUUACCUUGACUCGAAACUGUAUGUAUCCAGUAGGAAGGGAAUUAUGGUCGACUUAUUAUAUUAACAAGCACCCGAGACUCCAGUAUCUAGUAUUGGCUGGGAGGCGAGCAGAGGAUGGGAUUCAUUUGAUCGUUUCGGAACCCUGAUUGAGGCUUAUCGUUAGCUCCACUCCAUUGUGCUUAGGGGUUUUCGGCAUACUUUUCUCAAGCCUGAUGCCAUGUGUUCUGCAAUAAUCUUCCCACGGACCCCAGUAUUCACCACCAUUAUCUGCCCGGAUGCACUUAUGCUGCCUUAACUCAAACACUUUCAAAGAAUCAAGGGGAAGAGUGGAAUACUGACUUCUAUGAACUAAGCUAGCUUCACUCCUUUUGAUAGAGGAGCGAUACGAGCUACUAAUAGUCUGACUACAAAAUCAUUGAGAUCCUUUUGAAAGGCUCAAGUACUCUGACCCAUAAGGUGGCUUCUUUCUUUAAGGAGAGUGGACAAGCAAGUCAAGUAACUGCGAUUAAGGAGGAGUUGAACCUCCAUAGUCUUGGAACUAGAUACCGUCUAAUCGACCACCCACCCACCACUCUAAUAUUCGAAAAUUCUACAAUCUCUAGCUCCUACUAAAUCCAAAUAUCACCAAAGACAUUGUUUUUGCGAUCGGAAUACGAAUGAGAUCAGAAAGGCCAUCAUUAGGGCAAACGAUGCAAUAGCUUCGGUGAGAGCAAAGCCCAAAAUGGCAUAACCAAAUAAUUGUUUAGCCAAUGAUGGAUUUCGCGCCACAGAAUUGAUCGAGGAACUGAGGACGUUUCCAAUACCGACAGCAGCUCCGGCUGAAGCAAUUGUAGCAGCUCCGGCACCUAUUGAUUUAGCUCCUUCUAACAUUUCAAGCAAGACAAGAAUUGACUCGUCACGCUUUUCCUUCACGGCUCUUUCCUGGAUUCUUCGUCGAUUCCUCUUCCCCACCCCGCGAUCCAUAAUAGUAUAAUUCAACCUCAUCCCGAUAGAAUUCCCAAUUUCUUAUUUUGUUGAAAUUGUUAACAUUAUAUAAAAGAGAAAUCCGCUUUCCAUCGUGCCGGCCUUUGUUGUAGAGCUCAUUUAAAAGCUUAUUCAACCCCAUUAUUUGUGAGGGGAGCCCAUUCUUAUAAUGUUAGCCCAUUAUUUGUGAGGGGAGCCUAUUCUUAUAAGCCUAGUCGACGCGUAGGGAGUCCCGAGUAGUUGUCCAAGUCGGCUAUUACUCAGGGAGGGUGCCGCUGUAGGCUGAAAUCUCUGUCUCUAUAUUCUUAAAGGACCAGGAGCUAAAACAAUCGAUCUGUUAUUGCCCAACCAACCCGUAAUACUUGAUUUGUAACUCAUCAUUUUUGGAUAGGACUGAAUGAAAUCAUGCUGAAACCCACGCUCGUCCCCUUCUAUGCCUUGCGGUAAUUAUUCCUCUGCUCUGGCAUUACGACCGAUACAUUACUACAAUGAUGAUGAUGCGCCCAUACAUAGAGAGAAUUAUGUCGUGGAUUGGAUGAUUCGUUACUGUGUAUACAGAUACCUUGCCUGUGCUCAGGGUAGAAGUCAAGUAUAAGAGUGAGUGGAGUCUGGCCUUUUUCUUAAGUAUUUCGCUUUUUGUGCUUCUUUCUCUCUAUAAGAUGAUAUGUGUCUAUUUAUUCUUCCCCCUCCGACUUUGUUUUCUGUAAAAACAGCGAAUUCUCGUUCAUACUAUAAGACCCCUCAUCCAUGAGUUCCAUCAGUAUUGAUAAGAAUGGAGAGUUAUGACUCAGAGUUCAUAUUUGUUGGUAUUGAUAUGAUGUUACCAAUUCAUUCAGUAUGGCCAUUGAUAGAGAGCCAAUUCAAAUAAACUAAUGGAACGGAGAGCCAAGCCAAUUCAAAUACACUAAUGGAACGUGGAAUUUGGCCUUUUUGGAUCCAGCAGGAAUCGAACCCUCUAUAUUCUUUUGGACCAAUGUGGAGUUGGUCGCUUUUACCAUUAAGCUAUGGAUCCAAUCACCGCAAGUAAACAUUAGGUUUAGGAUUUGUCACCGCAAGUAAACACUAGGUUUAGGAUUUGAUUGUUGGUGCUUCUCGAGCUUUAUCCGCCAGAGUCAAUCCAGCCCCAAGGGUUGCCUAGCCCCUAAACUAUGGUACUCCUCUCCUUCAUCGAUGUGGAGAUAGAGCCAGAAGUGAGGCUUUGUUCCUUCGCGUAUCCAUUAUCAUUGACAAAGCGACUCUUACAUGCAUGGCUUACUUAAUCAUUCAGUCCUACUGGGGAUGCUAUGGUCACAGCAUUUAUAAGGGAAAAGAUGAUAUAGAGAUGGAUUGGAGAAGAGGAACGAACCACUUGACAAUUCAGAUGUUACAUGUUUUGAAUACAAAGGAAAUAGUAAGGAAGAAGAGAAGAAAAGAGAAAGAAGAUAGAUAAGGUAGGGGCCAAGGAACGGGAUCAGACUUAAUACAGUAAAUCCAAGACUUCAACUAGUGCUACCGAGGAUGGAGCUACUAACAACCAGACUUCACUCACUACCAACAAGAAUCAAACCUAGGGCUGCUAGGACUGAUGCUGUGUAGGUACAGGCUUAAACGAAGGAGUCACAGAAUGGCACUGAUGAGUCUAAGGCUGAAACAAGUACUACUCAGAAUGACCCUAAAGCGGAGGUAGGUACGAGAUACUUUAGGUUACUCGUCCUAGGAACACCAGUAAUAAGAAUUGAGACCUCUCUUGGCAACCACUAUAAUGAAUAGAAGUCAGCAGUAAUAGAAUCCGCAGUGCCCCAGGAAUGGAAGUAUUGAUUGGCAAGAAGUAGAUGAGAAAGCAGCUUGCUUAAUUCUGUAUUAGUUGACAGAAGAAUCAGUUCGGGUUAAGUACCCUGUAGCCUGUAUAGGAGAAGAAUCAACGCGUUAGCCCAAUGUUAAUAGAAAUAACAUAAGAAUACAAAACCCGUCUCUCGAGAUCAGAAUCAGUGUCAAGUGAGUCAGCAGUGCCAAAGUCCGCCAAGUCGAGUUUCAUUCCUGGAGUGUUAGUAACAUACGAAAAAGGGAAGGUGCUUCAAGCAUCUUUACUAACUCAUAGGUUCCUUGUGAGCGAGAACUUACAAUAAGGGCCUUAUCCUUACUAAAUUCAUUAUUGAUCUUUUUAUAGGAGAACGGAUUCCUAGUAUAUGCUUGCCAGGUUGUGCAAAGAAUGUUUCAAUGUUGUUUCCUUACUUCUAUCUAUACUGGGCUAGGUGCUCAAGAGACUCUAUUGAAUUCAUAAACUUUCCCCCACUCCACAGAGUCUGGGCCGGAUCCUGUUUCUUCUUCUCCACUUGAAGAAUGACUUGCUACUCUGCAAAUGGCAAAUGCGCUCGACCAUUAUCGGUAAAGGAAGCAGUAAACAAGAGAAGGAAGGGGCAAUUCGAGUCGCCAACACAAAAGCACCAAUAUCUACUACAUUACCAUCACUAGAAUUCUUUUCAACAAGCAAGGAGUAAGCAGACCAAGCAGGUGCCUACGGAACAAGCAAACUUGCAAGAAAGGGCAAUGAAAGCAAGGCCAAUAUUGAGUUAAGAAAGGGAAGAAGGUUACUGACGCGCCACGGGUAGCACUUUAGCGACACCCCGUUCACUUUAGCGUCAGCGAACAAAGGACAAAGAAAGAUCUUCCGAACACAAAACAAAGAAUUCCACCUUUUAUGAUAACUGCCUCGGAUCCUUCUCUUGGAGACUUAACUCGAACAGAAAUAGACUUAAUGGCGAAAGUGUCCUUGCCAGGCGCAAGUCAGGUUUGCCGGCCUCACUUCUUGUAUAGGUCGGGUGGGAAUUCCACUCCAAAGUUCAUGGCGGCAGCUUCCCUGUCCCUUGUUUCAUCUGUGUUUGUCGUCUUGGCCCAGUUGUGUUCUAGGCCUUGGCCCCGUCUUUUUGAAUAGCAAAUAUAGACUUUAGUAAGGUGCUGAAAGCCUUGAAGUUUCAUCUUCAAUUAUAGAACUGACCGAAUUAAUAGUAAAGGGCUGGCAACUCACUUCCCGAACUUACCCGCCUGUCCUAGGUAUAGCAACAGUCUCAAAUCCUCCUGCCGAUUCUAUUUCUACUUCUUCUACUUCUUCUAGAGUUGACUUUCCCUUCCAAGAUUCUUGUAUACCCGCCUUUAAUGCUUUCUUCUUAGGGGUUUGUCCUCUACUGCCUCUUUUGCAUUCCCAUCCUAUAGUUUCACUCCACCACUCCACAAUCGAACUCUUCUGCAGCUUACUUGCAUCAUGUAAGGAAGUGUGCUCUUAUUCUUCUACUCAUAGGUACCCGACCCAUCGCAUCAUCUAACAAUGAAAAGAGCAACUUGGAAUUCAAUCAAAGCUAACAGGAAAUCGACAACCACCAGAAAGAGUCAAACAAAAAGAAAUAGGACUUUCACUCCCCGGGGGCCAAGUAACGGAUAGACAAGAGCUAAGCAAGAAGGAGGUAGUCAAUAGGCCCAGCUACAACCGAACAGGAUCGGUAUUCCACUCUCACAGGACUAGCUACUCUCAACUACUGGCAAAGAAUCCAACUCGCCAAGCUACUAGACAAGUAACGGGCAGGCAGUUGACCAAAACGAGAUUUAUGCUUACUAUUGUGGUAAAUUCCCUAUUCUUUGUUUUACUCUUGUUAGCGGAAGUAUAAGAUUUGGAUGUCAGUGCGCUAGACUCAAAGCAAUAGCAUUCUUCCCUGUACGAUUAUUAUCAGACUUAGAUGUAUUAUCAGAUUGUGUAGUAGAUGUUUUGAGUCUUGGAAGGGGUAGCUCAAGUCUGUUCUCCUGCUCACAAUGCCUUAGAGCUAUGCCCGAUAUCCUGUAUUGCUAGGUUGAUUCUCUCCGAUCCGGUGCCUACUCUUUGACUUACCUGUUUGAUCCUCUGUUUCCACUUCGAUCCUAUACUUAGUUAGUUCAAAACCAUACUGGCGAGGUUGGUUCCCCGUCUAUAGCAUCAAUACGAUAAGUGGUGGGUUUAUUCUUACUAGUAGUCGUUCAAGUCUAAAAGCAGUGGGCUAAGCCUGUGAUUUACCUAUUUAAUUCAGAGAAGCAGUAGCUCCCAAUUCUUUUAGUUAUUAGUUUCAGAAUCAAAGACAGAGGUAGGGUAGGCUCAUAUACAGGGAUGGCAGACUCCCUUUGUGCGGGUGGGCAGACUGAACAGUGAAAUAAGUAAUUGUAUUUUGGAGUGUGAUUAACAAUAAGAGCACAUAGGAUCCACCAGACAAGACCUAAUCCCGAAACUGGAAGAAUCCAAAAAGCCAAGACAAAGAUAGCCAAGCAGACAAGCAACGUUGUAAAAGUGCUGUGAACUUGUAUAUAAGGGGGUUUUCAUGGCGGUAGUGAGCGGAAGAGUUGGUUCAGAGCCGAGCCCUAGGUUGCUGUUACCGUAAUUCUAUCAUACAUAGUUAAAUGAUUACUUUGCGUUAGCAGGAGCCCAAAAGAAGGAUAGGCAUAACUGCAUUGCUGACUUAUGGCAUAUGAUAUAUAUGAGUAAAGACACCGUUGCCUCCGCUCCGUUACUCGCUUAACUACUCCUAGCGCACAAGUGAAAACUGCUCACGUAAGCGCUUCUCUUACCAGAUCUGAUCCCAUUCUUUCCCGGAGUCGAAUGAGAGACUGGAACGCGGGCGAGCUGAGCUCUCUGGCUCUUUAUAGAUGUGCCUGGCAUGGUUCAAAGUCUACAUAGUGAUCCCUGAAGCUAGAAAUAGGGAAUCCUGAUUGUUUUCUGUGUUCCCGCGUUUAGAAGCUGAUUGGAUCUGAUCCUGUAUCUACUUGAAGGAAGCAUAGGGGCUCUACCUUCCCAAGUAGUAGAGUUGCAAGAGGCUAGAGAGCUAUGAGAUCGAUUUGCUUCUGAUAGAUGAUUCCAAAGAGUAAGGGAGAGUUUAGCAUGCUUGCCUUUCGACUAAAGCACUAGAAGAAAAGGACAUGGGACAAGAAGAAGCCCUCUUCUCUUUUCAAGCCGCCCUCUUCCUUUUGAAAGUUGAUCCCCCUCAGACGUUAUGCUUUCAAGCGAAAGGCUGUCUUGUGGACCUUACCUCCAGCAAUCUUGUCUUUCCCGCUGCAGGUGACCCUCGAGGAGAUAGGACAGCAAGAGAGAAGCUAGCCCUACUUGAGAUUGGUUUACGAACUAUCCCUUCAGGCCUUCUUAACACUGAUCUUACCCUACCGCGACUAGAUCCAAUGGAUUACGUGGUAAAGAGCUCAAAACAAGGGAUUUGGCCGAUCCAUAGUUCCUCACUACCUAUGAAUGAGUCUCUUUGCUAAUUAACUAUCCACUACAUGCAAUUGACUCACCUACAUUUUCUGCUUUCACCCUUGAUUUAGUACACUCAGACUCAGGGAAAGUGCUUACAUAAACUAUCAUUCCUAUGGAGCUAACCGAUGGGUUAGAGCGGAACCGCCAUUCUCCAAAGUGUGGAAGUGAGCCAGGACAAUAAGACAAUAGGUCUAAUGGGCCAAGCCAGCUAUCAGGCAUUGAGUGGGAAUCAAUCCAGAAAGAGAGAGAUAAGGUCGAGUGCAAAGAGAAUAAGGUCUAGUGAAAAGAGAUAAGGUGGUCUAGUGCUCUCAAAACUACGUACUAUUUUCUUUGGAAUGGUAAGGGGAGUCGUUAGAUGCGGAAUACAAACAACAUGGUAAGAUUCAUCCUCUGAGUACCUGCUAAUGGAACCAUUGUCAAAUAUGUGUGCCCUUUGAAUUGUAGUUGCCUUGGAUGUCAAUCUAUAGGCAUGCUUUAAUGUCGAGACUUCCACUCCAUCUCGAAUCCCGCCAAAGUCCCACCACUAGUAGGGAAUGAGGGAUAGAGGCCGAGUACCACUAGAGGAUCAAAGAGAAAAAAGGGAUUCCUUCGAGGCUAGAGAGUGGGGGAUGACGGGAAGCCAACUUAUAAUCUAAGCGAUGCCUGAGCGCGAGGAGCGGCCUUUCAAAGAGGAGUCGUCGGGAAGAGCAAACAACUUCAUCUUCCAACUAUCUGGUGGCGCUUGAGCAUUUGUCUAACCAUGGGGUUAGGAGAUUGUCUCUGAGUUGAGAAUGAAGGACACGACUAGGCUAUAAAAGGAAGUGGCAGAGGUCAUAACCUUUGUGUUUUUUGCCCUUUCUCUUCAACUAGCCAAGGAUCUGCGCUCGUUGUUUUCAGACAAUAUGGUCAACAGGGUCUUUCUUUUGACAUUUAGUGAUUGUAGUUUCAAUCUUCCUUAGUUUGUUUCUUGGAGAUAUUCUUGUAUUUGACAUUUGAUUCAAUGCAUAGAGCCUUCAUUUCAAUGCCUUGUUGGCUUCCCGGGUGCUGGAAUUGGGUUCAUUGGUGGGAGAGAGAAUAUUGCUCGGCUUUCUGAACUAAAUUGACCGAGGAGGACGCAGAGGCAAGUAAGGAGAAUCAGAGGCGGAAUAAUAAUAUCAGUUAGUGCUCUCCGACUCAAGUAGUAGUAGCAGUCUUUUGAUUUGUGUUUGGAUUCCCUGCAGUACCAGUUCAAUCCCAAGUUUCAAGUUCUAUUCUAAUAGUCAGUGUGGUUGAGGAGCGAGCGGGUAGGUAGUCAAUCCUUCUCAGCAGUGGUUUUCUUCUUCUAGUGUUUAGUAUUUCCUUGUGGUAUAUGCGGCUAACGAGUGGAAGUUGUUGCUAGUUAGGAGUUGAUUUCCCUACCCAUUCUUAUACUGGUGUUGAUUCCUCUCCCCUAUGCCUAACAGCCUCUUUUCUAUAUGUAACAGCCUCUUUCUAAUGACUAUGUCUUAAAGAUAUGUGAUUUCAAGUGAGGAUCUUUCUUGCCUCUUUCCUGCCAGUAGUUCUUCCCCUAAUUGUCAUUUCAUUUCCCCUUCUCUUUUAGGAUAGCAUUCCGUAUUGAUUGUCACUUCUUUAGAAAUCCGUCUUCUUCCAUUACUACAUUCCUCCCAAAAGUCAAUUCUAAUCAUAAAAGGCAAGGUGUUUGGGAAGUGUAUCAAGCUCUAUCCUGCUGUCUUUAUAUGGAUUUCUCUAUCAUCAAUCAUUACGGAGAAAGAGAGUUGGAUCUCGAGAUUCCAAUCUCGUGGUGCCCUCUUGAAUGAACCAACCUGUACUCUUUAGUUUCCGCUAAUGAAGCUGCAUCAAAUUGAGUGGGCAGAAGAUCAGCUAGCUGUCUCAUACUCGGACUAUAGAUCUUUUAUGUGCUGGGUUGACGGCAAAGACAUCCAAAUCUAUAGGAUGAAGCUGACACGCGAGCAAGCUAAUAUGAAGAAGAUAAGAUCUUGCCAUGCCAUCUUCUGUGAUUAAAGUAAAGCCCUAUUCUACCCAUGUGUAGGGCGGAGCAAGGACGGACAGAGGCCUAAGGGUUCGUUUUUCAUAACUUAGUUAUAACUAUGGUCGAAAAGCAGGUAUGAUGUCUCCCACUCGACACCAAUAUGUGACAGAAAAGAAGCACGAAAGCCAGUCCGUCGCCAAGUCUUUAAGCUUCUGGUAUUGAUAUUGAUUUUGAAUAGAAUAGACAGAUUCUUGCCCUAAGGUUAGGCUUCAUGCCCGAAAAAGGAAAGGAAGGGUAUUUUCGGAGCGUACCAAAGGUCAGUCCCAACGCUAAUUCACUACAAUAGAAAAUCGAACUAAGAGAUAGGUUAGUUAUACGACCGAUAGGGAGAGGAACGAAGGACUUCUGAGUUUAGGAUAGAAGAAGAACAAGAGAAAGAAAGGUGCAGAGUGAAGGUACGGCAAAAGAUAGAAAAACGAAACAGUAUUGUAUUAUUGAGCACAGGAAAGAAUUAGAAGACUUCGAUUCGGUGGAAACCAAAACGGUUGAGUCAGUGCUGUGCUUUGCCCUUUAGCAAAUGCUUCUCCAAAUCACUAUAGGACCAGACGUCCGAGCUAUUCAAAGAAUGGACUUUUCAGUAAUGGAAUAAGGUUAACAAGGGAUUUCUCUUUCUCCAGAGAGUCAACCUUAGCUCAAGCAAGGAAGACAUUGGAUGUAGAUUAAUGCCUGUUACUGAAUGAUCCCCAGGGAGUGACUUCCUCAUUAGCCAGAAUAGCCAAUCCAUCCUUAUUUGCUUAGUUAUAGAACUCCUCCCGCUCUUCAAGGAUCGAGGUUCCCAGCUGGUUAUAAGAUUAUAAGCCGAUUGUCAUUCGACAACUCCCCCUUUUCAGUCGAAACAACCCCUCUCCCUAUCGGUCUUCACUCCUAUAGGUUUCCUCCUCUCCUUCCUUUAGUAUAGUAUUGUAAUAGCGGACUUUCCCGUUGGUCUUCCUUCGGUCGCCUCCUAUCUCGAACUUUCAAUCUUACGCUUCAAUCUGACGUUGGUAGAGCCAGUCUGUUGUAUAGCAUUUACUAGCUAGCCUUCCUCUGCGGAAGAGAAGAGAACAAUCCACCGAUUCGAUUACCUUUUGCCGAGCUACAACUCAUUCCUAUCCGUUAGGAGAGCUAGCACUCGCACUUCCUUGAGUAAUGUACGUACUUAUUUAUUGUCGAGCGAGGAUAGGUCUGUGAGAAUAGAGUUCGUUUUAGCCUUGUUAGAUUAGUCCAGUGACCGAAAGGAAAUGCCCGGACCCUGUGAACUCUUACUGUUCGUUAUCUAGUCGAAACUAGGGCAAGACAAGAGAUCGUAUUCGCUAAAUCUGUUAUGAUAUUAGGAAUAUAACCCCAGCAUUCGAGAAUCAUCCUCUGUAUCUGGCGCACAAUCUAAAGCUUUGUCUCAUCCCUCUUCGCGAGCAUACAAUAAGCAAAGAAAAGUGGAUUUGUUUGGAUCUGAUCUAUACUAAUGUUACUACUAAAUUCUGUAUUGAUCCUUAUAUAGGAUGACAGAUAACGGAUUCAACAAAAGAAUAGAUUGAGUCAGCUACCCCAGAGAAAGUCAAGGAAUGGAAUAUGAAAUGCACUGAAGCGCGGGAGUAACUGAAGGCGUUGUUAAGUGAGUUGAAGUUAACGAGUUAUUACUCUAUCUGCUGACUAACCUUUGACUGCUGACUAUAAUGCUCCUUACUCUAAUCAAACAAGGUGGUUUCAUUGAAUACGAGUUCCAGUUCUUUACCGAACAAGCCUUAUUGCCUUUACUUCUUCCGCGCGGUAUCUGAUAGUUGUAGUCUCUUUUGGUGCUUGUGCUUGAGAAGACCAGAAUCUCCGUUCUUUGAACAGCAUUGCUUACUUGACUCCCGACUCUGAGGCUUCAGCACCCCUUACAAAGUCAUCUCACACUGAACGAGCGUAGGUAGUAUAAUCCAGUUUGUUAGAGAGUUCCGAGCGCACCUUACCUUUCGAAAUCCAUAGAUUAUUACCCUUGUACCCUUGCUUUAAGAGAAUCAUAGAGGAACCCAAUCGCUAUUGCUUGUUCUGUUAUUUGUUUCAAACUAGUAGAACUAUACUUAAGUACACUGCCGAAGUACACCGCGCUUAUUCCUUUAAUUGGAAUCCAUCGAAUAGGAGUCAAUCGUGGUUCGGCUUUAAGGUAAAGGCAAGGGAAGUCCACAGCAGAGCCAGAGGAUAAAGGAUUCCAAAGACAGGGUCAAGAUGUUAGGCGAAAAUGUCAUAGAACAGUCAAUAGAGAUCCUCAAUGAGAAAUGACCUAUGUUGCCCCCUGAAAACGGAACUUAUGGAUAGCAUUCCAGAGUCUAAAAUCCUAGUUGGAACCCCCAGUAUAGAAAGAUUCUUAUGCUUUUGUUUAAGGCUCUAACUCCUUGUGUAUCAUCUCUUUGUGUGCCAAUGUUGUAAGGAAAGGAAGCUGAAUCGAUUAAUAGUGAAAUUGAGGAAUGAAAUAUAGCGUGCAUUGGUGAGUAUAGAAAGAAGGAACCCUAACCUCACUGAACAAGCAAUCAGAUCCUUCCGGAGCUUUAUUUGGAAAUAAGCUGCUAACUACGCUUUUCCUUUUGGGCGUGCCGGGCAAGAAUUUGGAUAGUUACUACAGUCAGGUUACCCUAUUACAUAAGAGGUGCAUUAAUACUCUUUCUUUACAGUUGUACUAACGUGAGUUCGCCCGCGAAAGCCUUAGUUCUCUUAAAGCUGCAAGUCAGCAGUAAACAUAACAACCUUAGAAUACUGUUGCGCUUACGGGAGCUCGAUAAUCAAUUCCGUAUGGACGGGGACGGACUGAAGAUCCACUGUCUUGACUGCGAUAACGGAGUUCUCUUUGGAAUGUUUGACUGUAGCAUUAGGAGUUAGAGCAAGCGUUAGUGAGUUGUGCGCUAGUUCAUAAAUCAAUUCAGUAAAGUAACAGAACAAGAAGUUGUUAUAAGUAAAUAAGUAAUGCUCUGUUUUAUUAAUCAAUUAUAGAAUGUGAUACUUAUAUCAAUGAAAGGUAGCUUAAAACUCGCCCUACUGCCUUGUUACUGCAGGAGAAGUCUCGUAUCCAAGUGGAACCGUUGAAAGAAAUGGUGCCUCCGCCUUCGUAUAGGCAGCCUAUACUCUAAUCUUUGCGCUAUUCCUAGGCGCUACUCUCUUCCAUUCUGUAGUUGGGGGUGCGACACUGAACUCCAAUCUCCAGUUUUCAUUUCACUUCUAUGUAGUUGGGGGUGCGACACUGAACUCCAAUCUCCAGUUUUCAUUUCACUUCACGUCACGGCAAUACCUCUGCUUGACCGCAAGACCUCUGCUUCUAUAUAUAUAGGAUUCGAGUCAAGCACCCGAAGACCAACAAUCGAACUACAGAGGGCGGUGGACUAACUCUCGAACUAAAGAACAUAAGGGACAACUAAUAGAUUCAAGUAAGGAAAGUCAGCCCGAGAUCAUAGUCGAAGGAUGAGUAGCAUUGGCGCAAUUCCUGUUAUCUGUGAUUUCCGCCCUGUUUGCGAGAGUAGAAGAAUCCGAUGUGAAAUACUGUUUGAAAGGGCAUCUUUGAAAUCCAGUAGCUAAAGAAUUAGAGUAAGGAGAGAAAGAUGUAGAUCCAGGAAUGACAGGCGACUACUAAAUAGGUUCAAUACGUAUUUUGUGUGUCAGCGUUAAAGCAUGAAAGCAAAGCGAGUUAGGUUGAGAAGCAGUAGGGGCAGCCCCAUGGAUAGGACAGUAAGAAUAAGAUAGAGGCGAGGCAGGCUUGUUAGCAAUAGCUCGAGUCUUAUCGUUAGUGAUUUCAUCCUUUUUUGAUCAGUGGAAUUAUUAUACCUAUUGGUCUUAAAGCGAUCGUACGCAUAGGUUCCAUUCUGGCUAUUCAUAGUUCCAAUUAUUAGAAGCCAUAGUUGGAGAACGAGAGACAGGAAAGGUAGACUUAACUAAAGGAAAGACUGCUUAGGUGCCCAGGAGCUCAAGUAUUGUUAGCGGAGGAAUAAGAUUGAAACCAAAGAGAGGUGUUUUGAAAGCUAAGAUCCGGAUCCGGAGUUGUAGAAUCAAAGCAAGGUGCUGAAAGCCUUAUUGAGGCAUGAGGGAAUACUAAAACAAGGGAGUUGGAAUGCAGCUAACGUUCUAUUACUGAGUUCAAUUCAGUAUUGUUAUACAUGUACGAUUUUCUUACCUUGUUGGGCGCUACCUUAUUAGUAGUACAGUUAGUAAUCUAAGACUUUCAGCAAGGAGUCUGUCUAAGUUUGAAUAAGGCCUGCCAGGAACAAACCCAAGAGUGAGAGAAGAGAGUUUCCAUUUUCAAGGAAGACUUAAGGCCAAGAGCGGAAUAAGUAGUAGACUUAGCUAAAGGAAAGGAAGACUGACUAUCAAACAUAGGAGUGGGUUGGUUCCACAGGGGUAAAGUUUGAGAGUUAGGGACGGUAGGCUGAGAAGCCGAGUAGUCAGAAUGAGAUUUAGGAGCGGGGGAAUCUGAUCGAGUAAGGACAGGUUAAUAGGUAGGAAAGCUAGGUUCCAGGUAGUGGGGAAGGUCUCAUUUCUUUGUUUUAGCUUAUAGGGAAGUAGUCCACUCCGAUAUAUACUCCCGUAGUUAAAGGCGGAUACCCACCUGUUACAUUCGCGUAGUGGGGAGCAUACCCUUUAGUCAAAUUCGGAUUAGCUGUUGUUGCACUCCUCGGUUCCAGUCUUGUACUUACUAGUUUCAUAGAAAAAAGUCCGGGUAAUAAGAAUGGUAGUCAGUAAGAGUAGACUAGGAUAAAGGAGAGUCAGAGGGUGGUUAAGCCCAAACCUGCAGAGUUAAGGCCUGUAAUGGAAGAAUCGAAGGGUAAAGUUCUAAUUAGAUGUAAGGAGCUGUAGGCCUAUGCUUGGGAUUUGGUUCUUCUACUAAUCAAAUCCAUUAUUCAAAUUCAUGUCCUUCAUUCUAUUACUGUUGAGCUUGAUUCUAUCCUAGCUUAGUGGGGUUCCCUAACGAUUAGAAGAUGAAAACUAGCAAGCUGGGCUUUAAGACAAGAGCGGUUGUUUGUUAGUAGGGAGUGGAGUGCCGGUUUCAGAGUUCAAGCAAGGGGCUGCAUAUUCUUAUAUAUAUAUAGGGGAUCAUAUGACUAAACCCAUAGAAUUGGGCUUAAAGGACGGAGUCAGGGAAUUAGACUUAUAUCGGUAUGAGUCAAUAGGCGGUAAUCGAGAAUAGAAGGUCGGGUAGGCAAGCUUGGUCAUCUAUGCAAGUAGUUCGUUUUGGAGUUAAGAGCGGCAGUGCUAUACCCAGGGCAGUGAAUAUUCUUAUUGUUAGGUUAAUUAUAGGUGCAGUUAAUAUUCUUAUUGUUAGGUUAAUUAUAGGUACUAUUGCUUUCUUUAUCCCCAGUUCGAUUAUUGGUAGCACUAGUGGAAUUGCCGGUUUUGAGUGGAAUUGCUAGUUAGUAGUUAAAGUCUAAUCAGUAGUAGGAAAGGAAACCAACCAAGAAAACAUGGGAAUGGAGUUUACCGAGCACAAGGUAUAGAGUGAAGUAAAUACACAAGUUCCUUUUCUGUGGAAUCUGACUUCUGACUUGCACCGCGUUUGUUGUAGUGACUUGGCGGUAGAGGAGCAAUCAAGAGUUAAGAAAAGGUAGAUGAGCCUCCACCACUAAAGCACCGAACCUUUCUCUUAGAUACCAACCCAGUACGUGCUCUCAAGCAGGAAAGUAGGAAUUGGACUAUCAAACCAUAAUGAAACUAAGUCAGCAAUCGGGUCUGUUCCUGUUGCCUUUGUCUAUAAGUCUACGAAUUGCCAGGCCAGUGCUUUACCUCGCAUCAAAGAAAUCAACCAAAAAGGAGGAAUUCAGAACUAUCUACUUCUCAGGUCUUCUACUAAUAAUCAUAAGGGAAAGAAAGAAUACAACUGGUAAGUCAAAGUCUAUGAAUGGGGUUACAGUCUAGCAGAACUACAUUUCCAUUUCUUAUCGAGGUUGCUUGUCGGCUUGGCCCAGUAUAGAGAGCUUUGGUGCUAGUGUAUAGAUAGGUUUGGUGCGAGGCUUUGAAACGGUAAGUGAAUCCCCAGUUCCUGUUCUGGUUCUUGUGGAAUACCUAUAGUAGUAGUAGUCCUGUUCGAGUAAAGUUUUAGUCUGAAUCAAUCAGUGAACUUCCAAAGACCAAACGAUUUCAUCCCAAACUAUCUCUUUAUGGCUGAACCUUCCGAGUGUCGAUAUUUUGAGACUCAUUGUUUCAUAGCCUCUUGGUCAAGCGAAGCCAUACUAGCCACUUUUGGUAGACUGGAAGGCCUGUGCCUUGAAGUCGUCUAGUGUGAGGUACGUUCUUUAUUUAUAAAGGAGAAAGAGAGGUCGCUCGGAAGCAUUCAGUUAGUACGAAUAUGUAUAUUGCAAUUCCGUUAGUACGAAUAUGUCUAUUGCAAGAUGAAGUAACGGAUGCUGGUUUACUGUAAGUUGGUCUCGCGAUGAGUUCAGAGAGUUCUAAGCUGUCUGUUCACUACGCUUUCUUUCAAGCAAUGCUCGGUUGCCUUAUCUCACAAAGGUCUGAUGCCGAAAAUAGGGUGAACGAACCAAUGGCGGUUUCACUGACCCGAUCUGGGCUACCCCGCAUUAUUCCAGUUCGUAGAGACAUUGUCGAUCCUGCCGGGAUGAGAGUGCAGACUAAAGAGUCCGUCUUUACUUGUAAUGGUUUGGACUCCGUCGGGUGAUUGCACUGGGUGUCAAAAGCAACGUUUGAAUCCAUAACUAACCCGGUGUCUUAUAUUGAAAAGGUCCUGGAGGUGAUCUCAUUGAAGUUUUAUCUGCCGUAAGUCUCUUCCUUGGAUCUCGACCAACAAAAGGGUAUGGUAUGGGAACCCACAUUGAAAGCCACUGCUCAUGACGACCGAAUGUGGGUUUAGCACGAAAUUGGAAGAUUUACCUAAGAUCUUGACUAGUAACAAGUAUGAGCAGCCUUCGCAGAAUUUGAUUCAUUUUCUCCAAGAGGAUAUCCUGUCUUCUCUCCGGGGGUUUGUAAAGAACACUUUGGAUCACCGGUAUACCACACAGGCUUUUAAUGAAGACCUAGGAGACUUACUAUACUCUGCCUCUGUUCUCGUGAGCUAGAUAAGGCUAGGUUUGAAUAGAUCAGUUCGGUCUCCGCUCUGAGACCGCCGAGUAGUAGUAGGUAAGUCGCAGCUAUCUCCGACCGAGCUAAAAGAAAGUAGUGGUUUUUCGGGAUCCGCCUUCUCUUCUUCCCCAGGUUCUAAGAGAAAAGAUAUAUUCCAAAAGGGUAGUCUACGAAUUGUUGGUCCUGACCAAUGGCGGCCGUGCUUUCCAACUAAAUCCCCUGGGAAUCUGUCCCCGAGCGUGCUGGCUUUCCUUUACAUAUUAAAUACAUUUCUCAAUUUAUGUUGAGUGAAAAUGCAUUAUGUGAAGAGGGAAGCGACUCAUUUAGCUUACCGUCAGGUUCACUUGGGUUGGUUUAGGCUGCUGUCUUGUAGUCAGUUGAUGGGAGGUCUUCCAUUCCAGUCCAGAAGAUAUUGGAAUUGCACUCUUUUCUUUCCCCCACUUAUAAUCUCUCUGUGGGACUUGUUCCCUCUUCCACUCAGCGCUUUAUAGAUAGGCAUUUGAUUGAGAAUAGAUAGGCAUUUGAUGGAGAAUGCUACCUUAUCUUUGAAAAAGUAGCCGAGCCGAAGGCAAAUAGAAUUGGAGUACCACGGAGAAAAGCUAGCUGGAUAAACAAGACAGGGAUCGCCCGCUCGGCAAUGCUACCUUGGGGAGGAGACAAAACACUUGAAUAUAUAAACGAAUAUUCUACAGCUUUUGAGAUAUAUGAACAAUCUGACUAUGGAAGAGUUUGUGUCUGACUCAUAGCUCUAAGAUUACUAGCAUGAAUAAGCCUGCUUCAACACCACCUAGACUCUUCCAAAUAGAGAGACACCGACCUUAAAAGAACCUGGCAUUGGAUUAACUCACUCCUAAGCUCCCUAGACACUGCAAAGAAGACAUAAUUCGAACUUCCUGGUAAGGGCUGGGCGGAACGAGAAAGGAGUUUGCUAAUAGAAAGAGUUUGGGAAUGCCCCGCGUAGUUAACAAACAUCGAGUUGGGAGUCGGGGCAGCAUGUAUACGAGACUAUUGAAGUUCCGUUUGGAAUCAUUGUGUUCUUCAUAUUCCAAAAUGGGAGAAUAGCCAAGGCCUUUUUCAGCGAUUCGACGCGCCCCCCCUAAGCUAGACGAUUCACCUACCUGACCUCAGAGAGAAUGGAAUGAGUCGCCCUAGCCCUAAUCUGACUAAGAGGUUCAAUUGCUCUAUAGAAAGCCAUCCACUACUGAAUAGCCCUUAUAUAGAUUUAUCAGCCAGGUCAACUGACGCCAUCACUACACUACACUACGGUUUAUUUCGCUGUGAGAAACAAAGAAAAUGUCUGUGCAUUGCUGCUGCCAUCCAAGUUCAUUUAAGCCUUCCUUCCAUCCCUAGUUUCCCUGCUUGAGACUGUUUUUGAUUAGCCCGCCCUGGUUUGAGCCAUGGUCUACCCAGCUGUGCUUCAUAUCCUCCUUGCUCUUUGUCUAAGAUUGGACUACAGGUACCAAACGAUUGGACUGAGGGCAAUCAAAUCAGUGCAUCCUUUGUGGUUGUUUGAGAUUUGGGCUCGUAGGUUGUACGCCAGCCAUACGUAGCUUGAACUGUAAUGGCCACAAUGCGACGCUAUUGCCGAUCCCCAAGACAAGACGCCUUUGAUUGAAUGUGAACACCUGAUCCACCGUAUGCACUUCCUACAUUCACUCCCGGAGAGGAAACUAUUCACCUUAUAAAGAGCCACUAUACGAUCGGACCAGACAGGUGCAGGUAGCCGCCCGUAAUUGUCCAAUAUUGACAGCAGCUAUAGUCGCCGUGUCUUUCGUUUCGCGUAGCUCGGAUUCGUGUGGUGAGAUGAGAUCAACACCUAAUGGGCCACUUUUUCUUAGGCAUAUAAGAGAGAUCAAUAAGUUCAUUAGAGAUCAAUAAGUUCAUUAGAUUUGGGAAUCUUAUUCAGUACCGCGCUUUAGGCAGCUACACUCAGGGCACCGGGCAGCAGCGCUAGUAUAGGGAGUUACUCCACGGGCCACAAUCUGAAUCCUCCACAGGAUUUUGUUGCACUUACUUUUCGAAAGAAAGAUCACAGCCUACUGGGGCAUAAACUUGGAGCUGGAAUUAGCGACGGCUUUUGCUUUAGAAUUCGCUAGAGAACGAUGGCCAUGGAUGAAAGAAACAAACAAAACGGAAAGGCUAUUCGGUUGGAGUUGGUGUUCAGCAUGGAGGUACCGCUUCACUAGGGCUCUGCGCCCGUUCCUACUGUUCUUGACCCAAUGCCAGGUGAUUAGCUAACCUUGCCCCUUCCUUAGAAGGUAAGGGAGGUAUGGUUGGGAGGGACAGAGAGAUCAGAAACCAAAGGAAAGGGAAUAGACUAUCAAACUGUAGAUUGGAUAAAGCAUAAGCUCUGGAAGCGGAUACGCCGAUAGAGGAAGGCUAGCACACAUCAUUUAUCUAAGAAGAAGUUAUUUGUCAUGGGAAAAACGCUUUUUUCGUUGAUCUCUUACUGGCACUCGAAGCACUUGCCUUUUAGCCGUCCACUCAAAGAGGAAAAAGAUGACCGACCAACUGCUGCUUAGCUUAUCACUCUUGAGACUGGCGUGGCGCUGCUGGAUGCUUCUGAUCAAUAGGAAGAGGAGGACUGAUGAGCUGCUAUUUGAGUCGAUCAUUUCCAAGAGAUAUCACAUUCCAGUUUGAGCUUUUAUGUAGUUGAAAUGCCUUACAAUCCUAAGUGUUACGCUUAAGGUAAGAAAUGUUAUUGGUGGAUGCAGGGCUUGGGACCCCCGGAAUGGAAUUAGUAUGCAAGAUUAGCUUACUGGAGUGCCAAUCAAACACCAGUUUUUUUAGAAUAAGGUGGCUGGCCGGUGAAUCACUGAUCAAAGAGCUAGGCGAAGAAGCAUAUCGCUUUGAACGGACACCCGACUCUCUCUUAAACCUUUGAGCAUAUCUUUUACUUGGAGAUUCCCGGUCUUCUGUCUUAGCCCUGACCAUGUUCUGAGAGACUCUUUCUACUUUGUCGCACCCAGCAUCUUAGCUAUGUUCCGAAUGUCUGGUCAUUUAGAAUCCAACUCAUAGAUUCGUUUGCUUCCAACAAGAUCUGAUUGAUCACAACUAACGGGUAGUACGAGACUCUUCUAGCAGAGCGCUUCCUGAUUCAGUUGCUUGAUUCACUGGGCGCACAAGAACGCUUUGCCCCUAUUGAUUGUCCAAACCUCCCCUCACUGCUGCCUAUUCUGUAACAAGAGAGAGCAUUCGAUGCAUUUUCCUUAUUCUAUAGAAUCUAUUAUUUCAUGAGUUUCUUCUAUAUAAUCUAUUAUGUAAUGAGUUUGAGAAUCUAUUAUGUAAUGAGUUUGCUUCAAGAGUCUAUUGAAGGUUAAGGUUAGCCCUCUGACUCGGCUAGUGACACAUCAGACCUCUUUCUUUUUUGAGAAAUUCCUUGAUUUAAGCGGAAAAACCAGAGUGACAGGCCAAGCACUAACAACAAGAAUCCAACUAGUCAGCAUCAGAACCAAGCCUUGCCGUGGGCCGAGUGGGUACAGAAUUGACCUCGGCAGUCUUUAGCUCGCUACCGCGCAAC